GUUCAAGCAUCUUCAUCCAAGGGUAUGUAGUUGUUUCCAGUAAUUUCUUUGUGAAGUUGCAUUUCAGGGUAUUAUUGACUCUGUUUCAUCAGAUCAUGUUAGGGUUGCCAAUGUUAGAAGAUGUCAAUCCAGCUUCACGUUUUCCAUCCAGCGCCAUUGGUCACGAAGCUGCUUGUUACAGCCGUAUUUGGAGUGAGGUUUGUCACCCAUCCAUUAUUGAAAAUAGUAAAGCAACAUAUCCUUGUUACAUCGUUUCCCAAGUUUGCAAUAACAAUUGCCAAUUGUGGUUGUAUUGCCCGAUUCAAUGGUUACGUUUGAAGAAUUUCAUCCUUAUCAUCCGUGAUUCUCCAACAACCAGCGCUGAUGCCUCAAAUGUUUCUUGUAGGUUUUUGCGGCUGAUAUAUUUGCUUCAAAGUUUCAUGAGAGUUAUCUGAACCAGUAUGUUGGCAUGCAGUUCAGAAACAAGGUAAAGAAGUUGCUCGAUAGAGAGAGAAGUGUUGCCAAUUUUGAUUUAAUUUCUCCAUCUCCUCAUACUCGUUAAUCUCCCUCAAAAUCUCUUAAUUAAGAUCGAAGUAGUCUAAUCCCGUUUGGUUUAUUUCGUUAUUAUUGUCCUUGUAGGUACUGGCCCCAGGAGGGUCAAGGGAACCCAUUGAACUGUUAACUGGCUUUCUUGGGAGAGAACCAUCAAUUCAAGCUUUUAUCGACAGCAAAUCACAAUACCGAUUGUGAAUGCAGACGGAACUUUGCCUACCCUAUUCUCCGAUAAGGCAAGAUCAUCUUGCGGUUUUGGUUUCCGGUAACAUUAUUCAGUAUCACCUCUUGUGUUUUUCGUCAAUCUUCGCAGCGUUUGCAGCGGCAACGAGUUUUUCUGUUGAGGUUAGGGCUAGACUUGCGGUUGUAGGUUGCUUAAGUUUAGAGCAUUGCAAUUUUGGUCGCUCCAGAAAAGCCAGCAACUGUCGUUCUUGUAAUUAUUCGUCUCUCUUUAAUAUGGAAGACUUGUUACUUAAGCCACGACCCCUUCCUGUUCAUAACUAAAAACUUAUUUGCAUUCUAUUGCAUUCAAAUUAAUCAAUAAUUUAGUAUUUAGUAUUUUAAAAUGUGUUGAUACACAAAAUCAGUGAAGACUUUGGAACAACGUAAAGUGUCAAGUUUGUGACAUUCGUUCGGUUGCUCCGGUCACUUAGUGAUGAUGAUGUGUAAAGAGGUAGAGAUAGAGAAGCAAACACAUAAUGUACGUGGUUCGUCCCAAGUCCGACUACUUUCACGGAGCAGAAGAGUUCUCAUUAAUAGUGAAAGGUUUACACAAAUACAUAGGUUUAAACAUAAUUAUCAUUAGUGGGUUUUAAUGACUAGUUUAAGUACAAUAAUGACAUUAGAGAUUCAUUGUAGGAGAAUGAUCUUUUUUUAUAGUUAAGCAGAGUCUUUAGCUUUUGUCCGCGGUCGAUGUGAGACUCGAUGAGUUUUAUUAUGAUGUUGACAUGUGUCGCUCUAUGAUUGGCCUUCUGGUUGGAGGGAAACUCUUGUGCUUCAGUAGCGGUGCUUCAACAUGAACCCCUCAGUGGAUUCUUGAAGGUAUGAUGUUGACUGGUGUUUAGUAGUUUCGAGAUUGAUAAAGUAUGGUACAAACAAAAUGAAAAAAUUAUGGGCAUUAUUAGAAUUUAAUCACAACUUGCCAUGUCUGACUAUCCAGAAGAACACCUCGUGCUUGACGGUUGACUUGGUGUAGCACUGUGAGUUGAAGAUUGAAUAUUUCCUCCUACUCCCGGUCUAGGUGUCAGAACACGGGAAAAAUGCUGUAUGUCAUUAUACAAGUAAAGAAAAACUUGAAAAAAAAUAAUAAUUUGUAUAACAACAUAUGACUACCUUACAUUUCGGCACAUUGAAAAAUUACUUUCCUUUACUUAUACAUAUGUCAUACCGUUUCGUAUUCUUGACACGUUUGAAAAAACUCUUUCCGCCACUCUUUUUCUCUCUCUUGAGAUAGGUGAAGUAUAACUAUGUGACAAUUAUUUCUUGUUACUUUUUUCUUUUUCAUUAUAAAGAAUUCUAUGGUGUUGGGGAGACUAGUUCAUCAUGAAGUUGGACUUUGGACGGCUAAGAGUGGCUCGUUCUGACCCGCACAGCGAAAUUAGGAAGCAACAUCUCAUUCUUGGAUUAGGUUUCUAAGGUUAAAACAUAUACCAUCACUUAGUGCUACGAUUUUAUGCUAUUUUUUUUUAACUUGUAAAUGUUCGAUUCUCAUUAAAGAUGAAUUUGAAUCACAUUUUUAUUAGCUUAUUAUGAGGUCAAGUCUAUCAUCUCUCCUUAGUUUAUACACUAUCAAUUCUAAAAGAAUCAAAUCAACUACCACUUUUUAUUAUUAUUUUUUAUUUUUUUAUAAGUACAAUGAUAUAUAUAAAGGGAGAAGUAAAAAAUGGUGAAACAUUCAUAAUUCCAAAAUUGUCAUCUCCCAUUAAAUAUACAAAUAAAAUAGAAAUUCACAGAAAAAAAAACCCACUCCUGUAGCUAACUUUAUUUUUUUUAAAUAUAUUACUUUAUUUUUCUGUUUUUUGUUUUUUCAAAUGAAAAAUCAAAAGAGUCAAUUGCCACAUGAGUACUUGUGUGGCAAGAUGGCUAGUUUUAAAUUAAGAUAAAUCUAAUUUGAUAUCGAAUUUGAUAGACAUGAAAUUUAAAUCUAAAAUCUUUUAUUUAUAAGUGAAGAAAAAUACUAUCAGAUCAAUAAAUGAUUUGAUUUCUGGUAUCACUUAUUAGAUUAUGUACUUUUAAAAAAAACGACCCAAAACAAUAUCCUAAUUUCAGAAGAAAAAAAAAGAAAGAAAGAAAAAGACCCGGUACGGUAUGGAAUGGGUGCGUACUAAAUAUGCGGGCCCGUGUAUUUUGGUUUUGACUUGACUUUCCAAAGAAGCCCAGAAAGGAGUCGAAGAAAAGCCAGAGAGAGAGAGAGAGAGAGAGAGAGAGAGGCAAAGGUGAAUAUAAACUGAAUUAAUCAAAUCAGCAGUGGAAAAGUAAUGAUAAAACCUCAACAAUUAUUUAUUUGAUUUCUUCGGUCAACAAACUACAACGAGAAUGAAGGUGGAUAAUAACGAAGGCCGAGUCCCUCCCUUGGUAUACUCGUAAGUGUUGUCACCCAACCCUGAAAUUCUUCGUUCUUCUCAUCUGGGUAAUUGUUUAUUCUUCCUGUUUGCAUGUGCUUUUGCUUCUUUUUUUUUCCUUUAAAUUUGUAGCUAUUCAAUUUGUUUUUUGAGCAUUGGGAAAUAAUGUGGUGAUUGCACACUCUGAUUUUUGUGUUUUUCCUCUUUUGAUUUGGAUGAACAGGGCAGGGAGUUGGGAUUCGUGAAUUGAGUCUGGAAAAUUUCUGUUGAUUUUUUUUUUUAGUUUAGAGUGGAUUUUGGCAUCUGGGUUUUGGAUUUUUAGCUGAAAGUUUGAAUUUUUGUGGCGUGUUUUUGUUUUUCCUAACAAGGGCAGAAGGCUAAAGGGGAGUUUGUUUGUUGGGUGAUUGAGAUUGGGAAAAUAAGGGCUUGGUGUGAUCUUUUGUGUUAGAUAAGCGGGUCGGGUUUUAGUUUUCGGAUGAAAAGGGGGGUUCUUGGCCCCCUUUAGUGCAUUGUUUUCAGAAAUACAGGCAUAGAAUUAGCUUCUGGGUAGCCUAAGAUUAUAAUUGUUCACGAAAGCUGUGUGAUUCAGUCGGCCGGGAGUGGUUUUGCAAAAAGCUUUUGGAACCUUAGAUACCGGUGUGCUUUGAGAGGGUGGAGUUUUGUUUGUUUGUAUGAACUAUGUUGAGACAGAUACUUAAUAAGCUUCCCCGGAAGUCUUCUUCUAAGAAAGCUGAGAAUCGUGAUACAUUGUAUUCGAAUGCUCCCACCAAUUCAAGAAGCAGUGAUUUGGGGACCAGUAAGUCUGGGAAUUUGACUACAUCUUUCCCACCAGGAAAUUCUGUUCCAGACACGGUGAAAAGUUACAGCAACAAGAAUGUGAGGGGUGCAAAUUUGAAGCCGAAUGGUUUCGUGCUCUCUUCUUCUUAUGAAGCAUUGCCUGGAUUUAGAGAUGUUCCAAAUGCGGAGAAGCAAAGCUUAUUUAUUAAAAAGGUGAGUUUGUGCUGCGUUGUAUUUGACUUUACCGACCCAACAAAGCACCUGAAAGAAAAGGAGAUCAAGCGGCAGACACUAUUAGAGCUAGUGGAUUAUGUGACUAAAGCAAACGGUAAAUUUUCAGAAGCUCUUAUGCAAGAGCUUGUAAAAAUGGUGUCUGCAAAUUUGUUUAGGGUGUUUACCCCACAGCCUCGUGAGAAUAAAGUUGCAGAUGGCUUUGAUUUGGAAGAGGAAGAACCUUCAAUGGAUCCUGCAUGGCCUCAUUUGCAAGUAGUGUACGAGUUAUUGUUAAGGUUUGUCGCAUCACCUGAGACAGAUGCAAAAUUAGCUAAACGAUAUAUUGAUCACUCGUUCAUUCUCAAGUUGCUGGAUCUUUUUGACUCUGAAGAUCCUAGAGAAAGAGAGUAUUUGAAAACAAUACUGCACCGAGUUUAUGGAAAAUUUAUGGUGCAUCGCCCAUUCAUUAGGAAGGCCAUCAACAACAUCUUUUAUCGUUUCAUCUUUGAGACUGAGAAGCAUAAUGGGAUUUCUGAACUCCUAGAAAUUUUGGGCAGUAUUAUAAAUGGAUUUGCUCUACCACUGAAAGAAGAGCAUAAAUUGUUCCUCGUUCGGGCUCUAAUUCCCCUGCAUAAGCCAAAAUGUUUAGCUAUGUACCAUCAACAGUUAUCUUACUGCAUUACGCAGUUUGUAGAGAAAGAUUGCAAGCUUGCUGAUACUGUCAUUAGGGGUUUACUGAAGUACUGGCCGAUCACUAAUAGUUCAAAGGAAGUAUUGUUCCUAAGUGAGUUGGAAGAAGUGUUGGAAGCAACUCAGCCAUCUGAAUUCCAGCGGUGCAUGGUUCCCCUCUUUCGCCAGAUUGCUAAUUGUUUGAACAGUUCUCACUUUCAGGUAGCGGGUUCUUUCUCUGCUUUGAGUUUUUCCUAUAAGCUGUUUAGUGCACCUUUUCUCUUUAUAACUUCUUUAGUCUGCCACAUGCAUGAUACUCAAGUUGUGCACUUAUUUUGUUCCAAGCAGGAAGACUUCUCUGCAUUGUUAUCUUUCUUGUCCAUGUUAAAUGUGAUACAUUUAAUUUUAAGUGUUUUGCUUGUGUAAAUUUUCUUCUCUUUCCAUCUCUGGCUGGUAAAUUUAGACACCUCAUUAAUCCAAAUUGUUCUGCAGCUAUAUCUUAGGUUCCCAUAUUGUAGGUGAUCAAUUUGUACUUGCCUUUCCGUGUAUGUUGUUUUUUAAUUGAGGGAUUUUUUUACUAUGUUUUUCUUUGUUAAUCGUCAAGUACUAAUUAAGCCAUCUAAACCUUGGAUCCUUUCCACUACUGUCUCUUCUCAAAAAAAAAAAAAAAAAAAAAACCCUGGAUCCUUUUUGUCAUCCAAAGAAAAACCCUUAAUUUUUUUCUAGUUGGAUUUCACUUUGUUAGCCCUUUGCUUUAUUGUCAUUUUAAUAUUAGGACUUUUGUCAAGAAGAUUCAUGUUUGUUGAGUUCUCUUCAAUAAUUUCAUGUUUGGAGGAGAAUGCAUGAAUACUUUCUCAGGUCUAACAAGUGGCGUUUGAAGGUGAGGACGCAAUUUUGGUGGUCCACCUCAGAGGAGUAGAUAAAGAUUGAAAUAAGCUAACAUAAAAUAAUGAAGUAAAAUUCCAUGCUCAGCGAACUUCAUGACCGAUAGUCCAUGGGUUUGCAUGUAUUGGAGAUUCUAAUUAGGCCUGUACAAAAUUAGGAAGAAAUAGAAUAUCACAAGAGUUAAAGCUCAAUCUUGGUAGUCUCUUCGAUUUCUGAGAUCGGCCCUCGUGGUCUCUGAGCAGCCCAGCUUUUGAGAAAGCAAGCGCCUCUUCGAUUUCUGAGAUCGGCCUUCGUGGUCUUUAAGCAGCCCAACUUUUGAGAAAGCAAACGUCUCGUGGUCUCUGAGCAGCCCAGCUUUUGAGAAAGCAAACGCCUCUUCGAUUUCUGAAGCUCCGUCGAGUGCAGAUUUUUAUCGAGGCUGGCAUUAAGUUCCAAAGCACACUUGAAUCUCCACCAGUAGAAGCUCCAUUCUUGCACUUCUAAGAUCUUGAUUUGUCCGACCUCUUCUCUCUUCAACACCUUUGAAAAUGUCUGGCCCCUCCGACCGUCGUUUUGACUUGAACCUUGUUGAAGAGGCAGCCACGCCUUCUCCAGACAACAUAUGGCGCCCAUCCUUCGUCUCCCCUACUGGUCCUCUUACUGUUGGGGAUUCCGUGAUGAAGAAUCAUAUGACCGCUGCGGUAGUGGCCAGGAACCUUCUCACUCCCAAAGAUAACAGACUACUUUCCAAACGGUCUGAUGAGUUGGCUGUUAAGGAUUCUCUGGCUCUCAGUGUUCAGUGUGCAGGUUCUGUGUCUAACAUGGCCCAACGCCUAUUUGCUCGAACCCGCCAAUUUGAAUCAUUGGCGGCUGAAGUGAUGAGUCUCAAACAGGAGAUUAGAGGGCUCAAGCAUGAGAAUAAACAGUUGCACCGGCUCGCACAUAACUAUGCUACAAACAUGAAGAGGAAGCUUGACCAGAUGAAGGAAUCUGAUGGUCAGGUUUUACUUGAUCAUCAGAGAUUUGUGGGUUUGUUCCAAAGGCAUUUAUUGCCUUCGUCUUCUGGGGCUGUACCGCGUAAUGAAGCUCCAAAUGAUCAACCUCUGCUGCCUCCUCCUUCUAGGGUUCUGUCCAGUACUGAGGCUCCAAAUGAUCCCCCUCCAGUGCCUGCUCUUUCUGGGGCUCUACCGACUGCUGAGACUUCUCCUAAGCAACCUUUGUGAAGGCUCCCUCUUGUUUGUUUAUUUUGACUCAUGUAUAUGUACAUAUUUGUGACUUAUCGGGGAUAUCAAUAAAUAGCUUUCCUUCAUUUCAACGUAUUGUGUUGAAUACACCAAAGCCUUCUUCGCUAAGUUCUCUGAAUUUUCUUUUGUUGAAGCUUGUAUGUUGAAGCUUUGUGAGUGGAGCAUGUAGGUUGGGGUAGUAUUCCCUUAAUUUCCCGAGUGAGGAAAACUUCUCGGUUGGAGACUUAGAAAAUCCAAGUCACUGAGUGGGAUCGGCUAUAUGAAUCUUUGAACGCCAUUGUGCUCGGUCCUGUGUCAUGUCCUCCGUUAGAUCCAAGUACUCUAAGUCUUUUCUUAGAGUCUCUUCCAAAGUUUUCCUAGGUCUUCCUCUACCCUUUCGGCCCUGAACCUCUGUCCCAUAGUCGCAUCUUCUAAUCGGAGCGUCAGUAGGCCUUCUUUGCACAUGUCCAAACCACCGUAACCGAUUUUCUCUCAUCUUUCCUUCAAUUUCGGCUACUCCUACUUUACCCCGGAUAUCCUCAUUCCUAAUCUUAUCCUUUCUUGUGUGCCCACACAUCCAACGAAGCAUCCUCAUCUCCGCUACACCCAUUUUGUGUACGUGUUGAUGCUUCACCGCCCAACAUUCUGUGCCAUACAACAUCGCCGGCCUUAUUGCCGUCCUAUAAAAUUUUCCCUUGAGCUUCAGUGGCAUACGGCAGUCACACAACACGCCGGAUGCACUCUUCCACUUCAUCCAUCCAGCUUGUAUUCUAUGGUUGAGAUCUCCAUCUAAUUCUCCGUUCUUUUGUAAGAUAGAUCCUAGGUAACGAAAACGAUCGCUCUUUGGUAUUUCUUGAUCUCCGAUCCUCACCCCUAACUCGUUUUGGCCUCCAUUUGCACUGAACUUGCACUCCAUAUAUUCUGUCUUUGAUCGGCUUAGGCGAAGACCUUUAGAUUCCAACACUUCUCUCCAAAGGUUAAGCUUUGCAUUUACCCUUUCCUGAGUUUCAUCUAUCAACACUAUAUCGUCUGCGAAAAGCAUACACCAAGGAAUAUCAUCUUGAAUAUGUCCUGUUAACUCAUCCAUUACCAACGCAAAAAGGUAAGGACUUAAGGAUGAGCCUUGAUGUAAUCCUACAGUUAUGGGAAAGCUUUCGGUUUGUCCUUCAUGAGUUCUUACGGCAGUCUUUGCUCCUUCAUACAUAUCCUUUAUAGCUUGGAUAUAUGCUACUCGUACUCCUUUCUUCUCUAAAAUCCUCCAAAGAAUGUCUCUUGGGACCCUAUCAUACGCUUUUUCCAAAAUCUAUAAAGACCAUGUGUAAAUCCUUUUUCCCAUCUCUAUAUCUUUCCAUCAAUCUUCGUAAGAGAUAGAUUGCCUCCAUGGUUGAGCGCCCUGGCAUGAACCCGAAUUGGUUGUCCGAAACCCGUGUCUCUUGCCUCAAUCUAUGCUCAAUGACUCUCUCCCAGAGCUUCAUUGUAUGACUCAUUAGCUUAAUACCCCUAUAGUUCAUGCAAUUUUGUACGUCGCCCUUAUUCUUGUAUAUAGGCACCAAAGUGCUCGUUCGCCACUCAUUUGGCAUCUUCUUCGUUUUCAAAAUCCUAUUGAAAAGGUCAGUGAGCCAUGUUAUACCUGUCUCUCCCAAAACUUUCCACACUUCGAUUGGUAUAUCGUCUGGGCCUACUGCUUUGCUAUGCUUCAUCUUCUUCAAAGCUACAACCACUUCUUCCUUCCGGAUUCGACGAUAAAAAGAGUAGUUUCUACACUCUUCUGAGUUACUCAACUCCCCUAAAGAAGCACUCCUUUCAUGUCCUUCAUUGAAAAGAUUAUGAAAAUAACCUCUCCAUCUAUCUUUAACCGCGUUCUCUGUAGCAAGAACCUUUCCAUCCUCAUCCUUGAUGCACCUCACUUGGUUUAGGUCCCUUGUCUUCUUUUCCCUUGCUCUAGCUAGUUUAUAGAUAUCCAACUCUCCUUCUUUGGUAUCUAGUCGCUUAUACAUAUCGUCAUAAGCCGCUAACUUAGCUUCUCUCACAGCUUUCUUCGCCUCUUGCUUCGCUUUUCUAUACCUUUCACCAUUUUCAUCGGUCCUAACCUUGUAUAAGGCUUUACAACAUUCCUUCUUAGCCUUCACCUUUGUUUGUACCUCCUCAUUCCACCACCAAGAUUCCUUUUGGUGUGGGGCAAAGCCCUUGGACUCUCCUAACACCUCUUUUGCUACUUUUCAGAUACAACUAGCCAUGGAAUCCCACAUUUGGCUAGCUUCCCCCUCUCUAUCCCACACACAUUGGGUGAUUACUUUCUCUUUGAAAAUGACUUGUUUUUCUUCUUUUAGAUUCCACCAUCUAGUCCUUGGGCACUUCCAAGUCUUGUUCUUUUUUCUCACUCUUUUGAUAUGUACAUCCAUCACCAACAAGCGAUGUUGAUUAGCCACGCUCUCUCCUGGUAUAACUUUGCAAUCCUUACAAGUUAUACGAUCCCCUUUCCUCAAACAACAACAACAACAACAAAGCCUUUUCCCACUAAGUGGGGUCGGCUAUAUGAAUCCUAGAACGCCAUUGCGCUCGGUUUUGUGUCAUGUCCUCCGUUAGAUCCAAGUACUCUAAGUCUUUUCUUAGAGUCUCUUCCAAAGUUUUCCUAGGUCUUCCUCUACCCCUUCGGCCCUGAACCUCUGUCCCGUAGUCACAUCUUCGAACCGGAGCGUCAGUCGGCCUUCUUUGCACAUGUCCAAAUCACCGGAGCCGAUUUUCUCUCAUUUUUCCUACAAUUUCGGCUACUCCUACUUUACCUCGGAUAUCCUCAUUCCCAAUCUUAUCCUUUCUCGUGUGCCCACACAUCCCAGAAAGCAUCCUCAUCUCUGCUACACCCAUUUUGUGUACGUGUUGAUGCUUCACCGCCCAACAUUCUGUGCCAUACAACAUCGCUGGCCUUAUUGCCGUCCUAUAAAAUUUUCCCUUGAGCUUCAGUGGCCUACGACGGUCACACAACACGCCGGAUGCACUCUUACACUUCAUCCAUCCAGCUCGUAUUCUAUGGUUGAGAUCUCCAUCUAAUUCUCCGUUCUCUUGCAAGAUAGAUCCUAGGUAGCGAAAACGGUCGCUUUUUGUGAUCUUCGCUAGAUUGCUCCGGUCAUUAGUGUAGAUAAGUAUAUAAAUGGAUAGAGAUAGGAAAGCAAACACAAGAUGUAUGUGGUUCACCCAGAUUGGCUACGUCCACGGAAUAGAAGAGUUCUCAUUAAUUGUGAAGGGUUUACACAAGUACAUAGGUUCAAGCUCUCCUUUAGUGAGUACAAGUGAAUGAUUUAGUACAAAUGACAUUAGGAAAUAUUGUGGGAGAAUGAUCUCGUAAUCACGAAACUUCUAAGUAUCGGAGUGUGGUGUCGUCUUGACUUGCCUUAUCUGUCUCAUAGGUAGAUGUGGCAUCUUCUCUGGAAGUACUUUUCCUCCAUCUAGGGGUGGUAUCUUUAACUGGUGGAGAUGCACAAGGUAAUGUAUCAAUUUCACUUGAAGCUUACUUGUAGUUUCAGGCUUGGUCAAGCGCGAUACAAACCAUGUAGUAGGAGUCCCCCAAGUCGCCGAGCUAGGGGGUCUGCUGAAAGAGGUGACAGACAAGGUAAGCAAUCAGAGCUCCGACUGAUUGUUCACCUUCUCCCCAUCUUGCAAUAGCAUAAAGGAUAAAGAGAAGAAAAAUGAGAAGAGAUGAUAUGAGAUACUUUUGCUUUUGAAGAAGUAACUUUCCACAGGCUUAUUCUUGAACUGAGCUGGAGGGUUUUAUGGUUUCCUCCAGAGUAUAAGGCCGACUGAAGAAUUUGAGGGUCAAAACAAGUCCAUCAAAUCUAGAGUACGUUCCACCCUGCUGAUAUGGGAUACUUUUGCUUUUGACAGAGUAAUGGAUGUAUCGGCACGUGUGCUGUUACGCUUGUCUCCACAUGCUUCCUUGUAUCCUUCGCACUUGCCCUAUCUGUUCCUCAAGCAGGUGCGGAAUCUUCCCUGGAAACAUAAGCUGUUGAAGAUGAGUACUCGAGAGCAAUGCCAGGUAAGUAAUCAGGUAAGGGGUUCCAGGCAGUCAGUUCCUGGCUGGAAGCUUGAUUCCAAGUGCUGACUGAUUGCUCUCUUUCACCUUGUCUUGCAGGUAAAAACAAGGCCAAAGGAAAAGACAGGAAAAAAGCAUGAUAUGGGAUACUCUUGCUUUUAACCCUGAUGAUAUGAGAUAUUCUUGCUCUAGUAUAGCUUGUUUGUAGAGGUAUUAUCGGGGGGAAAGAAAGCUGAAUAUUUCGAAAGGCUUCGUUGGGAGUGCCCUCUCAGAUAUGAUGAAGGGUUGAGCAUUUUUGCAGGUCUGCCUGUCCUUUGGGGAUGGAGGUCGACAUAUAUAGGAGUCUCCCUAACAACAAGUAGUAAUGCUAUUCCUUUACCCUGCUUGGUCAUAGCACGAUAGUGGGAGCUGUCAGUUUCACAUGUUUUAACUCUGUCAGAGCACUUUGAAAAAGUGGUCUGUGGUAUCUGGGUCUCGAGAUUCGGAGAACAAUGCCUCUUCGAUUUUUGAGAAAGCAAUCAUGCUAGGGGUCUGGCUCUCGAGAUUCGGAGAGCAGUGUCUCUUCGAUUUUUUAGGAAGUAAUCAUGUUGGGAGUCUGGCUCUCGAGAUUCGGAGGGCGGUGCCUCUUCGAUUUUGGAGCAAGCAAUCUUGUUGAGAGUGUUGUCUCGAAUGUGAGUAAAGGUUGGGCAUGUUUGCUAGUCUACCUUGCCACGAAGCACAAAGGUUGACACACAGGGACUUUCCAAUUAUCCAGCAAUGGUACUGUUCCUUUACCCUCUCUUCGAUUUUGAGAAAGUAGUCAUGUUGGGAGUCUGGCUCUCGAGAUUCGGAGGACGGUGCCCUCUUCGAUUUUGGAGCAAGCAAUCUUGUUGGGAGUGUUUUCUCGAAUGUGAGUAAAGGUUGGGCAUGUUUGCUAGUCUACCUUGCCACGAAGCACAGAGGUUGACACACAGGGACUUUCCAAUUAUCCAGCAGUGGUACUGUUCCUUUACCCUUGUGGGUAAUAAUAUGGUAGCUAGACCUUCAAAAUUUAUGUGUCUAAACUUUGUUAGUGCUGUUUCUUUGCUAUUCUUUUACCUUUCUUGGUCAGAGCGAUGUAGUGGGAGCUGCAAGCUUCACGUGCUCAACUUUGGCAGAGAACUUUGGCAAAGUUAUCUGUGGUACCCAUGAGCUGUUGUUGCGUGUGGGAAGUGGGUAAUUGAACAGUAAGAUUCAUGUGCUUUCUACUUCACCAGAAGUCUUCAACAGAAUGCCCAUAAUUUCUGCAAAGCUGAGUGUGCGUGUGACAGGUGCUGACAAGGCUAGAAAAGUAGGUGCCUCUUCGAUUUCUGAGAUCGGCCCUCGUGGUCUCUGAGCAGCCCAGCUUUUGAGAAAGCGAGCGCCUCUUUGAUUGAUUCGGAGAACGAUGCCUCAUCGAUUUUUGAGAAAGCAAUCAUGCUGGGGGUCUGGCUCUCGAAGAUUCGGGGAGCAGUGUCUCUUCGAUUUUUGAGAAAGUAAUCAUGUUGGGAGUCUGGCUCUCGAGAUUCGGAGGGCGGUGCCUCUUCGAUUUUGGAGCAAGCAAUCUUGUUGGGAGUGUUUUCUCGAAUGUGAGUAAAGGUUGGGCAUGUUUGCUAGUCUACCUUGCCACGAAGCACAGAGGUUGACACACAGGGACUUUCCAAUUAUCCAGCAAUGGUACUGUUCCUUAGGUGAUCACAUGUUUUUCUCUCUUCUUAAAGAAGGUGUCUCCCUGCCCACGUGUCCAUUUAAAUCUCCUCCUAUAAAUAACUUCUCCGUCUGAGCAAUUCCUUGCACCAAGUCUCCAAGGUCUUCCCAAAAUUUCUCCUUCGAACUCAUAUCCAACCCUACUUGAGGUGCGUACGCACUAAUCACAUUGAUAAGUUCUUGUCCUAUUACAAUCUUGAUUGCCAUGAUUCUAUCUCCUACCCUCUUGACAUCUACAACAUCUUGUGUCAAGGUCUUGUCCACGAUGAUGCCAACACCGUUUCUCGUUCUAUUUGUGCCCGAGUACCAAAGUUUAAACCCUAAGUUUUCUAGAUCCUUUGCCUUAAGACCAACCCACUUAGUUUCUUGUAGGCACAUAAUAUUUAUCCUUCUCCUCACCAUAACUUCCACUACUUCCAUAGAUUUUCCCGUUAAGGUUCCUAUAUUCCACGUUCCUAAACGCAUUCUACUCUCCUGAACUCUACCCUUCUGUCCUAGCUUCUUCACCCUCCCCCGUCCAAUAGAAUCAAAGUACUUCUUUUGUGUGUCCCGUGUAAAGUUGAUAGGUGCAUAUGCUCCCAAACAACUUUGAGUGAAGUCGUUCGAAAAGAAGUUUCUAUGGCCCCCUUGCUCAUUUAACACUGCAUCCGGGUGCCUAUAGAGAUACAGCGACCCUUGCUCACUUAUCACUGUGCUCGGGCCACACAGCGCGCCACUUACGGGUGACGCCCUAGCUUUAGCGCGAUUUCGUUCUGAAUUCAUUUUCAUAAGGAUUCGACGUAACUGUGGAGUGCCGGCUAUCGACUACCUGACGCCCUCCCCCUCCUCCUUUACCCGGGCUUGGGACCGGCCAUGUAAGAUAAACUUACAUAGGCGGAGUUAGCUAACAUAAAAUAAUGAAGUAAAAUUCCAUGCUCAGCGAACUUCAUGACCGAUAGUCCAUGGGUUUGCAUGUAUUGGAGAUUCUAAUUAGGCCUGUACAAAAUUAGGAAGAAAUAGAAUAUCACAAGAGUUAAAGCUCAAUCUUGGUAGUUUCUCAUAGAUCCCAUGGGCCAAAGAAGUCGUCCUACAAUGCUUGAUUGAUUUCUGUAAGUGUUGGCUGUUGAGAGGAUCUAGAUAAUGUCCCAGGAAAUUUUGGUGCUUCUUGUUUUUCCAUCAACAAAAUUGGGUGUUUGUUGGAUGUUCCAUUUUGGUUACAUAGGAUUUUUAGACUUUAAAGGGAGGAGUCUCAGACGUUUGAAGAGCAUUUUGAAUCUCUUUGGAGUUCUGAUUUUCUGUUCCGCGAGUCAGUCAAGAACAUUAAAACUAGUAUUACAAUGCUCUUACUUAAAACGUAGUGUCACUGUCAAUUCCAUAUGGUAUAAAUCUUGAACUCAAACUCCCAACCAUUUCUUUGGGUAGUCGGCUUGAGGAUAUGAUUAUGUAUUAAGCAAAUUAUGACUCAUCAAUUAAAGAACUACUACAUGAAUUGGGAAAAUGUUUAACCAAGUAUUCAGCACGAAGUAGAGCUGAAGUAAACUUAAGGUUAUGCAUGUGAGUUCUCUUCGCAGUGGACGAGUAAAUGUGAAAUGAAUUCCCGAUUGUAUCUUCUCAGGAAGUUUUAUACUAGCCAAUCAUAUAGAACUUUGACAUUAGUCUCUCAGUAAUUAAUCCUACUUCUGUUUUAUGUCAUGUUUUCAUUGUGAGAAAAUAGCUUAUUCUCGUUGCAGCUUUUGAUUCUUGAAUCUGAUGCAAGCAAUCCUUGUUUUGUCAGGUGGCAGAGAGAGCUUUAUUUUUGUGGAACAACGAUCACAUUGAGAACUUAAUCAGACAGAAUCGUAAAGUUACUGCCUAUUAUCUUACCUGCAUUGGAGAAAAAUGCUAGAAAUCACUGGAAUCAGGCUGUCCAUAGCUUGACCCUAAAUGUCCGAAAAAUUUUCAACGAGCUUGAUCCUGAGCUUUUCAAGGAGUGCUUACUCCAGGUUCAGGAAGACGAGUCAAAGGAGGGCGAGGUUGCCGCACGGCGUGAAUCCACUUGGAAACGCUUGGAAGAAGUUGCUGCAAAGAAAGCUGCGAGCAACGAACCUGUGCUUGUUUUCGGCAAAGCACCUCCCAGCACUACCUCGCUUUAGCCGGAGCAAGAGACUUGCUGACAACACAAUGACAUCAAAUUCUGUUAAUCGAAAACGGGAUUUGUAGCACUGUGACGUGGUUCGGGUGGUUCGGGUGCUUGUUUUCAAAGAUCAUUGUGUAUGUUGUAGUUGUAGCUAGGAAAUGGUUCUGGCAGAUAACCCCGGUCCAAGAAAACAUUCUGCCUUAUUGAUUGUUUUGUUUAAAAGUUAAUUUUCUAGCUCCUCUUUCAUCCAUUUGACAUAACGGGCUCACUUAUUCUCCCAGGAGGAGAGUUCUUCAAGGCGGCCCCAUCACUCGACUGUGUGGCCGAAGACUCAUAGCCGAAAUACAAAGUGUGCUGAGAGAUGUUUUUACCUGUAUCUAAGAAUUUUUUGCCUCAUCAAAUAUAAAAUAAUAACCACCGCUAAUGUGUGAAAUAAGAACUCUUACGUGAGCGAAAACAAUGUUUUAAAAAAAUCACCCCAAGGUGCGCCCUAGGCGGCUUUGGAGGCUGGCUGGAAGGAAAAUCGCCUCUGUUUUGUGGGGAGUCAGCGAAAAACUCAUCUAGGUUUCGUCGGGGCACGUCUCAGGACGUUUGGGGGCGUCAUUUUUGUUUAAAAGUUGUCAAAAUCUGAAAAAUAAAAAUUUAGGUCAAGUUUCAAAACUUUUAGUUGCAGAACCUCAUGCUUCAAGGCUUCCGCCUAAGGUCUUUGUCGUUUGAGUAAGUUGUAGAAAUGAUCUCUUAAUUUUAAUCAAAUUUGAGCAAUGAUCCCUCAACUAAAAAUCAAUUACUAUUGGUCUCUCAACUUAUCAAAAUGUGUAGUUAUAGUCAUUUUUAUCAAUUUUGUCAAAAUAAGUUAUGUUGGAAUAACCAUUCAUAUAAUUAGGGUUUCUCAACUCAUCAAAGUGUGUAAUUAUGGUCAUUUUCGUCAACUACGUCGAAAUUUUUGUCAAAACGAUUUAUGUUGGAAGGACCAUUGCUACAAUUAGGUUAAAGUUAAUGGAUCAUUUCUUUAGUUGAAUUAAAGUUGAGGGACUAAUGAUAAUGAAUUUUUAGUUGAUGGACCAUAGCUGCACGUUUUGAUGAGUUGAGGGACCAAUAGUAAUUGAUUUUUAGUUGAUAAACUAUUACUCCAAUUAAAUUAAAAUUAAAGGAGCAUCGUUCUUGUUUUUUAAAACAUUGAGUGACAAUGAUCAUAAACUCCACUAAAGAUACUGUUCUUUUUUGGAAUCUCUAAAAACAAUAAAAAAAAGUUAGUCAAAUAACAAGGAACGAGGAUCCUCUGGAUCCUUUUGUGAGGAUCUCGGACAUCUUUAAAUUAUAUUUGUUCAUCAUAUAUUAUACAGUCAGUUAUCGUUAAUUACUAUUUAUAUUUAAUUUUAUAAAUGAUUUCUACCCAUAUAAUGCACGAUGAACUGAUACAAUUUAAGAAUAUAAAAAAAAUAAAAACACAAGGAGAGAUUCGUUCGAUGAGUUGGCUGUGAGUUGGCUGACUUUUCUUUCAUGUAGCUCUCACUCAGUCACUUGUGGUGGGAUUAAUGAUCACUUUUCUCGCUCUCACGAUGUGGUGACGCUUAUUUCUAUUGAAUGUGUCAAUCCAUAUCGCUCUCUCUCCCUCCCUCCAAGUCCAAGUUAGAGAGAGAGUUUUUGUUCGAGAGCUUUGGUUCCUUUACCAUUUUCUCUUUUCCCAACUUUUACUUUCUUUCAACACUCUCUCUCAAACGGUGGAUUUUAUGGGGACUGAAAUUGUUGAAUGUUCUCCUGGUCACCUUUUCUACUUCGUCUCUCUCUCUGUGACCCAAAAUUUAAUAGAAGAAAAGCUCUUUGCUUUCUUGCACUGCUUAGACUCCUGCUGAUUCUGUAAGUAUAAAAAUUUCAUCUUUUUACACUUGAGUUUGGUACCCUUUUACUUUUUUGCUCGCACCCUUUUAGAUUUUUUCUUUUAGGCAUCACUUUCCCUUGGAUUAUUUCAUUGUUAAUGAUAUCUGUGGAAUGCUAUCUCUGUGUUUCAGAUCGCACUCAGAUCGUGUCAGCUGCAGAGCUAACUGGGUUUAGCUGCUGAUUUGGUAAAUAUAUCUGUAUGUAUGUAGUCUUCAAGCUGUCCUUACCUGGAAGUAGAUUAAAGACAAGAGCUUUUCUUAAUUUGGGAACUUGUUAUUGGACUUUGGCUUAAAUCAGUUUCUGCUUCUGGGUUACUGAAUUUGACCUUAGAAGGUGUCAAAUUUUUCUACUUUACCGUUAGAGAUGUAGAGAAGUUGAAGAAUCACUAGAAUAUAAUGAUACAUGACAACAAGGGAACUUGCUUGCUUUGAUUAUUUGCUUCUGAGAGUGUAAGUUUAAUCUUCAUAUGGAAAUGGGUGUCUCUAUCUGGGUUUUCGAUUUCUUAUAGUGCCGAUUGUUGCUCAUUGAGUGUGUAUCUGGUUUGAUUCUUCUAUCUGAGGUAUCGAAUUUUCGGUUCAGUUCUGCUUUGAGGGUUUGACACGAUUUGUGGUUGGGGUCUUUUGUUUUUGAAGUCAUGAUCAAGAAUUUAAUUGGUAAGCUUCCUAGGAAGCCGUCUAAGUCAGCCGAGAAUCGUGAAUCUGGGGGUUCAUCUGCCGCUACAUUGAAUGCUUCCUCUAUAGGUUCAAGAAGCGGUGAUGUAGGGAAUAGGCCAAUUAAUUCAAAUAGCGUACCUCUUUCAGGCCUUGAUUCUGAUUCAAAUUUAGGAUAUGGCCAUGGAAGUAAGCUCCCUCAACUUGUCAACUCAAGUCUGAAUUCUGUUACCACUUCUUAUGAAGCGUUUCCAGCUUUUAGAGAUGUACCAAACUCCGAGAAGCAUCACUUGUUUGUGAAAAAGCUGAACUUAUGUUGUGUGGUGUUUGACUUCACUGACCCAACGAAAAAUCUGAGAGAAAAAGACAUCAAGCGGCAGACGUUGCUAGAGCUUGUAGAUUAUGUUACUUCUGCAAAUGGAAAGUUCAAUGAAAUCAUAGUGCAAGAAGUUGUAAAGGUGGUGACUGUGAAUUUGUUCAGGUCAUUCUCUCCACAGCCCCGUGAGAAUAAGGUUUUAGAAGGAUUUGAUGUGGAGGAGGAGGAGCCUUUGAUGGACCCUGCAUGGUCACACUUACAGAUUGUGUACGAACUUUUCUGAGGUUUGUUGCAUCGCCCGAGACAGAUGCAAAGGUCGCUAAGAAGUACAUUGAUCAGUCUUUUGUUCUCAAAUUAUUGGAUCUCUUUGAUUCUGAGGAUCCUAGGGAAAGGGAGUACUUAAAAACAAUUCUGCAUCGUGUCUAUGGAAAGUUUAUGGUGCAUCGCCCAUUCAUUAGGAAGGCGAUCAACAAUAUAUUUUUCCGAUUUAUUUUUGAAACAGAAAAGCACAAUGGGAUUGCUGAGCUUUUAGAGGUUUUGGGCAGUAUAAUCAAUGGAUUUGCUCUUCCGCUUAAAGAAGAACACAAACUUUUCCUAGUUCAGGCUCUGAUCCCCCUUCACAAACCAAGAUGCUUACAAAUGUACCAUCAGCAGUUGUCCUACUGCAUUUCACAGUUUGUCGAGAAAGAUUGCAAGCUUGCAGAUACUGUUAUAAGAGGGCUGUUAAAGUACUGGCCAAUCACAAAUAGUUCAAAGGAAGUCAUGUUCCUAAGUGAGCUCGAGGAAACUUUAGAAGCAACUCAGCCAGCAGAAUUUCAAACAUGUAUGGUACCACUCUUCCGCCAAAUAUCUCGUUGCUUGAGCAGUUCACAAUUUCAGGUAUUGAGCUGGGUCUUCAUUUAAUUUACUAUUUCUUUGUGCUCAUAAAUAUUUGGCCUGUUUGAAGAAACCCAUCUCUCUCUUCCCUUUGCGCUCCCAAAAGUUUUGCAUGUCACCUUUUAUUGAUUCUGAUAAGUAUUUUCUGCCAUUUGGUUUGUUUUUACUCUUGUUUAUAUCUUUGAUCAUUGUCAUUGUAUUUCCUUCCAUAUUCGACUUUAAGGGAAGUUCUUCUGAAAUAUUUACUUUCGACAAUGUUAUCGUUUUAGGGAGGUCAAGCUCACUUUCCAUGUAUAUCCUGACCAAGAACCUUGAGUUGACUGAUGUGUGCUUUUACAGGUGGCAGAGAGGGCCUUGUACUUGUGGAACAAUGACCACAUCGAGGACUUAAUCAGACAAAACCGUAAAGUCAUAUUGCCCAUUAUCUUUCCUGCUUUGGAGAAGAAUGGCCACAACCACUGGAACCAAGUGGCGCGGAGGUUGACGUUAAACAUCCGUAAAAUCUACUCUGACAUUGAUCCUGAGCUAUUUGAGGAGUGUUUGCUCAAAUUUCAAGAAGAUGAAGCAAAAGAGGAGGAGAUUAAAGCAAAACAUGUAGCCACCUGGAAGCACUUAGAAGAGAUUGCUGCUUCUAACGCUGUUAGCAGUGAAGCAGUUGUUGGCCGCUUGGACCCAACCCAGACAUCUCCAAGCUAAUGGUAGAGGGAUAUACUUAUGCAGUUAGAAGUUCUCAUAUUUCUGUUUUGCUGCUUUUUCUGAUCGUUGGGUGGGAGCAUUGCGUGGCCGUGUGCUGUGAAAGGUUGAACACUAUUUGAUAGUUGUCCAUAGCCUUUUCUGUUUUUCCCUCUAUUUCAGCUCGUCACCCCUAACGUUUAGAGAAACGUUCCACAGCAUUGAAGUUCAUGAUUCUGGGAUUUUCACAGAUACCAUUUGCACGAAACAACACAACAGGAGUUAGAAGCUGCAUUAUGUAUUCAGCACGGUGAACAUAGAGGUAUAGUUGAUAAGGGUUAACAUGAAAGAAGCUACAAAAUACAGGUAAUUUUAUUCAUUUGGAGUAGAUUUAAUUGGUUUGAAGUACUUAACUACUUAGUCUCGUUUCUGUAUGUGUAUAAUAUCUAUCCAUGGAUCUCAGAAAGAAUCUGUUUGCGUGUGCUUUUUUUUUAAUAUAUUGAUAUAUCUGAUUGGCUUUAGUUGUGAUGAAUGUUCUUAGGCCCUAACUCAUCAUUAAAAUGCAUUUACUGGACUUGUACUUUCGUCUACAUGUUCCUGAGCAAAUGAUGAUAAUUUACAAAUGUGUAAACUAUGAACAUCAACUAGUUGAACCAUAGGACUGGCUGGAAGACAUAAACCCAGUUACAUAGGCUUAAGAGCUUGGUGCCACAGAAACAAAUUCUAGGAGCUCGUGAUCACUUUCAAAUUUAGCCAUGUCUUCUUCGUCCAAGGUCACCCAUGCCUCUAUUCCGUCACCCGAGCUACUACUCAACAGUAUGACAACAUUCUUGAUGGGCACAUUACUAAUGCAUGCCCAGGUGGGUUUUCCCCAUCCAAAAUCAGUGUUGUAUAGGGAAAACCUAAUCCAACUGCUGAACCUGAAAAACUCAACCUCUCCUUCGGAGACCAAUUCACUCGUUUCUUUUAGAGGCUCACAAGCAUGUGAAAACCCGUCUUCACCUUGCAGUUUCCUCACACAAUCAUCAUCGAUCUUCCUUAUUACUUUUCUUAAUUGGACCACGAAGUCAUGCAACUCUGGUUUGCUUUCAUCUUUCAUUAUGGAUGCAACAGCAACCCGCCAGAUAUUACCAAAAGAAUGCUCUGGCAAAGGUGGAGCCAUUCGUUCCCUUAAAUACCCCACAUGGGAUAUCGCCAUUGAUGGCCUGCCCCUACCCAAUGUACCAAUCUUUGCGUUCAUGCUCGACUUGCAUAUAAGGGCUGUCAGAGCUUCCACACGAGUGGGAGCACGGCCGUCCGUGCACAAUCCCUUGGAUGCUUUGACUUUCAGCUUGGCCAAGCUGGAUGCAUCAAACACAAACCUCUUUGUCACGAACUUUUCUCUCUUGAUCAAAUUGGAUGGCAUGAAGAUUUGUUUGUCCCUAGGUGGAAAGAUGUUGGCUGAAUUUAGGGAGGGAGUGAUGUUUUCAAAAACACCGCGUGACCUUGUAGCCCAAGCAUCAAGGAACGAAGACAAUGUUGCACCAUCUGCGAUCUUGUGGGAAAGGCAGAUUACAAUGCCCAUGCCACCGCAGUCAAAGAAGUUCAAUUGAAUGGCCAUGGCUGCAACUGCCUUGUCCAUUCUAAUAUUGUAGGGAUCAAGUGGAAGAAGUUGUUGCACUAAAUCCAUUUCUGGAAUUUUUAGUAUCUCAGAGAGCUGAAUGUUAGCUCUAGCUCUUGCGAAGGCAACAGCUCCGUCUUCACAAUCCACGGAUGCAUUGCCCUCAAUCCUUCCGGCCAAAGGGUAGAAACCGGUCAAGGUUUCCGAUAAAGAGUUAUUCAGCUUAUCAACAAUGGUGGUAUCGUCAAUGUUUUCAGGAGCUGAGUAGAAAAGAAUGACUGGCACAUAAAACAUGGGAGCUAUCUGCUCUAGCAAAGAGAGUUUGUAGCUCUUAAGGUGGUCUGGAAUCGGAGAUGAUGGUUUGCAUUGAUCUUCAGAGACUAUCUCAAUCUUCAUCUGCAUUUUCACUUCUUUUUUUUUUCUGUUAAAAUUGCAGUUACGGAGAAAGAGAACUUUGAGAUGAAGAUUAAGAACUAAUUACAGCAAGAUAAACUGAUUACAGUUAAUCUGUUUUCAAAACACUAUUUAUAAGCAGCUAAUCUAUUGCUGAUAGCUACGCUUGCCAAACCUAACCAUUUCAAUUUUCAACCAACUCCUUGUUGAGCUUGGAGAGGAUUUGGAAACUUGUUUAAGCUACUAGAAAUUUGGAAGAUUUAGGGUUGGUUUGGUAUUGCUUCGCUUUGAAAAAAAAAAAGCUACUUCUACUGUGCUGUGAGAAUAAGCAGCUGUGAAAUAAAGCAGUAGGGUGUUUGGUAAACUUUUUUGUAAAAGUGCUUUUGAAAAGAAAAAAAAGCAGUAUUAUAGUGUUUGGUAAACUUUUAUGUAAAACAGAUGUGAAAAAAAACCGGUUUUUCAAGGCUGGGUUUUGCAGCUUUGUGUUUUAGUUUUUCACCCAAAACUGUGAAAAAAGCUGAAGUUGAAUGUUUACCAAACACAAAAAAACUCCCAGCUUUUUUUUAUACCCACUUUUUUCAAAAUCACCUCAGUACCAAACGAGGCCUUAACUGGUCAUCCAAUGGAUAUUUACACGUGGCGUUGAUUGAUCGAUUGCUUGGGAAGCAAGAACGUUGUAUCACCAUUGUGUGAUGCAUUAAAAUUUCUUGGUUAAUGUCAAUGUCACGCAUUAAAAUUUCUUGUUUAAUGUCAAAGUUACUGCUAGGUAGGUGAUUAAUGUCAAUGUCACGCAUUAAAAUUUCUUGUUUAAUGUUAAAAUUUCUUGGAUAUGCUCUUAAUAAACAUAGUGAAAGCCAAGAAUCAGAAUAAUUCCAAUAUAAACAUAGUGAAAGCCAAGAAUCAAAAUAAUUCUAAUAUAGAAAUGUUUGGUUUGAUGUGGUUUCGAGUUUGGUUUGGUCCCUUUUUGUGUAUAUUCUUUACAUAUGUUAACUGGAAAAAAAAAUCAUGGAAAGCUGGGCAUGCUUUGCUUUGGCAUGAUGAAAAAUGAAAGGGAACUUUAACAAAAAGUUUUCGGUACUGUUCAUUUUAACGAAAAACCACAUUUUUACACUAAAAAUUUUUUGAAUGGUCUGUUGCUCCUGAGUUGCUUGCAUUUCUUGAAGCGGCAUAUCUUCGUAACACCUGAAAGCAAAUGAAAUCUCUAGAGUAAAUAACAAGCAAAAAAAGCAAGUUGGCGGCGUGCAGGACAUGCUUGCCGCGGCAUAGAUGAUGUGACAUGCUCACAUAUUACGCACAUAAAACAACUUUCUUUUAAUUUUUUAUCAAGCCAAAGUGAUAAAUAUAAUUUGGUUGAAGAAGACAUACAUCUUGUGGUAGGCUAACGCUUGUGCCAGAUUCAUUAGAGUUGAACUUGUAAAGAGCCUUUUGUAAACACAUGGAGGGAGGGGCAUCUGCAGCGCAUCAAUAGAUAAAAAAAUGCUGAGAGAGAGAGGGAGGGAGGGAAUGCAGAGAGAGAGAGAGAGAGAUUUGACCUCGUUUUGCCCUCUUCGUCCCUUCUUAGACUGUCCAUCACCAGUAAAAAGCUCCUGUAGUGCCUCCACGGCUACAGAUCCACUAUUAUCCUGAUGCAUGCCUCCAAGAACAUUGUCUGAUAAGAGAGCAAUGGGGGAUAUAUCGGUUGCCCUCAAAAAUGGAAUAGGCACUGUAUUACCAGCUGCAUAUAUGGACCAAAGCUGCCAUGAACAUGAAAAUAAGCAAUUAUAUACUAGUGUUGAGCCUGUUGACAACCCGGUAUUUUUUUAGGAAGGGCUGGUAUUUAAGUCAAGGGGUUGGGAUAAUUUUAGAUUAGUGAUAAGAGAGGGAAUUAGGGAUGCCCCUUGAGGAGAAGAAAUGAGGAAGGCAUGUCCCACUGUGAUAGGGACCUAUCAACAGGCAAGCAUAGACCUCAGAGCGAAUAUUACCUUAUCUUGCAUUGCAAAAGCUUUCCGGCUGACAGCUUCAUUCUUCACUUUGCCACUGCUUAUACUGCUUGGACCUCCAACCUGGACUUGAGAUGUGCUUUUUGUCUUUAUGCUCUGCUCAGAUGCCUGUAGAGUGUGCGUAACUGGAAUGCCGUUUUUGGUAAUACUACUUGAAUUUUCCUCCCUGAUAGAGCAUCAUCGUAAAUGUUGGUAUCGUCAAUGGUGGUAUCGUCAACAAUGGUGGUUUCUGAUAAAGAGUUCUUCAACUUAUCAACAAUGGUGGUAUCGUCAAUGUUUUCAGGAGCUGAGUAGAAAAGAAUGACCGGCACAUAAAACAUGGGAGCUAUCUGAUCUAGCAAAGAGAGUUUGUAGCUCUUAAGGUUGUCUGGAAUCGGAGAUGAUGGUUUGCAUUGAUCUUCAGAGACUAUCUCAAUCUUCAUCUGCAUUUUCACUUUUUUUUUUUUUUUUCUGUUAAAAUUGCAGUUACGGAGAAAGAGAACUUUGAGAUGAAGAUUAAAAACUAAUUACAGCAGGAUAAACUGAUUACAGUUAAUCUGUUUUCAAAACACUCUAUUUAUAAGCAGCUAAUCUAUUGCUGAUAGCUACGCUUGCCAAACCUAACCAUUUCAAUUUUCAACCAACUCCUUGUUGAGCUUGGAGAGGAUUUGGAAACUUGUUUAAGCUACUAGAAAUCUGGAAGAUUUAGCUGGUCAUCCGACGGAUAUUUACAUGUGGCGUUGAUUGAUCGAUUGCUUGGGAAGCAAGAACGUUGUAUCGCCAUUGUGUGCUGCAUUAAAAUUUCUUGGUUAAUGUCAAUGCCACGCAUUAAAAUUUCUUGUUUAAUGUCAAAGUUACUGCUAGGUAGGUGAUUAAGUUUUAGACCAGGAGAGUUGCGAGGGUGAUAAAACUGUUGAUCAACCUAUGGAUUGCGAGAUUAGGGUUGAACAAGUUUUUUAACCCAGAAGAAUAUGGAAUUGGGUUUUCUUGGGUUGAAGAGUUAUUUGAAGUGACCAUGGCAGUUGUAGGGCUUGGGCUGGCUAGGAUGUGUUCCUUUCAUGUACACUCGUAUCGUGUUGGGCAAACAAGCCGCUGACGGGGGAUGACCCGUUUGAAAUGCUUUUAGGAGAAGAACUUCUACUUCUAAGCGCUUUUAUUAUAAACACUUUUUUAUUUGAAAUGCAAGUGCUUUUUGGACAAACACUUAAAUUGUUUUGAUAAUACCAAAACACUAGUAAGGUUUUUUUUCCACUAGAGCCGCUUUAAGUUUUUAUUUUAUUUUUAAAGCGCUUUAAGAUUGCAGGGGCUUGUAACUCAGUUGGGGUAGGAAUGUAGGAAGGUAGGAAUGUGGGUUUUUACACCAAUCUUAAUUAUUGAUGGCGGCGAAUUCCGAGUCAAACAAAUUCAUGGUUUAUAGGUAUCUCAUUAUGGAUUAUAGCGAGGGAGCUACGUGUGACCUUUUUUAGUAUUUUAUUUUUAGAAAGUAUAGGACAUUUUUUAAAUUUAAAGAUUCAUUUUACAACUUUGUUGUAGCACAAAAAAAAAUCAUACGUGGCACUUCAAAUUUAGUUUUGUAGACUCUUGGAUAUGCUCUUAAUAAACAUAGUGAAAGCCAAGAAUCAGAAUAAUUCCAAUAUAGAAAUGUUUGGUUUGAUGUGGUUUCGAGUUUGGUUUGGUCCCUUUUUGUGUAUAUUCUUUACAUAUGUUAACUGAAAAAAAAAAUCAUGGAAAGCUGGGCAUGCUUUGCUUUGGCAUGAUGAAAAAUGAAAGAGAAUUUUAACAAAAAAACCUCUGGUACUGUUCACUUUAACGAAAAACCACAUUUUUACACUAAAAAGUCAAUUAUGUUACUAUUCACUUUACCCUUUAUUUUAUCCUUAUCAUUAAAACUCUAAGCUUUCAAGCCUUUUUCAUUAGUUUUUCUAAAAUUUUAAAUGAUUCAAAUCUGAGAACUUGUUUCUGAGAGGAAGGAUGCAAGAAGUUUGGAUACAGGAGGACGGCCCUAACUAGCUGAGCCUAACCAACAAACUGCAUUCGCAUAAUACAAACUUAAAAAAACCAAAAAAAAAAAUAAAACAAAAAAAAAAAAAAAAGGGGCGGGAGAUUCUUUUAAGUAAUUAUUAAUCCAAUAAUUGAGAGGGAAACAAGUUAAGAAACAAGCUAGACUAGUUAAAUAAAUAGGCCCGAUUGGAUUAUUAGUCCCUGACAGGUGAUAAGAUAGUUGGAAGAUAGUCUAUGUGGUAAAAAACUUAGAAUUUAAGUUUUGUGAUGAAAUCUGUUAGGAUUUAUACCCAAAAUGAAAAUUCCGUUAACUUUCCGUUAAUUAUUAGCACGUGAGUCACACAUAUUAGGCUAACACAGAAUUUUCCGUUAAUUGUUAGCACGUGGGGAUUACAUGUGAAACUAACUUUAUAUUUUUAGUCUCACUAGUGAGCCUCAUGUGCUAAAAAUUAAUGGAGAGUUGACGAAAUUUUCAAUUUUGGGUCUAAAUCCUAACCGUCUUCAUCACAGAGGCUUAAAUCCUAAUCUUUUCAUCACAGGGGCCAUCUUCCAACUACCAUAUUCCCACGGUAACUAUUAAUCCAAUUAAACCAAAUAAAUACCAAGGCAAUUAGUAUGGACGAUCAGUUUUUGAUAUUUUGUUGCAGAAAAGAUCAAUGUCUAUUAUGUUAUUAUUAUAUCAUCCUUACGUGGUUGUUAUGUCAUUGUUGAGUUAUCAAUAUAUAAUUAAAUAUGUCAUCAUUACUAAAGCUGAUCAUUUCUGUAACCAAAUCUCAAAAGCUGAUCAUUCCUUCUAACUCCGUUAAAUAUCGUGUACAUUGAUAAGUACUCUUAAUCACUUGAACUAUAAAUACCUAGGCUAGUCCAAAAUAGACAAGAAAGUACUUUAAAAUAAACAAAUAUUUCCUAAUCACCACCUUAUUUUAGUUACCCGUUUUAGGUAGUCUUUAAUUUUGUCCUAAACGAUUAAGGUACCUUAUGUUUUCCUAGUCAAUUAGGGUACUUUUAUACUCACUAUUUAAAAACACUUGUGUGCGUGACUUGUUUUUGGGAUCCAUCUUUUUUAGUUGAUCAAACUCAAACAACAAUCGUUCUAAACGCAACGAAGAUCUAACUAGCUAGCUAAGCUUCUAAGCUUCAGAGAUAUCAUCAUCUAUGGCAAUGGCACCCAUCAUCACCGGCUGUCUCUCCAUUAUUUUUGGUCUGGACUCCUGCUUCUCCUUCUUUUUAACGGCUUUCCUCACCCACGAGACGUUAUCCACAUUCGACGAAAACCCCUUCCUAGAGUGCCCGUGGCCGUGGCCAGGCGAGAUUCCUCCUUCCGGUUUGGAUCAAUAUUAUUAGCGUUCCAUGCUUCCAGCUGCAAUUUUAAACUACGUACGUUCUGUAUUGCUGUACAAGAUAUUAUUAAUUAAUGUUGUUAAAUCAGCUUAAUUAGUGUCUUUAAUUUCUAUGUGUAUACCCAUUUUCUUCGUUUAUAAAUUUAAUGUAUUACGUAGAAUUAUGAACUUGUGUCGCAUAUUAUGCCUCAUGCAUAUUAUGUAAAAAAAAAAAAAAAAAUAGUUCAAAUCCACCUUGCUCAGACUCCCCGGUUAAUUAAACAUAAUAAUUAAGGAUUUUGCAUGCAGAAGAAAAGAAAAUUAAGAGCUAUAGCUUAUCAGUGUUUAUAACUAGUAACUACUAUGUACACCUUUAAUUAACAUCUCCCAACUUAAGCUUCACCAAACAAAAUAUGAUCAAAUCUAUCACCUUUCACUAUACACCAUCUGGUCUGACACAUAUACUUCAUAGGAAAGUAAUAUUUUCGUGUAUACGUACAUGGAAGGUAUAAAUCUAGGUACAGUAGCUAGAAGUUUGAUGUUGUUCAAGUUAGUAGAGUUCAUGUUUGCUUACCACCAACUGCUAUAAAUUAAAGAACAACAUGAACGACUAUUAACAUAUCAAACAUGCACACGACAAGGUGGCUAAAUAAUAACCGUACUUGUAUAUUAUUAGGCACCCAUAAUGUUGAAUUUUUUAGGUCGAUGGGUCGAAUGCCCCACUCCAACAACACCGAUACUGUCCCCAACGUGAUAAUUACCAAUUGUCCAAUCCAUCAGGUGUGGGGUUUUAUCACAAAAGACUUCGAUGUUAGUUAGAGUGGGGUAAUCCUAUUUAAAUAAAUUGCUUUUCUUCUUUCCCUCUAGCCGAUGUGGGAUUCAACACAUAGUACUUUAAAUCAGCUCAUCUUGGGGAAGAGAUCCUCUCCAUAUCUCUCCCACCAAAGCCACCAAGUCCACUCAUCCGGGCCCUUGAAAUUUGAUCCAACGAUUACAAACAGGGAGCCCCUUAAAAGUUAUAAUAAUUUUAGCCGUUGGAUCAAAUUUCAAGGGUCCAGAUUAGUGGCUUUGGUGGGAGAGAUCUCUCUUCCCCUCAUCUUGUACCACUAUAUUAGUGACUAUCGAUCUAUUUUCUUGAAGUAACCACUUUAAUGAUUUUUUUUUAUUGGAUGAAUUUAAUUUUAAGUUAUAUCAGUUUCAUCCAUCACUAGUACAUAACAGCAUAUUUACCACAUCAAUUCCAUCACGGGCAUCAACAGCUCGUGGUAGAAACUAUAGAAAACUUCAUUUUAAUCCUUGGCAAAAAUGAUUUUUUGAUUAAAACCAUGAGUAAGAUCAAAAUCUAAUUUUAGUCCCUUAAUACAUUAAUAGCCUCAUUUAUUAAUUAUAUUUUGAUUUUUAAUUAUUUAUCUUUUUCUUUCUAAUUUUUAAUGUAUUAAUUUUAUUUCAUUAUAAUUUUUAUUUUCAUUUCAUUCAUCGUAAUAUAUUUUGUUGUGAACAUUUAGAUAAACUAAUUUUUGUUAUACAAUAUAUUUCGAUGUACUUUAUCUUCUUCAUUUAGGUAUAUUAAAUUCAUUAUAAUACAUUUCGGUGCAUACAUUUAGGUACACACAUUUCGGUACCUACAUUUCGAUACAAACAUUUAGGUACAUUAAUUCAAUAUAAUACAUUUUCGGUACUAACAUUUCGGUGCAUACAUUUCGGUACACACAUUUAGGUACAUUAAUUUAAUAUUAAAACAUUUCGUUGCAUAUAUUUAUGUACAUACAUUUUGGUACUAACAUUUAGGUACAUUAAUUGAGUCUUUUAAAUUUGAAGAAUGUUAAAUAAAAUUAAUAAAUUAAAAAACUCUUUUUUGGUCAAAAAAUAAAUUAAAAUUUGUGUAUUAAUAAAUUUAAAUAUUUAAUGGGAGACAUUAAAUAAAAUGCACAUUAAUUAUUUUGAAUUAAGGACACAUUAGGGACUGAAAUCAAUAUUUAAUCUAACACCAGUUUUUUUUUAAAUUUUAAUCUUCUUGAAGGAUUAAAGUUCAAAAACCCCUAGAAACUAUUCAAUUACCACGGUUAAAUGUAGCUCGUGGUAGAUAACAUUAAUUCACCACGGUCAAAUUCUGGUCCGUUGUUAAAAGUAAAUAAUCUACAACGGUUUUUAAUCCCGUGAUGAAAUAUCAAAACCACCACGCGAUAUGCUCGUUGUGGUUACUUCAAACUACCACACAGCCUUUUGAAAAUUCACCACGCCAUCGGCCCGUGGUGGAUUUUUUUUUUUUAUAAAUAUUUUGAAGGAUAUUAAAAUAUAAAAUCCCAAUUAUUUCCCCUCCCGUGAAACUGUGAAACUGGACGAAAACCCUAAAAAGAAAACGUCAAUCCUUCUGUUUCUCCAUCUCUUCCGUCUCCGCCGGCUGGUCUCAGAUCAAUAUUCUGAUUUUUCUGAAACGAUGACAUUUAUCAACUGAGGUUAUGAAGGCUUUACAUAUUCCUAGAGGAGUACGUCGUGUGCUUUUACGAACAUCAAAUACUGACAGGUAAUAUAUUCGUUGUAUUUUUGUUUUUUUUUACUCUCGUGUGUGAAUCCACAUCGGGGGAAGUAUAAUGUUUAUAUUCUAUAUCUUUUCCAAUGUACUGCUGACUCCAAUUUACAGUGCACAGUUUGUAUUCUGUAUUUUUAUUUUCUUUGGUCGUCUCUCCAGUCAUCUCUCCCUCAAUCCGUGGCAACCUCUCUACAUCACUCAGGUUUCUUUUAUCCUAUAUCUUUUGAUUUCGUUUUCUUGUUAUGAAUAAGCAUUUAAAUUAUCAUUGAUCAUCGAACUUGGAGAUGUGUAUGCAUUCUUGUGGCUUACAGCUUGCAAAUUUAUCUUCCAGCAUUUCGCUCUCACACAUCCAUCCAAAGGCACACACUUUUCACAUCAUCAUCGUAAAUAUAUAAUUUUGAGUUGAGAAGUAUAUUUUUACUAUUUUGUUCUUCCAAUUCAAUAAAAAAAUUGUAUUUCACGCCCCAAAAUCAACCCCAUGUUACGAGGAUUGUGUCAUGGAGCACACUUGCUUGAAAUUAGGUUCCCUAACUGCAUGUUUUUACUGUUUUGUUCUUCCAAUUCAAUAAAAAGUUUGGAUGUUGCAGCUACUGCUGUAUAUACAUAUAUAUAACAACAACAUUCAAACUAGUAAAGAGAAGAAUGAACUUCUAUAUAUAUUAUCAAUGUAGUAAUGAAUAAAUAGAGAAUAAAUGUAUACAAUUAAUCUGUUCAGACCAAAAACAAUGUACAAUCUUUAAAGGCCAAACUGUAUCAUCAAAGUUGAUCAACCUCUUCUUCCUUAAGUUUUGGUGUAAUAUUGGAAAUUAGGUGUGUAUAGUGCAGUAGUAAUCAAAGUAAGAAGGGGUGCCCUUAAUAUACAUAUAUACACGCGCAUAUAUAUAUAUAUAUAUAUAUAUAUAUAUAUAUAUGUAUGUAUGUAUGUAUACAGCACGAACCAGUUAUAUAUAAGGAAAAAAUAUAUGCAGUAGUAAUACUUCGAUCAAUUGAAACUGCAAAUUCGACUAUACUAGUGUAAAUGUUGUAAAGAAAAUGCUUGUUCACUUUUUUUAUAUAAUAUUUUCCUGCUAAUUCACAGCAAAUGAUCUCUUUGCUAAUUCACAGAAAAUGCUUGUUGACUUCUUUUUUUAUAUAAGAUUGAUUGCUAAGAAGAUGGUUUCUAUGUGUCUUGUUUGUAUGAAUCGUAUGUACUAGCAAAUGGUUUCGUGUAUGUAUUAAUUUGAUAUUUGUAAUUUAAGUUUUGAUACAAGUUAUACUUGAAUAAAUAUAUAUAAUAUGUGUGUAUGUGUGUGUGUGUGUAUAUAUAUACAUAUCAUAUUUUAGUAUAUUUUGCCAUUAAGUUGUGAGUUGUGGUUAUUUUAGGAUUACUUUUGAGAAGCAUUGUUGGAAACGAUCAUUGUCAACUAUCUGAUUGCAAUGGACAAAGAUUGGCUAACAUUUUCGAGGUAUAUUAUCUGCCUCAAUGAAUUUCAUUUUUGACAUUGAUAACUAGGGUCUGUUUAAAGUGAUUAAGAUUUAUUUAUAAUACAGACCAUCAACAGAAUACAGAGAGGGUGCACAAAAGUUUGUACAAGUAGCUAAAGAAUAUGGAGGAAAUCGAGAUAAGAUCAUUUGCCCGUGUAUAAUAUGUCAAAACCAAUGUUUUCAACUACCUACGAUUGUGUAUGAACACUUGAUUAUGAAUGGAAUAGAUCCUUCAUAUACUACUUGGGUGUUCCAUGGUGAACAAGAACCUAUUCUUCAACAACAUGACUAUGCCAACGUGACAGAAACAUAUCAGAUGUAUAGGGAUGUCUUGGCUGAAGAUGAUGGAACCGGAAAAGCAAAUUUGCUAAUUGGAGAUGAGAAUUUCAAACAAAAGGUUGAAGAAGCUGAAGCUCCUUUAUAUGAAGGUUGUACGAAGUACACAAAGUUGUCAGCAACUGUAGUUUUAUUCAUUUUUCUUUUAAUCUUGUAAAUGAUUUUUAAAUGUAUAGGAUGACAUUAAGUUGGCUAAUGAAAUGCCAACAACAGACAAUGGUUCUAUAAAAGAGGAUGCCUUAUCACAAGCACUUGGACCUGAACAUCGAGGUCGACUUCGAGGAGGUGGUUACGGGGUUACACCUUCUAGAUACAAUGCCCAAACAUAUGCCAGCAUGAGUAAUCGAGAGCUUAGAGACCGACUACAAAAUGUCGAAGGAAAAUUGCGGGAAGUGUUUGAUCUUGUGUUGGCUAAACAACAAAAUGAGGUAAUUAUAUAUGCAACUUUGUAUAUACUUAUAAAAAUGAUAAAAGAUUUACGGCAUAUCACUGCAGGGAAAUAUAUUCUAACUUCUAAUCAUAUCGCUGCAGGGAAAUGGUAAAGAAACUAAUACCAAUGAUGCAAUUCAAGUCUCCACAAAUAGGCCUCAGGUAAAAAUGUGUCAUUAGUAAAUAUAGGUAUUUUGUUGAAUCUGAAACUGAUCAACUUCUAUUUCUUACGUAUUCACUAGUCACAGGGAGGCAGUAUAGAUCUCCAAAGAACUAAGAAUGGUGUAAAACAGGUUACCAAUUCCAGUUACCAGGUUUCCAGAUCAUCUCCCUAGGUAUGAAACUGAUUUUGUUUAAGUUGUCUCGAUGUCUUCAUCAUUAGAUAGAAGGAAAAUAGUGAACGUGUUCUUAGGAAAACUGAUAUUUUCUAUAAGAUGUAUGUGUGUGGCUCUGUAAGAUAUAUGUGUAUGGUUGUUUUUUUCUUCAAAUCAGAAUUAAAUGAAAACGAAAAACUUCUCACCAUAAAGUCUCUAGCAUGUAUUGUUCCCAUCUCCACCAACUGACCAUUCUCUAAUCCCAGUUGUUUCACUAUGUAUUCUUUUGCUCAGCCAAUUUCCAUCUUUGUGGCUCCAUUGGCGGCAGAGCAAAUUUCGUUUUUGUUAUUAGAUAUUAGAUUUUUUUUGUUUUGUGAGGUCAUUCCUGUGUACAAAUAUACUAAGACAUAGCAGAUGUUGAUAAUUAGAUUGUUUUUGUUUUGUUAUUAGAUACAAUGUGAUAGAAGAAGUGCACGAGAAGUUGACGAUGCUUCUAGACAAGCUUCCAAAGCUAGUUCCCAGGUAUUCGAGAACAAGUACUAAAUAGUUUGCUUAUGAAACUUAUGAGAUUUUGAUAUAAACUGAUCGAAUUUUGUGUCUUCCAUGUUUGGUUGUCACAGAAAAGUAGUCCAAACAUACAAAGAGACAUCAUUAAGGGAAAAGAAGGUUCUAAAGCCACUUCUCAGGUAGUAACACACGCUUGAUAAUAAUUGUUAAAGUUUGAUAACUUAAUCAUUUAAAAUUGAUGUUCUUAUUUGAUUUCUUUAUGCUAGUUACAACCUGUUGGUAUUUUACGAGGGUCUUCAUGCAAGUUACUAAAUUGGCUCGGAAAUGGACAAGUUGUUGCAACUGGAGAAAUAGAAUCAACAAAUCCUGAGGCGAAAGUUCAUCACAUGGUGCUUGGUCCUGAUUGUUGGAAAGUUUGGGUAACUGUUGUCAGAGUGGAGAAUAUAUCUUUGUACCGCCCUACAAGUGAAUUUCGUGUCCUGGAGGAUGCUAUAUCUAGUACAAUUGCCUGGCCAUCAAAGUACGUCCAAGUUGGAGAGUAAUUUUAGUUCGUACUUAGACUAGAAAAUGGUACUUUGGCACUACAUGGAUAGUACUUUAUGACUUCCGUUGUUUAUGUAUUCAUUAGGCACUACAUGGAUAGUACUUUAUGACUUCCAUUGUUUAUGUAUUCCUUUGGAAACUCAAGUAUUUUUAAAUUAUGUUAUAAUAAUAUCAAGUAUUUUUUAUGUAGUUAUUAUAUUGUAGUAAAUAUGCAAUUUUGUUGGUUAUUCUGUACUAAAAUAUAUAAAUACAGAUAUAUAUAUAUAUAUAUUUGUUAAAUAUUUUUUUUUAAUUUUGGAAAAUAAUUUAUAACGGGCAUUAGCUGUGGUCAAUUAGUAAUUGACAACGGUCAUAGCAUGUGGUGUUAGAUCUCAAUCUAUCCCGGGUACAAUCCGUGGUUAUAUUACAUUUGACAACGGUCAUAGCCCGUGGUAGAAACUAAGACUUUUUAUCACAUCCAGAAUACUAACGGGCACAGUGUCCGUGGUGGAUUGCAAUUUAUCACGGGCAUUCACCGUGAUAGAUGAGCUUGGUAAAUAAAUAAUGUCACCCUUCCUACCAUCGAGUUAAGACGUGUACUCGACCAGAUGCCAACUCAGAUUACAAGUCAGCAGAGCUGAACAGGGACGAAAGCAGCUGUUCAAUUCAUGCAAUGGUUGGGAGGAAGAAAACAUCAGAAAUAGAAACGUCAAAGUUGGCAAAAAGCCAGUUUAUAUUUCCCUUUUUGUAUUCCUUGCGAGUUUAGUUAUCCUUGUUUAGGUAGGUAAGCCUCAUACUUUUCUCCCAGUUACUAUCGGAAUUUACACUUUCCUAAUCAGUUAGAGAUAUAUAUGUCACUAUUUAAACACACUUAAGUUGUUUAUGUCACUGUUCUAUCCUCUACACGAUCAAUAUCAGUACCAGCUAUCAACAAACAACAGCACUUACUUCCCAGUACUGUAACGAAGUUCUAGCUAGCUAGAGAUCGAGAUAGCAUCAUCACAUUCAACAAUGGCAGCAAUGUUCACAACAUAUUUUUCCAUUCUUUUUGGUCCCAACUCCUGUUUCUCCUUCAUGCGAUUAGCUGCGCUCUUCGUCCACGAGUUAUUAUCCAUCGUCGACGAAAACUCCACUGUUGGGCACCCGUGGACGGGUUUUUAUCAAUAUUUUUAAUGUGUGUGCGAGCUGGAGUACUCCUUGGGCUUCAAAGCAGCAGGCACGCGCUUUGUUUACGAAGGCAAUUUGUAUGGUUAUGUAAUUAACAUAAUAAUAAGAUCAUGUUCAGUUUAACCAUAAUUUAUCUGCAUCGUAGAAUACAAAAGACAAUAUGAAAUGAACGUCUAUGUUCAGUUUAACCAUAGUUUUCUCGAACAAAUAUAAAAACAGUGAACAUGGGAUAUGCCAGUUAAAAUUUGGUGACUUAAUGACACUGGUAUAAUGCCACAUGGUGUCAAUAAAAUAAAAAUUUGUGAAAAAAUUUGUGCACACGUCCUUAUUAAUUGGCACGUGACGUCACAUGGACACAUAAAGCAAAAUAAUAUAUGUGCAUGUACGUAUGUAUGCAAAAUUACUAAUCUUGGUUUCUAAAGCAUGUGGAAAUGAUGUUGCAAGGUAUUAAAGCUAAUUAAAUAAACUGAAAAUAUGACUUUAGUCCUUGCAACUCAAUUUUCUCCACUUAAAAUCCAACAUAAGUUUUUUACUCGAAUAACCCAUUAACUAGAUUCCAAAUAAGCAAAUUGAUUAAUUAUGUUUGAGCAGCUCACACAACCUUAAUCUACAAGAAGUUGAUCUCUACCUCUGUCAAACCCUUGUGGUCCAAGCAAUGGAAAUAUCGCAAGUUUAGCCAACAUGGACAUAGCAAGAAUUGGCUUAAUCCACAUCAAGUGUUUCUAGCAUUGGUUAUUCUAUACAGAAAUCUUGGUGUAAAAGGUCAUGAUGUAAUCUGAAUCCUUAAUACGUGGAAAUUACAAAAUAUCUUGCCCCAUUUUUUUAUGUCUAAUGUUUACUUCGAGUUUCUUUACAACUCAAUAAGUUUUCAAAUGUGUUGAUCUCUUAAUUAGCUAAAACUGUACAAUAUAAUUAGGUAAAUAGCAUUAUUGUGUAACCCUAAAUCCUAAUCCGGCCCUGAUUUGCCCCGUUGACAGUCCUGCAUAUAUAAGACAUGAAACUCAAAUUUGAUAUUUGGAUUCAUGAAUAAGGUUAUCUUAUACCAUGGAAGUUAUAUAAUGAUUUGGGAAAACUCUUUGGAAUUUCUGAAACGGAGGAUUUAUAGAGGAAUAAAGAUUAAUCUGAAACCAAUUAAAGAUAGCUAUAUAUAUAUAUAAAUACAUAACAUAUCAUCAUCACUUCUAAAAUAUGAUCACUGUAUGCGUGUGUGUGUCUAUAUAUCUUUCACGUCGUUACCAGCAUUCCCAACUAUGCAGCUCGAUAUAUGUUUGAUUGUGAUUAUCAAGCAAGAAAAUCGCGGUCUCAUUUGCUUUCCACACACAAUUUCCGUUGCAGUAAUCCAUUAAAGCGUAUCUAACAGCAAAGGCAUCAAAUCUUUUAUGUCCUCGACUCCAUCGUGUGUCGCAAAAGAAGAGAGUACUUCUCCAAAUGUUUAUGUGAAACUUCCAACUGAACUCCUGGUUCACUGGGAUAUUUCGAUCCCCUAAAUCAUUUUCCUUGGAUUUACAAUGAACUUGCAAUGUCUCGCUUUGGAAGCCGUUGACGAUAUGCACCCGAAUCUUCUCGAAUGCCUUAUUGUCUAGGGCGGAUUGGCUCGUCAGAAGACCGAUAAGCAAGAAGAAGAAAAUGGAAAUGCAGGUUUGGCAAAGUUUCAUUUUCAUUAGGGUCGAUGCUAGUUUGGAUGAAAUAAUGUGCUUCUGAUUCUCUCUAGCUUUGCUUAUAAAGUGAUUAAAUUUAGCGCGGAACAGUAACAUUGACACAUGAUGCAUGCCACAUGCAUGAUUUGUGCAACUUGGUAAGAAAUUUUUUUAUGCAAUCUCUCUCACAAUACUGUUAGAUUCACAUUAAUGGCGUGCGUUAGUGCAGAGACAAUUAAUUUCCUAGACGGCUUAAAAACUUGGUUUAGAUUACAGAGGAGUUAGUGACCGUUUUGUACUUAAAUAACAAUUAGGUCAAUAACAAUAACAUGUGUUCAUUUGACAUCAGUGUUAGGUGGCUGUUUUAUACUUAAAUAAUGCAAUUUACAUUUCAAAAUAAGGGAUUUUAAAAUAAUGAGAUUAUGUUUAAUUUUCAUCUAUAUAUAGUAACUAAUAAGAUUAUUUUUUAAUUCAACUAUAUAUAGUAACUGUUGAGAUUUAGUCCCACAUUGAUGGGAAGAGGGACCUUGCAUGAGCUUCUAAGAGGUUAGGCUACUCCCCAUAUUGCCAAUUGGUUUUAUGGUGGAACCUCAACUUUUUUCAUAGUAUCAAAGCAGAUUGUCCCACGUGUGAAGCCAAGAGCCACACGCGCUCCACGUCACCUCGUUGUGUUGUGGCCACACGUGCUCCACGUCAUCCUGUUGUGUUGUCCACGUGUUAGGCUUGAAAAUUCGCCACAUGUGAGGGGGCGUGUUGAGAAUUAGUCCCACAUUGAUGGGAGGAGGGACGUUGCAUGGGCUUAUAAGAGGUUGGGCUACCCCUAAUGACACGCCCCAAUCACGAUGUCCGAGGGACAUCGAGAUGGCCACGUGCUGGCCGACACCCAAGGGUGACGAAAGCCAUUUAAUGAAUGCAUAUGCUAAGAACAUGUAAAACAUGCGUAUAAAUUAUAGCAAAAUAAUAAGAUGUGACUAUUCAUUUCUGCGUGAAAAUAAUGAUAGUGCAUGACAUGUUCAGAGCAUACAUCUAAUUCAGAAUACAACGGAAUGUGUUAUUACAAUGAUGACAAAGCAGAGAUAAUGACACGAUAUCACUGGUAGGGGAAAGCUUCGUAGCGCGAAAACCCUAGUUUUAUGAAAACUAAUAGCAUAAUAUGUGAUAGGUUUUUCGAAAACCCUAGCAUGCUAUAAAACCUUUCAUAAAACAUAUCUCGUAUAUAGUGUGCUAACUAUAGUCGACCCGAAGGCCCCUACAUCACCCGACCCGAAGGCCUCUACAUCACUCGACCCGAAGGCAAAUAUAUAAAUAUCAUCGCCCAUUGGCAGAAUAGUGACCACUAGAUGUGCACAAAACCAUUGAAUAUACUCUUUCCAAACAUAUUUACAUAUAUCUUAAAAGCAUCUUCAUAGCAUAUAGUCAUCCAUCAUAUAUACUACAAAGAACAUAAGUUCGAUAAAAUAUGGUAAUCCAAAAUAUUUGCAGUAAAGCAUAAUAUCUCAUAAAACGUAAUCAUUAAAAUCAUGCUUUUCAUGUAUGCAUUUCUACUAUUAAAACAUGCAUUUUAGAAGGAGUCCACUUACAGAUACUCCGUCGUCAAAGAGCCGUACAAAAUAGGAAUGACGGAAUUGCCGCUAAUAACUGCACCUGCGAUUAACUGUGAAACGGUCGGAGGUGGCCGGGUUUUCACUCAAGGGUCUCGGGGUUAGCCGGAGUGCUUUCUAUGCUUCGUCGUGCCUCGCAGCGACGAGGGAUAGUGAGAGAGGGUCUGCGAGGGUGGUGGUGCUGCUGCGCCGUCGUCGGGGAGCCUCUAUGGGUGUGCGUGGGUGUGUGGGUUCGAUCGGGGAGAGAGAGAGAGAGAGAGAGAGAGAGAGAGAGAGAGAGAGAGAGAGAGAGAGAGAGAAUGUGUGUGUGUUAUGUGAGAGUGAGAGAGAUAAAGAGCUGAGAGAGUGGGCUAAGGGAGAGAACUCAGGGAAAAAAUGAGAAAAUAUAGGGUGAGUGCUUGCCACGUGGCAAGCAGAGGGAGAAGGAGAAUCUAAAGGGAGGGUCCGGAUUGGAUUACGAUAGGGGACUAAAAUGUAACUUUCAUAUGCUUUUAGGGAAAUUAUGAAAUUACAUUAAACUUUUGGGGGUGCGGUUUCACACCUGAUAUUGUCAAUCGGUUUUAUGGUGGAACCUCAACUUUCUUCAUGACAGUAAUAUGUUUCACCGAUUACAUAAGACAACAUAAUGAAUUUGUUGCAUGCACAAUGUUGUGACAUGCCAUAUGUGGGAAUUUAACUGGUGAAACAUAUUCUUUUUAAUUAAAAUUUGUUACCACUAAAUCUGAAGCUAGCUCGUAUAUGAAUGAAACCAUUUAUGUAACACAUAUUUACAUUACAACCAUUGUAACCUAUAUUUACAUAACACAUAUAACUUGCAAUGAAGUUACCACCACCUACUACCUAGUUACUUUACAUGUAGCUGGUCUAUAAUUAAAGCUAAACAUAGAAUAACUCAUAUGACACGGAUAAACGGUUAUGUGACGUCUUAUACAAAUUAAACAACAUGUAAACAUGAUGACACUGUGGCGGUACACCAGUAUUAUGUAAGUCCUCGUAAACAGCAACAAAGAUUUAGCAAGGCUAGCUUUUUAGUUUGAGAAAAUUGAAGCAUUGAUACCCAAAUUUUAGUACAAUUAAGGUUUGGUUUCUAAGUUAAAAAUCUGUGAGUAUUAGUCCUUAAAGUUAUAACAAUGAAGUUUUCUUACUAUUAUUAUAUCAAUUGCACUGAUGCCUCAGGUUUUCUUGCUGAAUUCUGGAGUUGUACUCUGGUAGUUUAGUAUGAUGUUUGAGUUCGAUCUACUCGGAAGUUGGAACUCUGAUUCUCAAGUUUUGAAUUGUAUUGAUCUAUGAAUACUCUUCCAUGGAAGAUGCAAAAUACCUUGAAAUUGGGAUUUUACAUGUUUUGUUGGCCAAAAGUCCAGUACAUACAUGUAUUGGCAUUUUCAAUGAUUACUGGAUGGAAGCUAGAACUGGAAAAAGCCUUGCAGCUUCUGUGACAAAAGGUGGUCCAAAUACAACCAAAUCAUUCGAUAAAAAAAUAAAAGACGACGAAAAUAAUGAGCUUGUUAACUAUACAUAUAUAGUGGCCUGGCAAUUCUUCUUCCUUGGUCUUGUCGUGUAUGAUUGAGAUUGUAUCGCAUAACCAUUGCCAGAGACAGUAGGCAUGAGCAUGGCUGCAACUGAAAAGGCUCCUAUGCUUCCAAACUUCGGAUUUGCAUGAAUUUUUGUAAGGAUGCUAUGUGCAUAUAUGAAGACCUAAAAAUGAACAAUUCGGAUGAGAAUAACGUGUGAUGUUGGCCCAAACGAUAGUUAGUUCCGUAUUAACUUACUAUGAUUAGUGAGAUUAAUAAUAUGAUCAGAUUAAUAUAAAAAUUAGAAAGAGGGUACUACAGAGGAGAGACCUGUAAAUUUCAAUGGUUCAUUGAUGGCUCCACACUUUCAGCUUCAUGUCCAAACUUAAGGACAGAUGUACGUGUUGGCAAAGCGUAUGGGAUACCACUGAAAGGUCACAAGUUUUGUGAAAUGGUGUGGCCAAUUAUUGUUGGAUGAAAACUAGAAAUGGAAGAAGUCCUGUGACAAAAGGUGUGUUGCACUACCUUUGGGAAAAAGAAGUCUUGUUUGACAUAGACUUCAAAUCAGUGAGCUAACUGAUUGUGAGGUGGUUAAUUAUAUAUAUAAUCUUAUGUUUAUUAAAUUAAUUACCCCAUGGGUGACCUGGGCCAUAAACUUGUCUUAAACACCUGACCACUUUUGAUAUAGCUUGCAAGGAAUUAUUGAUCGUGACCAAAUGACCACAAUUAAUUACCACCACCUACUCGUUACUUUAAUGCAGGUAAGCCAAACGGAGAAUAACUCGUUACUCACAUGCCACGGAAAAAUCGUUAUGUGGCAUCUCAUGCAAAUGGAACAACGUACGAAUAUGACGACACCAUGACAAUACGUUCAUGUCAUGUAAGUCCUCAUAAACGGCAACAAAGAUCUAGCAAAGCUAGCUUUUUAGUUUGAGAAAAUUGAAGCAUUGGUUCCUAAAUUUUAGUAGAAUCAAAGUUUGGUUCCUAAAUUAAAAAUCUGAGUAUUGGUCCCUAAACUUAUAAGAAUAUUGAGUAUUUCUUUAAGAUAACUCCGUUAGAACUUUCACCUCUUAUUUGCAAGGUCACAAUAAGUUUUUUGAAAUGUAGUGGCCAAUUGUUACUGGAAGGAAGCUAAUUCUGACUCCUACAUGCACCUGUUACAAAACGGCGUUUGCACCACCUUGGAGAAAGAGACAACCCUAAAACACUUCAGAAGCAAUGUGGCCUUGUGGUAUUGAAUCUUGAAAGGAUUCAAUGUCGUCUGCACCUGUUACAAUAUAUGACCUAACAUAUUACCUGAAUAAAGCAACUACAGUCCCCCAGGUUCGACGAGUCAAUUUCCAUGUCCAUAUAUGGCAUCACCAUCAAGAGCCUGAAACAAAAUUUAGAACUCAUACGAACGAACCUACCAAAACUUUAGAAAGUGGCAUAAACUUUCGUAGCUAUGAAUCUAUACUUUCAAAAGAAAAGCAGACACAAAUUAAGAAAUAAAAUUGAAACUCCAUGUGUUCAUUAAAUUGUUACACAUGUGUACCACAACCAUGCCAGAGCAAAGUUGUGUAGACAAAUGAAAUGUAAAUUUACGUGCAAUGAUCAAAUCUAAAUUUGUAAUGAUAUAAGAGCACCAAGGAAAUUGUAUAACUAAGAAUUAGUUAGAGCGAUUGAAUUGAGCAACACUGAUUCAGAAUAAGCCCAUAUAAUAGGUCAAUAACAAUAUAGUUAGGUAUUUAACAUCACCGUAUAUAACCCUAAACCCUAAUUCGUCUCCUGUUCGCCCCGUUGUCAUCCUUGAUAGCCAUUAAACUCAAAUUUGAUAUUUGGCAUUUUACAUGUCCACUCAAGGUUUGAUGAAUGAAUUAUAGAUUAUCUGACGGUCAUAAUAAUUUAUAUGAAUAUACAUGUAUUUAAUACAAUUACUAUCUGACUGUCGAGAUGGUGUUUGUAUUAUAUACAUGCAAGUAUUGUAGCAAAAUUCAGAAUUAUAUGACUUUUGGGAAAGCGCUUUUGAAUCUCUGAAACAGAGGAUUAAUGGGGGAAAUAAUGCAGGAAGGUCACUGUUAAGUUUUCGGAAAUAAUGCAGAAAAAACAAAAACAAAAAGCUUGUGUAAUUUUGGAAGGAAAUUGAAUGCGUCUCUGAAACGUAGGAUUAAUAGCUAGAAAUUAAACAUGACGACCAAUUAGUAGUGAGAAAAUGGUCUACACAUACAUUAUCCAUCUUAUUUAUAGGUCCAUGAGCAACUUUUCAGACACCAAAAUCCCUCGGACCAAAGAUAAAAGACACCAAACUCCUUCAAAAUUUUCAAAGCAAGUUCCAGAGCAGCGGAAUAUAUAUCACUGCGUCUGCUCCAAAAGGUAAGCCAUAGCCGCUGUUAUAUAAAGCGAAGAUCAUGAUACAUUAGUAGGUUUGUUAUUACAAGAAGUACUGUAUUAUUGUGUUCUGCGUCGUGUUUUCAAUAUUUCUAAACUUGUACCACGCUGCAUCAUGCAUGACUCAUGGAAGUCUUUUUCUGUUGACAGAUUACGAUCGAGCCGUCAUCUUUUCCGAGAAUGUGCAUGUGACCCUUAUCACCAUUGGGAGAGCUGGGUGAUACUGAACUUAAAGGUUCUGAAGUUCGACUUUUCCUUCAGUUGGCCAAUCAACGUUUGGCCUAGAACCUUCGAUCACAAGCGGUGCCUCACUUGGUGUUCUUGUGAAUUGAAGAAUUCUCUCAAUUGAUAUCAUUGAGUUUUCGACAUUGCAUAGAUUCCAAAUAACCCAAGCCUGCAGGACCAUGAGGUUAAAGCCAAAAGUGCCGUUGAUGCCCAUACCCGAACACACUUGUCCAAGGCAGGCAAAAUUCUAGCUCAUUGUUUUCGAGUGUAUUUACUUAAUGUUUAUGCAGUAGUAAUUGAUCAGGAAUUGGUUCAGGAAUGUCUCUUGCAACUCAUCCGACGGUCAUCUAUGUCACUCAUCAACUAGAAUUUUUAGAAGCAGCGGACUUUGUUUAGGUACGUUAAUUAUUGAUUACAUGUACAUUUUUUUUUUUCUUUCAAAUACUCACUUAUCUAACUCAUGAUUAUAAUUCAAUUAUUUAUAUUUAGGUAAUUAAAGACGGUGAACUCGUGAGGCAAAUACAAAAUCUCUACAGCAAGUUCGGACUUGUCCGCAAGAUUCCUCAGAACACACUACUUAUUGCCGUAAUACAAACAGAACUGCUAAAAUAUUACACGUAGAAAUAGUGGAAGAAGCUUCCAUUAACAACAAAGUUGUUAAUAAGAAAAGCCGAGAAGAGGAAGAAGAAGCACACAGAGGACGAGUAAGUGGAGUGUGUAUUCGACAUUCGUGACUCGCGCAUAUGGAGGCACACUUGUUCCUGUUAUCUUGCUCUGUCAAGUUCUCUUCCAGGGGCUUGAAAUGGCAAGAAACUACUGGAUUGUUUGGGAGUCAAAGAAGGAAAAUGGAAUUACCAUAGAAGAGAUGAACUGGAUUUUCGCUUUGUUAUCGGGAGGGAGGGAGCUGUGUCUUCAUCUUACAAAGGGCUGUUAUAACCUCAGCCGUCACCAUUGAAACUUCCCAGCGUCUCUUGCAUGGGUGAUGAGUUCAGUUUUCUGAGCACCUAUGGCGUUUUUUUAUUCCACUCCUUCUAGUCGAAUCCUCAAUAAGGUAAGUAAGAUAUUCUCUAGUUCACAAGUUCAACGUUAGAUUUUGUUAAACUGUUUCGUUGAAUUAUAAAUCAAAUUCUAAGAGUACUCCAAAACAUGGCUUUUCUUGUUGCGUACAUAAACUUAUGAAUAUUACAGUCUUCGACUGAUCAAAGCACAGUGGACAUGGAUAUUCCAUUCAGAUUGGCUGGAUUAGUAUUUGCACUCAUCCAGCUAAUAGGUUCCGUCAUCCUUAUGUCUGUAGUUGCCUGGCAAGUCAUCCUCCUUUUCCUUGUCAUCUUUGCACUCUCCGCGUGGUACAUGGUAAACAAGAAGAGAACCUUAGUUCGUUCCACACUUAAAAUUUCAAUGCAUAAUCUUGUUUCUUGAUAAAAAUUAAACGCAUAAGUACUUUGCUUUGCUUUUUUUUCCCCAGGUGUAUUGCAUUAGCACUGCCAGAGAAUUAUCCAGGAUGGUUGCAAUUCAAAAGGCUCCAAUACUGCAUCAAUUUUCUGAAUCAAUCACGGGGGCUGCAACUAUUCGUUGUUUCAAUCAAGAACAAGAUCGCUUCAUGAAGAAAGUAAGAAGCGUGAUUGAUGAUUUUUCAGGAGUAGCCUUUCACAAUUAUGCAACCACGAAAUGGCUUUCUGUGCGAAUGAACUUUCUCUUCAACUUAGCCUUCUUCAUAGUCCUCAUCAUCUUGGGGACCUUGCCUGCAUCCGCCAUUUAUCCCAGUAAGCCCCCUUGUGUCCCCUAUGUUUUACUAAACCAAGAUUUAAGAGGAAAUGUUAUUAAUUCAUUCAAUCUGAUUGGGAUUAAUGCUUUUGAAUCUCAGGUUUGGCAAGAUUGGCUGCAUCUUAUUGCUUUAACCUCAUGGUCCUUCAGGCUUGGUUAUCUGGAAUCUAUGCAAUGUUGAAAACUCAAUGAUAUCAGUUGAGAGAAUUCUUGAAUUCACAAGAAUACCAAGUGAGGCACCGCUUGUGAUUCAAGGUUCUAGGCCAAACGCUGGUUGGCCAACUGAAGGAAAAGUCGAACUUCAGAACCUGCAAGUUCAGUAUCACCCAGCUCUCCCAAUGGUGAUCAAAGGGGUCACCUGCACCUUCCCGGGAAAUAUGAAAGUCGGUGUAAUGGGAAGGACAAGAAGUGGAAUGUCUACUUUGAUUCAAGCACUGUUCCGAAUAGUAGAACCCUCAGGAGGGAAGAUUCUCGUUGACAGAUUAGACAUUUCAAAAUUGGGUUGCAAGACUUAAGGUCAAGUUUGGGCAUAAUCCCACAAGAUUCAACCUUAUUUCAAGGAACUGCGAGGACUAAUCUGGAUUCCCUGGAGCAGCAUUCGUGUCACAAAAUAAUUGGAAUCUCGCCGAGUAUGCUACAUAGCAAGCUUGACUUGCUAGAACCAACAGCACCGAAAACACUUGAAGUGGAAUAAGCCAAAAACUCCAUGAAUGGAAGUGAAGAACUCCCCGAUUGCUUCUACGUCCAUGCUGAUUAAAUUUAUGAUAUUUCCAUUGCUUGGGCAGGCUAGAACUAAGAACCAAAACUAGUUCAUCAACUGUGUGGUCUUUUCAUUAACUUUUGCUCCUGAAUUUUGCCUAUUGGGAAGCGAUUGUUGUAAAAACUCGAGUUCAGAGUUAAGAUCAUAUUACGGCCUUUUAUCUAAUGUCGAUUAGUUGGGUAUCCCAAUCCAACUCUACUAUUAGUCUUAACUUCAUUGAUUUGUAUGUAAGUUCAGUGCAUAUUACUGCUAUGGUUUUGUUUCUUAGCCCACAAGCAAAGUAGGAAAUUAAUUUUAGACCUGAGUUGAAUAAUAUGAACUUUAUCGAGAAACAAAAUCAUACACACACCAACAACUUGGCAGCUCUCAGUACAUAGAAUUCGUCUCAUAAACCCUUUUACCAAACAAAUUUUGUGUCCUACGUUCUCCAAUCCCUGCAAGGUCUAUGAAUCGCAUCAUUCGAUUCACUUUGGAAUCUUUGGAUCUGAGAAGUAUUUGUUGAUAGAUGGCAUGAUCUGGGGGGCUCUGCUUCGGACAUAUUUCCGGAGUCCAUGUUCUGCGUAUCUCUCACCCUCUGCAUGGUUCUCUAGCACCCCUGCAAUUCUGUUCUGCUUGGUAACCCUGAAACAUACAUAACACAAGAUUAAUCAACACCAUCGAAUAAUUAUUUGUAAUCGUUUCUAUUUGUGCAUACGGGCAAAUGGGUCUACGUACCUGACUUCAGGGUUGGUGGUGAUGUUCCUAACAAGCUGCAUGCCGCAAACGCCAACAGCUAUACCAACUGCAGCAAUAGGGGGAACACCUAUGCAUCCAGGCCAACAAAAAAAAUAUUUCACGUAUAUGAGUGCCACAUUAAUUAGUUAGGGUUCUAAGAAACCAAUAUUCUGACCUUUAAGAAACAUAUAAGAAGUCGAGAAUCGAAAUAAUUCCAGUACCUCGGGCCUUAUCCAUCUGGAGGACGAAGCCAUCGUAAAGCUGUUGAGAGAAACGAAGAAGAAGAGAAGAGAAGAUGAUUGAACAACUGUUCCCUUCUCUUUCUUGGAGGUGGCGUGAGAGACAAGGCAGAGCAACCUGAGUUUUUUUCACAACUAUGAGCUCUAUAUUUAUAACACCCACUAAUUACCCAUUUUUAGAUUCCAAAGAAAAAGCACAGCCUUGACCUAUUUUUAUCCAAAUUCCAAUUAAUUCUAAUUUUUCGGUUCAAAGUUUGUGGCCUUCCCUGUUGAGGAACUAUUUGACUAAGUUUCUGUUUUGGUCCUCACCAUAUUUACAAGUUAAUUGAGCCCCCCAUUUUGGCCCAAUGGACCUAUGGAAGUUCUUUCGUCAUGUCUAAUCAACGAAAUUUUUUUUCGCAAUGGCUCGUUUGGAAGUGUUUUUAAAUUGACUGAAAGUGGUUUAACAGAAAAUAUUUUUGGGUUUUAAAAAGUGCUUGAAGUGUUUCUUACAAUAAACAUCAGUUAUGUGCUUCUUGCAAGAAAUGAUUAACUUGCAUUUUAACUGAGAAUUGAUUUCAAAAACAUUUUUAUGAAAAGUGUUUUCUGUCAUUCUGAUCAGUUAUGUGCUUCUUGCAGAUCGAUAAUGACGAGAAUGAACUCUUGAGUAACAUAAUACGAUAGAAGACUAACAAUUUGAUUCCUCGUCUUCUAUAUUACAUGAGCUAUUCAUGUGCAUAAGAGAAGUACAUCCGUUCUAACUAAUGUGACUAUACCCAAGUGUGCCAUAAUAUUGUCAGAACAAUGCUCAAGUACAAGUAGCACCGUAAUCCAACCCAAAAUCGGAUUGUAUCCCCUUUUUAAAUUAGGAAAACUAAUGAAAAAGACUUGAAAACUUUGAGUUUUAACGAUAAGGACAAAAUAAAGGGUAAAGUGAAUAGUACCAGGAUUGACUUUUUAGUGUAAAAAUGUGGUUUUUAGUUAAAGUGAACAAUAUCAGAAACUUUUCGUUAAAGUUUUCUUUUAAAUUUUGGACUGGCUCAGAGCCCAAAACAACUAAAAAGACUACCUAGCCGAAGGUAUAUCAUCCCUUGCCCUUGCCUAAGGCAUGAUGCAUCCAACAAAGAAGUCACUCGUCGUCACAUUAUCCGUCUUGUCCACAAAUCGAGACCCACCUUCACGUUCAUUGUUGUCAUUUCCUUAUUUUGGACCGCUCCUUUCGGUUUCAUUGAGUUUCCAACUCUCGUAUGCUAUAUAGAACGACACUCGUGUCAUAGACUCAUAAUUAGGGAUGGGCAAAAUACUUAUGGAUUGAGGUAACCGCGGUUACUCACCUAUUUAAAUUUCACGGUUACGGUUAUAGGUAACCGUUGAGACGAACACAAUAUUUACAUAAGGAGGACAAAACAGUAAUUAUGUAAUAUUAAAAAAAAUAUGCACUUCUUAAGAGAAAUUGUUCACACACACAAAGUGUGUGCUCUCUGCUAGUUCAAUUUAUGCAUAUGGGUGUGUGAAAAAUCAUGGAAUGUAAACCUUCUGUUAAUGCAUAUUGAUAAAUGGUGAUACUAACUCAAUUGACUUGGUACUCCGUUUUUGUUUGCUAUUUUUUUUUCCUGAUAACUGAGUGUACAAUGUAAACCUUCUGUGAUCACUUAUCUCUGUUGGAUUCAUGCUAAUUGGUAUCGGUGUUCCUGAAUGAGAUACUAAUUCAAUUUAUACAUUUCUUUUGUAGGCCUCUUUUGAUAACAACGAGUCGAUGAGACUUUGUGAUUGAACGUGCUAAAACAUUAGUGUUCAAAAGUGUUUAGUUUCGGACUAUUUUGGAGCUUUGAAUCAUUUAGUAUUCAAGAUAAUGACUACUUUUUGUUUUUAGAAGCUUUACUUUGUAAUUAUAUGGAUUAUAAUUAAAGACUUGCUUGGGUGUAGCAGAAAAAUAUCGUUCGUAAACUAUUAUUUCAAUUAUUGGAAUUGUAUGAGGACUUAAAUGAUUAAAAUGGGGAAAUGCAUGCUAAAAUAUACCUAUAACGGUGUUUAAUUGUCAAAAAACAAAAAUUAUGACAAAUUUUUCUUUUGUAAUUUUUAAGUUGUUAAAAAAAAACAUGUAGACGGGUGAAAAAAAGGGUAAAUGGAUAAAAAAAAGGAUAAACGGGUUAUAAAACAAGUAAACGGGUAAACGGUUAUGGUUAAAUGGGUAAACGGUUAUGUUAAAUGGAUACACGGUUAUGAGUAUGGUUAACCGUUUAUAAAAUGUUAUGGGUAUGAGUAUAACCGUUUAUGUAAUUACCCAACGGGUAAACGGUUAUGCGGGUAUGAAUAUAAACGGUUAUGGGUAAAUAACCGCGGUUAGCCGCCCGUCAUAACCGUUGCCCAUUCCUACUCAUAAUCCAAGUUGUUGAGAUGUUGCUAUCAAAUUAGGGUUUAUCUAUCCCUCAAUCCGCUCAAACAUCAUGAGCUGGGCAACUGGAGGUACCUAUAAACACGAUUUGGCCAAUUGAACAAAGCAAACUAAAUUUAUAUAAGGAGAAAUUAGGUUCUCAUCCUUCUUUUUGCUACUCCAUUGAUUAAAAUCCUAUUCCUUUUCAAUUUUUGAUCAAGGUCCUUGGAUAUUAAUAACAUCAUUAAUUAUUUCAAUAAUAAAAUAUUUUUUUAUUUAUAAAUAUAUUCAUUUAAUGUUAAAAAUGUUACAAUUAGUAUAUUUAUAUUUAUGACUAAAAUUUUUAUCAUAUAUUUUUAGUUUUAGUUUUUAAAUGUAAUUCUUUUUUAAUUUGUACCAAUUUUCUUUUCAGUUUUAAUUUGUACCCAUAUAUUAAUUUCUUUUUGUGCCCAUAUUUUUUAAAGUUUAUUUGUAUUUGUACCCAUAUAUGUUUUUUUAUUUGUACUUUUUAUUUUGCUAAAUGUACCCAUGCUAAUUAUAUGUACCCAUUCAUGUAAAACUUUUUAAUCUUAAAUCAUACUCAUUCUUAAAUAUACCCAUUUGUUAUAUGUAAAAUGUACCAUUUUUUUAUAUAAAAUCUUUUCAAUUUUUUUCUAAUCCAUUUUUAAACUUAUAUGGGUACAUUCUUUUUUCUUUGAUUUUAAAAUGUAUCUAUGUCAAGUUUAAUCGAAGAAAUUUACUAAUGUUAUUAAGUCUAAUAUCUUCUUCUCUUUUUUUUUGGUCGUUUUGAAGAAUGUACCCAUGUUUUGAUACAAUAAUUUUUUUGGUUAAUUUUGAUGAAUGUACCCAUGCUUAUAUAGACACACACACACACUAUAGUAUAUUUAUAUUUUAAUAUUUUUAAUCCCACAAAUUAUGGUUUUUUAUUUAAAAUCUCAUUUAUAUAAACAACUAAAAUUUCUAAUUUUUAAUUUAAAAAAAUAUAGUAACGUACAUAGAAAUAAAUUAUCACAUUAAUUUCAGGAACCUCGAUCAAAAAUUAAAAACCAACAAGAUUUCAAUCAAAAAAAAUUCAUAGCUAAGGACCGCAUCCAAAAUCUAUCAAGGUCCAACAUUUCCAGCUAACUCUUUGUGUUAUAUUCCUAUUGUUUUUCUCGCUUUCUCUCUUGUUCCGUCGGCUGCAAAUUUUAAUACAAAUUCUGGCAUCUGGCCUUGACUUUAUGCAAUUGUUCCCUUCCCAGCUUCCUUCAAAUAGUUCAUCGAUCAUUGGGCGAUACAUAAUAUUCUUAGUUUUUUAUUUUUUGGCAUAGAACCUAGCAGAUCUCAACGAAGUUAUUAAACAGAGCCACUGACAAGAUUGGAGCACUGUCUUGUCCCUGUUCUAUGUCAUCAUGCACGUCUGAUUUUAAUUUUGUAACAAAUUUCAUUGAGUUUUUUUAGCAUGAUUAAGUUUUGGAUCGCUUGUAUAAGAGUAUGUUUAACUAAUAUAAGGAAGAACAAACUUAAAACUGACUUAUAGGUCGGAAAAAUAUUCUUUGGAGAAGCCACAUUAUAUCUAUGUUUAUGAAGAACUUUCAAAUGCUUUUUUAGAAGCACUCGAAAUAUUUUUAAUUCAACAUUUAGCAAAACACAGUUAUGAGCAUAUUGAGCUUGCAGAAGUAGUCACCAACGAGCUCUAAGUGUGUGUUGAGUUAGAUUGGGGUAAUGUUUUUAUGUUAAUUAAUGUUUAAAAUAGAUUUUUUUAUUUAUUUUAUUUUAUUUUUACAAUUGAUAAGAUAAUCUACACUGAUUCAUCUAAAUUACAGGUUUGAAAAUUCUAAAUAGAGUCUCGAAUACAAAAACAAAUACGCUUAACAAACUGAACUACGAGUUACUUACUGAUUAAUUACUUAGCCUUUACUCUUGAGUCAUUUCAUUUCAUGGUUGAAACUUUUGUUAUUGAAAAUGCUAUUAAGGAUAAUGAAGGACCACCAGAUUGUAAUGCACAUAAGGCACUAGAUUAGUACUUAGCUUAGCUAUUAAGCUAAGUUUGAUAUAGUCGGUUAUGUAUUGCUGACUCAGCAUUGAAUAGGAUAUUAUUAUUGAUGUAUAUAUCCUUGUGUAAUAAGAAAUCAGAAAAUGUAAUGAGAAUCAUUUUUCUUACAAUCCAAAUCAAGCUCUCUCUCUCUCAUCAACUGCACAGAUUCAUAACUUCAUCAUGGUAUCAGAGCCGGAGUCCACCGACGUCGAUCCUUCGCUUCCCUCAUUUUCUUAAUUUCUUGGAUUUUUCUUAUCUCCCAAACAGAUCUUACCUACUUUCUUGCAUUUUUCUGAUCUCCCAAACAGAUUUUUCUUUUCUUUCGUGCAAUAUGUCUACAACAACUAUGGCGCCUCAUCCACCCUCUUCUGAUUCCUCUCCUCCAGCUACCUCUUCUGGUCCUACUCCUCUUGGUGAGAUCUCUACCAAUGUGCCUCCAUCGAUUGCGACAAUUACUGUUCAAAACAUUGCUGGAAUGGUUCCGACGAAACUCAAUCGGCACAAUUACAUCACCUGGCGUAGCUUAUUCCUUCUCGUUCUGAAGCGAUUCAAGCUUUUAGGGCUUCUUACUGGAGAUGAUCCUUGUCCUCCUCCGUGUGUUCGUGAUUCGUCUGGAUCUCAGAUUCCUAACUCUGCGUACGAACUAUGGUGUGAACGUGAUCAAAUCUUGACAAUCUGGAUCAACUCCACUCUUGCUGAAGAUCUUCUUCCUCUGACCAUUGGAAUGGAGGAUUCUCGUUCUCUGUGGCAGUCUCUUGAACGUCGUUUCGCAGGCGCUUCGCGCACUCAUGUUCAUAGUCUCUGAUCUAAAAUCCAGAAUAUUCAAAAAGGUGAUGCUUCCAUGACUGAGUAUCUCAACACUAUUAAGGACAUAUCUGAUAAACUUGCUACUGCCGGUGAAUCGAUUUCUGAUUCAGAUCUUGUGGCUUAUAUUCUCGCUGGUCUCCCGGAUGAGUAUGAAUCUUUUGUUGACUCCAUCAAGACAAGAACUGAGUCUGUUAAUGGUGAUGAACUCCAUGGUCUUCUCCUUAGUAAGGAGAUUUCUCUUCAAAAACACAAGACUCGAGUCUCUUCAUCCUCAAGUUCUGCACAUUUCCAUGCUUAUGCUGCUCAACAAGGAUCAUCUGGUUCCCCUUCUUUCAAAGGCAACUUCAUGGGAAAAUAUCAGAAUCAGAAUCGCAAUCAAUACCACAAUCGUAAUCGAUUUCCUCAUAAUCGCAACUUUGGUGCCAAUCGCCAACAUAAUAACUCUGGAGGUAUUCUUGGUCCUGCUCCCUCUCGUUCCUCAUUCUCUGGCGCACAUUCCGGUCACACUCCUGGACCAUCCCAACCUGGACAAUCCAUUCCUUAUCAGCUUUGUAAUCAAUAUGGUCACUCUGCUCUUUACUGUGGCUCUCUCUCCCAGUUUGCUUCUCACCGUUCCCCUCCCAUGGGUUUCAAUGCUCUGACUGCAUCCCAUCCUCCAAGCUACUGGAUUACUGACAGUGGAGCGACUCAUCAUGUUACUCAUGAUCCAGCCUCUCUAAACUCUGCAACACCAUACACUGGCACAUACCAACUUUUCGUUGGUGAUGGCAAAGGUUUGUGUAUUUCUCAUACUGGAAAUGCUUUAAUACGUACUCUUAAUGCUGUGUUCAAACUUUGUGAUGUGUUAUUAGUUCCUCAAGCCUCUCAUAAUCUCCUGUCCGUUUAUAAAUUUGUGUAUGACAACUGGUGCUCGCUGACUUUUGAUCCCUUUGGAUUCUACAUCAAGGAUCUAAGAACUAGGAGGAUGUUUUUCCAGGGCCCCAGUGAAGGAAGAUUGUACCCUUUCUACUGGCAUGCUUCUAAUGGUGUUUCUGGCAUUGCUAUUUCACCUCAUGCUUUAAUGAUUGCUAAAGCUGAUAUCACUACAUGGCACAGACGACUUGGUCAUCCUUCAAGUCUAGUUUUCAAUAAAAUAGUAAAUAAAGGUCACUUGUAUGUUGCUGGUUCACAUUCUCAGAAGUCUGUUUGUUCUGAUUGUCAAUUUGGGAAGGCCUCAAGAUUGCAAUUUUCUGUUUUGCCUUGUAGUUCUACUCAGCCAUUUCAUCUUGUUCAUGUUGAUGUAUGGGGUCCUUCCCCCACCUCUUCUUGUACUGGAUAUCGCUAUUACCUAAUACUAGUUGAUGAUUUCACUAAAUAUAGAUGGCUCUAUCCACUGCAUUAUAAAUCCGAUGUGUGUUCUGUUCUUCAGACUUUUGUUCUCAAAGUUCAAACUCUUUUCGACAGUAAAGUUCAACGUUUGAGAUCUGAUUCAGGGGGUGAGUUCUUAAGUGCUACUUUGCAAAGCUUCUUUAAUAUUCAAGGCAUAACUCAUCAAUUGAGUUGUCCUCACACUCCUGAGCAGAAUGGAUGUGCGGAACGCAAACAUCGACAUGUGGUUGAAAUGGGUCGAACUUUAUUAUCUCACAGUGGCUUACCAUCUCAGUACUGGAUUGAGGCUUUUCAAACUGCAGUAUACCUCAUCAAUCGCCUCCCACCUCAGGCUUCUUCUAUUAGUCCUUGGGAAUUACUCUUCAAAGCUACACCUCAAUAUCACCUCUUGAAGACCUUUGGGUGUGCAUGCUAUCCAUGGCUCCAACCUUACUCAUCCAGUAAGUUGGAUCCAAAGAGUAAACUUUGUGUGUUCUUGGGAUAUAGCUUGAAUCACAGUGGUUACCGUUGUCUUGAUCCGGUUACUAACAGGUUAUAUAUUUCGAGACAUGUGGUGUUUGAUGAAACUCUUUUCCCUUUCAAGCACUCUCCCAAUUUACCUUUUCCUACUGUAUCCCCUCCUUCUAUUUCUUCUCCUCCAUUCUCUCACCCUAUUUCUCUUACUAUACCUAUUCAUCCUACUCCAACCCCUCAUCCCAUUAUAAAUAAUCCCUCAUCUUCCCCUAUCUCCUCACCAGUACCCCUCCCUCCUCCCUCUUCUUCAUCUCGUGUCCCCCCUCCUACAACUAUCCCAGCCAACCAACAUCCUAUGAUUACCCGAGCCAAAGCAGGUAUUUCUAAGCCUAAGAUCUUUACAGCCACUAAGCAUCCUCUCUCCCCUUCAGUUGAUCCACUCACCAUCAUCCCUCCGACCCCUACCACUUAUCUUCAAGCCUCCAAGCAUCCUGCUUGGGUAAAAGCCAUGACAGAUGAAUAUCAAGCACUUCAAUCCACUGGUACUUGGGAGUUAUAUUAAGGAUAAUGAAGGACCACCAGAUUGUAAUGCACAUAAGGCACUAGAUUAGUACUUAGCUUAGCUAUUAAGCUAAGUUUGAUAUAGUCGGUUAUGUAUUGCUAACUCAGCAUUGAAUAGGAUAUUAUUAUUGAUGUAUAUAUCCUUGUGUAAUAAGAAAUCAGAAAAUGUAAUGAGAAUCAUUUUUCUUACAAUCCAAAUCAAGCUCUCUUUCUCUCUCUCAUCAACCGCACAGAUUCAUAACUUCAUCAAAUGCUUCCCUACCAAUCGGUCGUCAAUCGACGCCUCUACCUGGUUGUUGGUGAUGUUUCAUGCACGCCUAGCUAUAUAUUUAGGUAUUUUAUUUUCUGUGUUGAAAGACUAUUGAAUUUGAAACUUAUUAUUAUUUUUACCAAGAAUAAUUUGACAGCACGAUUGUGGCAAAGCAUUGCCCAUGCAGGAGGAAUGAUGUCAAACUUUUACCCACCAAAUUUUUUAAAAUUUAUAAAAGUCAGAAUAUAUAGGUCGAAGUCCAAAUCCACUUCAUAAAAACAUACUAUAAUCACCAGUAAUCCAUCACUUACUCGUAAAUUUUUUAUUACCUUUUUUUUCUUUCCAAUCUAUCAUUUAGAAUAAUACUUAUGUUCUAGUGGAUAGAGUAUUUCGUUUCCCCCCAUCCAUCCCGGGCUCGGAAUUCUCUUCUUCCCUUAAUUAUUGUAAUAGUCAAUUAAAAUAAAGAUUUGUUUAGUCAACCUGAUGUAUAAAAUAAAUCACAAUUAUGAUAAAAAUUAACACUAUCAUGAUGAUUCAAUUAUUGAGUCAUCAUCAUUUUUCUAAUAGAGACGAAUAUUAAAAUUGAGUUGUGAGUAAGAAAAUAAACAUGAUAUUGGGACAGUCAAAAUACGUAUUGUCUCGUAUAUAAAUUAUUCCAACUUUGGAAUGGAUGAUUGCGAAUACCGUAUAUAAGACUAGUAGUUAUUUGAUAAAGUUUAAAGGUCAAUUCGCAAUGGUUGUGGUUUUUUAAGAAUUAAUGUGUGGGCAGAGUGAGUUGAUGCAUCAUCAUCCAUGGGUAAGGCAUGACAACAACAAUCUUUCAAAAUUCUCUUGUGGAGUUUGCUUUGCAGCAGAAUUGUGCCCUUUAUAGUGUGUUCCAAGUUCCAACUUCGACAUCAACUUCGAUAAAGCUACCAUGAGGUGAUUCAGUGGUUGAGACGAAUUUCAAAUUAUUGCACACAGCACUUUAUGAGUUCAAUUCUUGUUGCUCGCGGAUUACACGAUGAUGGUCAUGGAAAGACUAAAAUGCUUAUGCACGUCUUCCUAACCUUUGAAAAAGUAGACUCUUAUAGCGAAGCCUCCAGCUAGUCGCUUUUCUUAAAAAAAUAAAAUAAAAUAAAAACCAUUAACUUUGAUAGCAUUGUUAAAUCAAUUUCAAAAGGUGUUAUAUUCGUUAUUAUUUAAUUGGUUACUUGCUUUAUUUGAUUUGUUAAUUGCUCGAGGAAAAUUUGUUUUUGCUACAUCUAAUCAAAUAGUUUAAUACUAGAAAUUAUUGCCCGCACGUUGUUGCGGGAUUAAUAAAUGUAAAAAGCAUUAUGUUUGAAAGAUAUAUAAAAUUGUGUCAUAAAAGAUUAAUACAAUUCAUUGCUAUAUUUAAUUGAUACUCCACAUAAAAUUGUAGAAGUUUUGGCUAUCUAUGUACAUAGCAUAUUAGAUCAACACAUUCCACUUGGGUAGUUUUUGUGAUUUUCGAUCAACAGCAGUACUUACAUACAAAAGGUUAUGGAACUUUGGGCUAUUUACAUGCAAAAAACGUUAAGAAAUAUUGUGUCAUUUACAUUGAUAAAAUAUGACAAAAAUUGUUCAAUGGAACACCAAAAGUUCCCUCCAGUACUCAUUGUCAAAAAAGUAGUUUAAACCAAUAUAAGACCAAAAACUCUUCCAAAUUCCAUGUGUAUUCAGUUUCUCUAAAUCAACCAACUUCUCCGUUCCAAACUAUCCAACAAAUAUUUGACAGCAAUACAACCAACCACCAACAAACAUUUUAAACUCAUCGAAAGAUCAAAACCCUUUCAAAUUUGCAUGCGUAUUAGUGAUUUUCAACUAAAUUAUUUGGAGAUGGAGACACACAAAGCUAGCAUAGGAACCAAAGAAGAUCUGCAAAAGCAAGUUAAGAGAUCAUCGUAUUACAGAAACAAAUUACAUAAUAAAAUUAAGAGAGCAUCAUAUUACAAAAGCAUAAUAAUGUUCAUUUCCAAAUGUAUUACAAAAACCUAUGGUUUCAUUCCACUUCACAUAAUUCAGUGUUUUUUUUUUCAACCCACAAAAUUUACGGCUUAGGUCAAAGAAUUUGAUCUGAUUAUUAAUAUUCAGACGGAAAAGAUAAGACUCAAAUGAAAUGGGCAUUUGAAGUCACUUUCUUAUUUCUUAUAACCACAUCAAUAUCAUAUUUAUACAAACAUAGCAAAAAAGAUUAGCAAGUGCAAGCACAUAUCUUGUGAUAGUAUACAAAAAUGACUAAACCCGAAAUUCCUAACACAUACACUAAUCUUAUACAAAGAAAUUAGAAUAUCAAAAUCCUAACAAAACAUGAGGCACAAUGAUCACAAUUAGAAAAAUAUUUCAAAUAAGAGCCAAACCAAAAAUGCACAUAAAGGUCAGUUAUCAACUCAAAUAAAACUCACUCUGAUGCUCAUUUCUAAUUAUGAAUGCUCUCGGGACUCCAAUCUUCUCAUCCCAGUCGAAAAGAACUUCAAAUGAAGACUUCUCUGCAGUUUAAAGGGUGAUUGUUGUAACCCAAUUUUCCAAUUAUGUUGCCCUUCCAACUUUUUUCUUGCAACCAAGUUUCUAAAAAAACAGAUUGAAUUCAAAAGGUAAUUGGACCAAGGCAUAAAAAGACAUAAGAAAAAGUAUAGAAAGUAUAAACCACAUAUAUCACAUUAUCUAUAGGGUUGUGAUUUUCACACACCCUUAAUUACCUUUCCCACACCCCUUCUUAUUUUUUAAUACUUAAUUGAUAUCUUACUAUUUACUCUUCCAUAUAUACCCUUUUUACUUUUUGACCAUUGAAACUUUUGUUAUUUUAUUUUAAACUUGUUUUUUUCUUUUUCUAACACUCAACCAUAUAUGCCAUUUGUAACUCAAGUUCUACUGCCUAAUCUGAGAGAUCCCAAAACAAGUAUAAAACACCUAUUAUAUAAAUAAAAAUAAAACGAUUACCUAAUGAUAUAGCAUAUAUGCAUAAGUUACAUGAAUUGUACAAAAUACUAGUAAGCAAUCCACAUACACUUGAAUCCCCAUAAUAGUAGCCUCAUGCCCCAAAAAAUACAUCAGAUAUCAUUACAAGCUUUCACAUUCUGCCUACACUAUGUUUGGCCUUUAAUCUUGUGUUCAAAAGGAGAUGUCAAUAUUACCAAAAAGAUAUGAAACCCAUGCACUCCAACCUACAAGAAAAUAAAAACAUGUCAACAAAAGGAAAGAAAAUUACAAACUUAAUUAGUAUUUUUAUGGGGAAAAAUCAACAAAAAUAUAUGUACCUUAAUGUGUUCUUUACACAUCUAAGCUAUUAUUAACAAAAAGUUUCUUUGGCAAAUCAUUAUGCUCAUCACACCUAUAAACAAUGAACAUUAAGUUAUACGUAUAUAUAAAUAAUCAUGACCAUAGUAGACAAUAUUAAAAGAUAAAUAAAAAAAUGACAUACCCGUCGAGCACGUUUCUGAGCCUUCUCCACUAUUUCAAACUUUGAAGGACCAUGCUUUGUAGAGCUUGAUUCUUUUCUAUUUUUAGAACCCAUUGGACGACCUUUGUGAGGUUUAACAUUAGGCUCAAGAGUUAAUGGAAGAGAAGUAUCAAUAAAUUCACAAAGUUGCCUUUUGGUAUCCUCUUUUUGAGUAAGAGUCAACUUUUCAUACUUAUCUUUAAACUCCAAUAGAAGGCCGCUUAUUUGAUCUUGUUCAUUGUCCAAGCUUACAUGAUGAUCAUUGACAAACAAUCUUCUAUCAAUCCUCCAUUGUGGAUGUAUGUCAUUUAGUUGCAAGACUUCAAUAUUCAUCUCUCUAAUCAUGUGAGCACAAGGAAGACCCAUUGUCUUGAGAAAAUGACCCUUACAUUGACAUGGAAGAUCAGAAGAACUUGAUGCUUCAUAUUGAUUAUAUAACUCAUUCAAUGCAAAUCUAGAUACAUGAGUAACAACCUCUUUGAAGAAGGGAAGUCGAAACUUGUGUGAAACUCUAACUUUUUCACUUGAAUGUUGAGUUUUGAUUCUUGAAAUUGAUUUUCAAUAGCAAGGCAUAUUUUUUCUUUUACCUCGCGAAGACCUCCAGUUGAAACUUGAAGAUAUUUUUUUAGCGUUGCAUGUGCACCUUCGGCUCUUGAAGUAACACGGUUACCAAAGUGGGUAACUUUCUCUGACCAUGCACUUACAAACUUUUCUUUGUAUGGAAGCCAAGUACCAAGAAUAUAUUUCAAAACAAAUUUCUUCUCCUCGUACUUAACUUCAAAACGACUCCAAGCUUCAUUGAAUGAUGUUUCAUUAGGAGAUUGGAUUAAAAUUGUCCAAGUAGAAAUGAAAUCAAUCCAAUCAACUUCUUCCUCAAAAUGAGCUUUACAAUUUGCAAGUAUAUUUUUCUCAAUAUGCCACACGCACAAAAGAUUGGAAGUACUCGGAAAGACAAUGCGUAUAGCAUUCAUUAAUGCCAACUCCCUAUCUGUUAUAAUCACCAUAAGAUGAUUAUCAACUCCCAAAAUCUUACUAAACAUUUUUAGAGCCCACACAUAAUCCUCUUCUUUCUCAUUUUGCAUGAAAACAAAACAAGAAUAAAAGGAUGUGUUGAAACUUGAAACUCCUAUGAUAUCCAAUAAUGGCAUCUUAUACUUGUUGGUCUUAUAUGUGCAAUCCAUCACAAAAACAUAUGGGUAGCUCUUGGUCAACUCUAUAGACAAGGGAUGAGCAAAGAUCAAAUGAGUUAAGUGGCCUUCAUGAUCAUACUCAAUGUUAUAAGUGAAACCACCUUCACCAAGUUCUUCUAAUAAUGCUUGAAUAACUGGACGCCCAGCUAGACUCUCCUUCACAAUCUUAGCUCUUAGAUUAUAGAUGUUUCGAGAAACUACUUGAAGAUGAGGAUUGCCUUGCCGAAGCAAAGAUAGAAUUUGGCGUGGUGGUAUACCAGCCUUACUCAUUUCUUUAAUUCGUAAGAUUUCCUCUUGUGAAAAUUGACGACAAGAAGGAUGUCCACACAUGUCAUUUGAAAGUUCAUGGUUAUGCAAUAAACUUUUUAUCUCUAGCUUCCAAAAUUCUUCACAUUUCUUUUUACGCCCCUUGAUUUCAAAUGGACAAUUUAUGAGGCGAGAUCCUGAGUUUUUUUUUCUUUCAUCUAGUGAAGUUUUAGAGGCUCGAUAAUACCCACCUCUAUCACAACCAAUAGCAACAUAUGUAUUUGUCUUAGAUCUUCUAAUAACGGUUGCAAACCCUUGCAUUAAUGCUAUCUUACGAACUUCCCCGAUGAGGUCUUCUCGACUUUCAAAACAUUUCGCCAACAAAGAGAGCAUUUUAUCGGGCUCAUCAAUCGUUGGUUGACUUCCUAUAUAUCACAAACCAACACAUUUAUAUAUGUAGAAUAUAUACUUUUUAUCAAUGGACUAGACAUUUAAGUAUCAAAUUUAUACCAAAGCAUUGUAUGCAUUAUAUCAAGUUUACACCAAAACAUGGAGCCUAGGUAAAACCACAACAAUUAAACCUAAUACCAAUUUACCAUUAAGUUAAAGUGUAUUGGGGACCAAUAGAUUCCAAUAGAAAAUUAAUUUCCCCAAAACCAACACAAAUCGAUAUUCUCUAUUAUUUCCGUUUUUAUGAGUACAGAGUUGACACCAGUUUUUGUUUUGGGCAAAAGUACAUUUUUGCUCCAGUUUUUAUAAACCCCAACAGAAACCAAUAGUUAAAGUACAUUUUUGCUCCAGUUUUUAUGAGGAAUAGGUAAUUUUUUGCUUCAUUUGAAGUUCAAGUGUUUGGAUUACAGAGUUGACACCGAGAUUUUGUUUUGGGCAAAAGACACCAAGAAUUUAAGUUAGAGAUUUCAAACAAAAAAAAUAUAUCAAUCAUACUUUUUAUCUCGUCUGUUCAUUUUCAAUCUAACGGUUCUUAUCUAGAUGUGUAAAUAGCAUGUGUACCGUGUACAUGAGAGAAAAAUAUGUUAUAGAGCAUUGCCCGGUGCAUUCAAGUAAGCAUGGUAGUUUUUAAUCUUUUGCUCCUUAGUCUCUGAGCAUUGCCUAAUUUUUUGUUAUUCUUGUAAAAAAAAUUCUGAUGUCAAAAACAUUUACAAACUUAGUUUCGUGAUUUUUUGUUUACUUGACGCAUUUUUCUAAAUUUCUUCCCCUGGAUUUAGUUACUUCAUUGUUACAUGAUACAUUUAUCUUAAACCACCAGUAUUCAUUCAUUCAAUUAUCAUUUGAACCACAAAUUAGGGAAAGAAAAAACUAAACCUAAAAAACAAAUUGAGGCAAGAAGAGAACAAAAACCCUAAAUUCCAAAAUCAAUCUUAAUAAUUUGAGAAAAUACUUUAGAAAAUUACCAUCAAAAGUGUUAAGAGGAGGAAUGCAUUCUGAAAUUUCUUCCAUGCCAUCCUCCUUGCAUGCCAUAUCCAAUAUCUUCUGCAACUCAAUGUCCAUCUGGAGUUCUUUAUCUGUUAUUAUCAAGUCAUCCAUUGUGGUUUUUCACAAGAAGUAAUAAAGAGGACAGGGGAACGGAAAUAUUUCAGAAUAGGUCUCGUUGGGCUCGGCGGAGGGAGUGGGAGGCUUCGAAGAAGCAGUGGAAAUAUUUGCAGCGGCGAGGGAAUCGGGCUGCGAGAGGUGUCUGGGUUUGGGGAAAAAGCAGGAGGUGUCUGGGUUUUGGGGAAGAAGCAGGAGAAAGCAAGGGAAAAAGCAGGGGAGUUUCAAGUAAAUAAAAAAAAAAAACAACUUUUAAAAGUCAAAAAGUAAAAAGGGUAUAUAUGGAAGAGUAAAUAGUAAGAUAUCAAUUAAGUAUUAAAAAAAUAAGAAAUGGUGUGGGAAAGGUAAUUAAGGGUGUGUGAAAAUCACAACCCUAUCUAUAUACUAAAACCCGGUGGAAAAGCACUGUUUACCAGCAGUAAAAUGGCGGAAUUGCCCUCAUUCAACUUUCCUUGCCCCGUUGUUUUUCAGUCUUGGCAUAGUGAAAUUACGCAUUUGUCCAAGUUGGCCACGCGUCCAUCAUCGUCUGAACCUCUACUUCGACUGCAGCUUCUCGAUUUUUCCAUCCGUUUCCAGUUCUCUCUUUCGCAAAUCUCUGCUUCCUUUGCUCUCAACUUGCCUUCUGUCACUCUCAAACGCCGGGUAAGCUAUCGACCACCCCCUCUCUACCUUCUUCUUCUUUCGCUUCUCCCUGUGCAAAUCUGAGAGACGCCUACCACAACUGCUUCACUGGGUUAUCUCAACAUAAAAUUAGUUUUUGUUAUUGCUCUUAAACCCUAAUCUCUCUCUCGCCUCUCUCUAAAAUCCAUCUGAAAAAGGUAUAAUGGGUAGUGUUUAUGUUUGCAGUUUGUACUCGGCAAAGUCUGUGAAGGACCAAUAUCGGAGGUAUAAAUUGGCUGCCCUGAAAUUUUUUUAUUUAAUUAAUUUCAACAGGUAUCUAAGAAUUCUUAGUAUGAAUAGUGUCUGUGUUGUGUCUCUGAGCAUCUUGAUUUUUUAUAUUAAAUGAUCUCUGUAGUGUCUGUAUAUUUCUUAUAUGAUUUCUUUCAUUCAUUGUUUCCUAUAUCCGAAUUUAAAUCUAUUUAAUUUUUUUAAUUGAUCUGGGAUGUUGAGAAAUUGGAGCUCUUCUGGGGUCAGAUCCAUUUUGAUUUGGGGAUCUGAUGCGAAGAAAAUGAAAUAAAAUUUGGGUUUUGGAUUGAUGUGGUAUUUGGUUUUAUUUCCUGUUGUCAGUGCUUACCACCUGUUUGAGAUUAUAUAUAUGUUUUGAAUUUUUUUUGGUUUGUCAUGUAUAAGAAUGUGAAAUAGACUAUCUGAGGUAAUCAAUUGUGAUUGGUGACUUAUUUUUUUCUUUCUAUUUAUUUAUAUUGGGAUUGGUUACUUUUUUGUUUGUUUUUUUUUUUUCCAGAUUAGAGAUUUUAAUAGGUCCUGGUAGUGAUAAAGGCUCAUUUCUCAAAAAAGAGAUAAUAAAUAAAAGUGGCAGAAAUAUAUAUUUAUAUAUACAUAUAGAUGGCUGUGGUAGUAAGUAAUGAAGGUUCAAUGUAAAAGUCAGAGGUCAGAACUGGCAGAAAAAAAAAGUAAAAUAUAUUGGCUAGGACAGAAAAGAAGUGAUAGGUCAUGAUGUGACACUGUUUAUGAACAGUCACCUUCCGUCCUUUUUUUUAUAUCUUUUUCGGAAACUCAGUAGAGCAGAAAAAAAAGAUAAUAAAUGCGAAGUGCAAGGUGGGAGAAAAAAAAAUGUACAUAUACUUAUAUUGGGUAGAGCAGACCACGUGUUGAUCAUCGGUAGUGUUUCUGUUGUUGAGAGGAUUUUACCCUUUUUGUUUCGUUUUCACUCCUCUCUUUGUUCACUUUUUCCAUUCGUUUUUCUGCUUCUAUCUUUUGCCUAUUUUUCUUAAUUUUGUAUUUAGAGAUAGGCCUUUUGUUUGAAUUUGGGUUUAGUUGAUUUUGAAGGUUUCAAGUUGGUUGCCCUUUUUUGUUUUUAAUUUUGUAUUUAAAGUUAGGUUUUUUGUUUGAAUUUGGGUUUAGCUGAUUUUGAAGGUUUAGAGUUAACUAUUUCCUUUGGAUUUUUUAUGGGGGUGAGACUUAUAGAUUAGUAGGGUUUUCUUUUUGUGUUGGGAUUCUAAGUGACUAUGUGGUUUGAUUCUCAUUUUAUUUUUACGUAACGGUGUUUUGUGUUUUUUUUUUUGUUUGUUUUUGUUUGUGUCGUGGUUGUAAUUAUGAGUGUAUGAUUUAGUUGUGUUUUGUAUUUUCAGGAAACGGUGAUGUUCGUUCUCCCAGCUAUUGUGUUCGCAUUUACAUGCUGGUUGUGCUUCAGGUAUGUCCUUUUUCUCUCAUUUAUUUUGAUAUAUAUCUAAUAUCCAUCUAACUGUAUUAUUUUAUUUCUUUUCCCUAGCUUGCUUGCUUAUGGAUGAACGAUGCGGUGCCAAAACUCUAUCUCCAAUAGUGAAACGCAUUAACCGUUUUUUGUUAUUUUGUAUCAAACAAUAUUGAUAAUAUUUGCCUGCCAUGUAAAUGUCUCUUUGGUCUGAACUUCAUAAUAUUUUUUGCAUGUAUACCAGCAUUCAUUAAUUUUUUGUAUAUAAAUGCUGGUUCCACUUGAGAGGUAGAUGCAAGUGGUAGAAUCCAAUCAAUCACUAUAUUGUUUUUUGUCUAUCUGUAAACAGGUUUCAAUCUUUUGUUUUAGGAUUGUACAAGUUUAAUAUUUUAUGUAUAAACAACUUCCAACAUCUUUGUUUACGGUGAUGUAAAUAUUUUGUGAUCUACUUUUUAUAUCUCUUCAACAGAGCGUUGCAUUGAAUUUCCACAAUUACACUCUUUUAGAACUCAGUUUGGAGCAACAUUCGGUAAGCCUUUCUUUUACAGUCAGUUUCAUUUGUUUAUAUUUGAAUCAACAAAUUUUUUACAAAUAAUGAUUCUUCCAACUGCUCAUAAAUUGAUUCUUUUAUUUUUCUUGCAACUUCAAGCGUUGAUCUAUUGGAAACAAACUUUUAUCUAUUCCUUGAGUUACGUAGAGUUGUAAAUAAAUUGAGUUAAGCAAAGUUUCAAAUAUAACUUUCUACAUGUUGUAUGCCUAUUUAAAUACCCGCAGCAUCGCGGGGGUGCCAAUGCUAGUAUUAUACUACUUUGUAUUCCAAAUACACAUAAGAAUAUAUCCAUUCUAGUGAAUGGCCUAAUUCCAAUUAAUCUCACCUUUGCUUUCUCUCAAACCCGUCAACUUAUCUUUGACUUUGUUUUUCAACAUACAUUCAUCGUUAGGUACAACCAUAGAAGUUUCGCACUCCAAAACACUACUCAUAAAAUAAUCACCGACCUUCUGUAUGAAGCGAAGUUGAUUAAGACAUCAGCAGUAGGAUGUGCGGCGCAUGAUGCUUCAAUGCUGUAACAGUUAUCAACCCAAAGGUUAAACAAUCUCGAAACAACAGAUCAAGAAUGGUAAUCUGACUAAUAACAUGAUUUGAAUAUAUUGGAUAUGGAAAAUUAAGAUUAACCAAGCAUACAUGCAUAUACAUAAAUAUACAAAAGGUGGCUUGCAGCCACGAAAGUCGAAAUCUAGGAAGAGGAUGAGAGAAUGGCGACUUACUUUGAGUGCACUGGUAUGGUGAUUUCCUCUUAACUGAAAAAUAGCUUUUGAAAUCCCUCAGAACCGGGGUUAAUGAUUCCAGCAACUGAUGGUGUCUCCCUCCCUAUUACAAACCUCAGUUAUUACAUUUACAUCUUUGUCAAAAACUAAAAACUAUAAGUAAGAUUAAGUUCGAAGUCAAAAUUAGGAAAUGAUGCAUACCACAAAGGAAGUCAAAAUCGAGUUAGAAGCACCUGAUAUAUCUUGCCAGUGGUAAUGUUGUUACCCCUAGUAAGAGUCACAUCUAGGAAGCGUUCAUAGUUGCCCAGGUCCAAAUCAACCUACAAUUACGGUUAGAGUUUAACAAACUCAGCAGCACAUAAAGUUUAAAGAUAAGACUAACACUCAACAUGAUACCAAGAUAGAAUCCAAAAAUAAAUGAAAGAUAUGAUUAAAAUUAUUUGUUCUAAUCGAACAUAUUUUCUAGUUUUCUUAUCCGAUUAUACAAUUGCAAUUCCAAAAAUAAAAAAUAAUUUGCAGAAAGAAAAUUAGAAAAUUCAAACUUGAUAACAGUCUACCUUAAGAAACCCCAUGACCGAGUCCGAAUUGUACACCCGUGCCCUGCAAUGUCUUGGUGAGUGACUCCUGCUACAAAUUGGCACGAUGCUCAUUGUCUUGUAAAUCUGCAAGCAAAAUAUACAUAUUGUUAGGAAAAAAGUGUCUAUAUAUCAAAAUGUAUAGUAUGUAAGUUUUUAAUUGCAGAUGUAUGCAAGCUACAACCUGUUGUUAAAUUUUGCAGAACAUCUUUGUAAACUAUAUUUUUUGUAAAUGUAUUUGGCAUUUCAUUGUUGUUAGUAAUUAAAACUUUGAGACCCUCUCUUGAUAUGACUCUAGAUAAUGCAACAUAUAAUUGACCAUGAGUGAAGAUAGGUUGUGGUAAAUAGAGUCCCACUUGUUUCAAUGAUUGUCCCUGACUUUUGUUAAUUGUCAUUGCAUAACAUGGUCUUAUUGGAAAUUGACGUCUUUUAAGUACAAAAGGCCAUUUGUUUUCAGUUGCUGUCAAGAUUAUUUAAGGAAUGAAAACUUUGUAAUUAAUGUUGCUGCCAGCAAGUAUUCUAGCUUCAAUAAUUCUAUCAAAUAAUUGAGUCACAACCAAUCUUGUUCCAUUACACAAACCUAAAGAUUGGUUUAAGUUUCGGAGCAACAUAAUAGGCAUUCCAAUCUUUAAAAUUAAGUUGUGCGAAGGCAAGCCAUUGAAAUCAAGUGUGUUGAGAAAUUCUGUAGGAUACAUUAUACUAAGAUUCUCAAAAUUUCCAGUAGAUGAGUAUAAAGAAUCAGAGCUUAAAUAAACGUGUUUUUGACCAAGUAACAAAUCUAUUGCAUAAUCAUUUAUCUCCACUACAAUAUCAUUUUUUGGUGUAACAAUAGCUCGCUCUCGUAAAUAUUCAAAACUGGCAAAAUUAUUUUCAAAGUCUGGAUAAGUUGCUGAAAAAAUAGAAUGAAUAGGAUCAGAGUAUGAAUGAAUGAGUAAAUCAUCUGGAAUUUCAAUCCAACAUGUAUCUUUAUCAUUUGAAUCAAGUGUAUCUCCAAUUUGGCCAUCACCUAUCUGUAAAAUCCAAGAUGCAAAAUUAGCAAGUUUUUUCUUUUGAUCAUUAUUUAAUCCCUUUUGUGAAAGCCUCAUAUUUUCCUUCAACUGAAAUACUUUGAAAAAAGGCCAUAAAUAAGAGUUAUUUAAAGAGGCAUCUAUUAUCUGUUCUUUUGUUCCACCAGGAAUAACUGGUAAAAUUUGUCUAAAGUCACCGCCUAAUAAAAAAGGUUUGCCACCAAAUGGAGCAUUUUUAUUUGAAUCAUUUGAAUGUGAAAAAAUAUCAGAAAGUGACUUGUCUAAUGCUUCAAAACAAUGCUUAUGAUUCAUAGGAGCUUCAUCCCAAAUAAUAAGAUCUGUUUUUUCAAUUAAUUUAGCAAGAUGAGUCCCUUUCUUAAUUUGACAUGUUGAGCAAUUUGUAACUAUGAGAGGAAUUUUGAAUCUGGAGUGAGCAGUUCUACCACCUAGUAAAAGUAAUGAAGCUAUUCCAGAUGAAGCAACUGCUAAAACAAUUUUACCCUCAGACCUGAUUUUACUUAUUAUUGUAUGCCAUAAAAAUGUUUUUCCAGUUCCUCCAUGGCCAUAAACAAAAAAGAGACCUGACCUUUUUUCAUUCACAAUACUAAUAACACAAUCAUAGACAAAUUUUUGGGUUUCAUUAAGCUGUGUUACCAAAACAGAAUGUUCUCGACUUAAAUCAUCACAAUUGUAAUUUAAUUCUUCCCUCAACAAUUUGUUUCUAAUUUCUGACAUUUUUCUUUCAUCAGGCAUAGGCAAAUUAUGAUCUUUUAAAGAGCUAGAUGAUGCAUUAAAUAGUUGCUCUAAUUCAAAUAGAAGAGAGUUUUUUAAUUCCAAUUCUGAUAAAUUCAGAGUUGACAUUGCAAAAGAUUUUCGAAGCUCAUACAAAAUGUCAUCACACAUAUAUUGCCAAUGACUAUUAAAAAGCUGUUGAGGAUUUGCUAUUUCACAAAAUAAAAUCAUUGUAACAAAUAAUUGUCUCAACUCGCGAGAUGUUGCAAUAUUAACUGCAUUUCCUAAAGCUUCAAUCCACUCUUUGUCAUCCCCUAGUAAACUCAAACAUUUACAUGCAGCUUGAUACGAUGGUUGAAUAAUGCCGUUCACAGUUCUAAUGUCAUCAAAAUUGAGAACACCUUUUUUAAUAUUAAGAAGCAUUCUUAAAUAGUAUAACUCACCUGAUGCAGGAUGCACGUAGGCAAUUCUGCCUAUGGAUCCUCCUUUUCUUUUCAUAGGCUUCCAAAUCUUAUGUCGAGAUUCCCAAACAAACUUUGAUGGCAAUUCUGCAUAAGUUAGUGUUCGCGCUUCAAGAAAAAAUUUAUUUAUUUCAAACCAACUUGUCAACAUUGUGUGUUCAGAAGCUUCUUGACUAACAAUUGAUUCAAGGGAUUGAUUACUAUUGAAAACAAUAGUUUGUUCCAAAGGAAGAUGUACUGGCAAUCAUUCAACAUGAGGUUCUCUCAUAUGAAUUGGAUACUCAAACAAUCUCCAAACAGCUUCGUAUGGAGAUAUAUAUCUACAAUUUAGAUAAGCACGUAUUUCAUUGUUUGAAUUCUCUUCAAAAACAAUUCUUGCUCGAUCUGAACCUUUGUUUAUGUAUUUGAAAAGAUAUUUUAUAAGUAUUGAUUGGCAACAUGACUCAACAUUUAUAUGAGCAUUGUAUCUCAAUAAUAAAUUUGAAUUGUAAGGUACAACAAAACCAUUAUCUAUUUGCAUCCCAUUUUUAACCAUAAAUUUUGACUAAUCAUCACGACGCCUAUACAUAGGAAAAAUAUUUGUUUCAAAAAUUGUUUCACUUUUGUAUUGCUUUGGGAAAAACUUAGAACAUUUUCCCUCUCGCAUGCAUGGAGACUUUUGAUUAAGUUGUCCGCAAGGACCAUGAAUCAUGAAUUGGUUCACAAUUUCAUAAAGGAGAGGAUCUGAAUUUUUAUUUGGUAUUUCAGUUGAAAUGAUGGAAUCUAUGUCAUCAGCAGAGUAGCAUUUGUAAGGCUUCUUUAACCAAAUUAAGAUGUGAGCGUGAGGCAACCCUCUUUCUGAAACUCGAUUGUACAAACAUCUGUUUGCAAUCAAGUUAGGAAAUAUAUAAAUCAUAGUCAGUUUCAUUGUAAAGAUAAAAUGAAAGAAACUGAGAAAAAAAAAAAAUUUAAACUCACCUGCUUCAACUUCUCCAAAAGGUUCUCCUGAUUUUAUGUAGCUAAUCAUAUCAUCAAGUUUCAUCUUAAAAACCCUAGAAAUGAUAUACGGUCUAUCCUCUAACUUGUAUCCAAGUUUUAUAUCAAAUUCUCUCACAAUUUCAGGCCAUUUGAUAUUGCAAGUGAAGGUUAUGAACAAAUCAGGAUUACCAAAUUGUCUACAAAUAGCCAUCGCAUCUUGAUAGUUGUUAAGCAUAUAUCUAAGGCUUCCUGUGUAUGAGCUAGGUAAUAUUACUUUCUUGCCUAUGUUAUCAGCAUCAUGAUCAUCUUUUGAUACAGCGUCAUAAAUGCCUUUAUACACCUCACUUCGUAAGCUUUUUUGGUUUUUUCUAAUAUAAUCCAAUCGAUCCUCUUCAAGUGUUGCAUAAGCAUCUACCAAAAAUUGUUGAAAAAGUCUUCCUCCUUUUAACAAUGUAUCUAAUUGAGACUCCCUUUCUUGAAUUUGAUAGGCUAUAAAUGCUCUCAUAGUUACUCUGCCUCUUUUACAUGGGCGAUUGUUUGAGGGGAUAUUCAAUUUCAAAUCAAGUCUGUAUCCAUCUUCACCAUAUGGAAAAAGAAUGGGAUAUUGUAAAGACAUAAAUUUUGGAUUUAAUUUUGUCACACGUUUUAGUUCACCAUCUUUAAACUCUAUGACAAUAUCUCUAUUUGAGUCAAAUUGACCAAUAUCACCCACUAUUAAACUAGCGAUUUCAUCACAUGUAGGCUGUCCAUAUUGUUUAUCAUCAUUUAACUGCCUACCCAAUAUAGUUAUUUUCAAAGAAGGGAGAGAAUUGUUUUCAAAUUUAUCUCUAAUUGUUCGAAACACUUGAACCAAUUCAUUUGAUUCAUUGAACAUGUUGAUCAGACCCUUGACAAUAUUCUCAUCAAGCUUCAUAUUUGUUUCCUUACAAUUAAUAGCAUUGAAACGAUUUCCAAUUUCAUUAGCAGUAUCAUACACAUAUAGUUGAGCAAACUUUGGGCAUUCACCAUCAGGGGGUAACAAAGAGCCCAUUAAAUGAUGCACUUGACCACUAAUUUUAAAAAUGUACGGGCCUAACUGAUUGUUAACCGUGUGAUCAACUUUAGCUCCCAUUGAAGUAAAUGCAAACAUUGAAUUAUAAGCUCUAAUGUUCUCUCUAAACAAUAAGCUUGUUUGGCCUUUCGUUGGGUCAAGCAAAUUUUCUAAAAAGUGAGGAGUAAGCAUUGGACGUGGGAGCUUGACUUUUCCUUGUUGGCAACAAAGAGAAUAAAGGGGCUCAUUAUUCUUGGACUUCUGCUUUAAAGACUCUUUUAUCCAAAAAAGUGCACCACAAUAGAUGCACUUAUACUUUUUGUCUCCCAAAUCCACAUAUUUCUGAACAUUUCCUAUUGAAAAAAGGUGAAAAAAGAAGGGGAAAAAAAGUCAACCUAUUAGAAGCAAAGUCAUAAAUACAUAACCAACCCAAAGAAAUUGUACGUUAAAAAGAUAGUUUACCUUUUUUAUUUUUCUGAAAAUUGGCUUGACCUUUACUAAUUUGAUUCGGAUUAUCAAAUGUAUCGACAUUGACAGUGGUUUGAACUGUGUUUGUACUUGUUGAACACACAUUGUCAACAUUUUUUUGUCUUUCGUUUUCAGAUUCAAAGCCUGGUUUAUCACAAACUUGUAUGCCACUGGAAGAACCAACAAUAUGGUCGUCUUUUCGUCUUUUGUUCUGAGGUUCAAAGCCUGGAUUAUCACAAACUUGUAUACCACUGGAAGAACCAACGAUAUGGCCUUCUCGUAGCAUUCUAUUCAGUUUGGUAUUUCUAGACCUUGUUAACAUGGCUUGAAAAAAGUUUAAACUCCAAACAACAGAUAAUGGGCUGAGAACCCUAGGAAAAGAAGUCAAUUAUUAAAUACUUGACAAUAUGUAAUCUACAAUCAACCAAAACAAACACAUAAAAGUUACAUUUCGAAACUAUUAUGCAAAAACCAACCCUAAUAAUGAUUCAGAAAACCUUAGUUGAUUAUCUUUUAUGAUUGAAACUACACUACAAAAUGUUAAAUCCUUAUGUAGACAUGCAAUCCAAAACAAAGACAAAUUUGAAAGAUUUGAGCCUUACCUAACCACGGAUGAAACAAAGGCGUAGAAAUAAGAUAUGCAAUUGGAUUUCAACCGUAGCAGCUACUGCUUUCUGAAUUCAAAGCUGGGAAUUGAAGAAAAUAGAAUACAUUUAAAGUCAUGCAAUUCAAAUUGCAAACAAAGAGCUAAAUUCUCAAACAUGCAAUCCAAUCAAUAAGAUUGUCCUCACAGAUUAUUAUAAUUUAAUUACCAAAAGAUUAUGGUAAAGUUGUAAAUAAAUAGAUUGCAACAUAUUUAGAAAACACUUGAAGAGAAACAAUUUUAAACAUUAGCUUUUAUCAAAUCGAUCUUUGAUUGAUAUCUUAUGAUCUAACUGGAAAAAAAAGGUUUAACAGAACAUGAGGCCUACAAUAGUGAACUUUCAUGCUCCUUUAAAACAAUGCAAAAAGAUCUCUCCCUAUAUUUAGAAAAUAAUUUAGGACUUUUGUGCUCAAAUUAAUAACAAAAUUUAUUAAUAUAGGUAUUAAGGAUUAAUUAACCUUGGCUAUCAAAAAAAGAAAAACCCAAAACUAAAAUCAUAUAUGGGUUGAGAAUCCUUAAUUUAUUAAGAUCAGAGACCCAUUAAUACAGCUAUGUCUCAUUAGAAACUAAGAGAGACAGACAGAGGGGGAACUCUGACUAUUGUCACUUCGGCCAACAUGCAAGAUUUAUUAGAAUUAGAGAUCCAUUAGUACAACUAUGUCUUAGUCCAAUACUAUUUUUUUUUAUUUGGCAUUAAUAGAGAAGACUGAAAACUUCAAAUUAAAAAGAUUAGACAAAUAAAUUUGAAAAGGAUAAAGAUUUUAGAGAGAAAGUGAGGAGAAAGAGAAAUAGGGGGAGACCUUGGGUGAACAGGUGAUUGCCGAUUUCAUUGGGGGAGUACCUUAAUGCAGUUUUUCACAAUUUUUCUGCAAGCCCUGUAUCAACAAUUAAACGGAUAAACACAACAUGACUGAAGGACAAAAAUCGGAACAAAAAACAACCUAAUUUCGAGACAAACCUGAGUGGCAAGCAAAAGCGCCAGUUUUUUUUUUUUUUUUUUUUUUUUUUUUUUUUUUGGUAAUGGCCAAGCUACUGAUAUAUGAGGGUGUGGCACCUGUGAGAAACGAUAAGAAUCCAAUUUUUAGAGAAGUAUAUGAAAUGUUACGCUCUACACCACACAAUUGCACAAUGCACACAUGCAUUUGUUAAACAACAUAUCGUAAUUGUAAAGAUUUUUGUCAUGUUUUUCAGAUCAACUAAAAAUGUCAAUAAAAUACAUGGAGGGGGGUGUGGAUAAACCAAACAACAAAUAAAAAAAAAAAAAAUGAGGAUGUUUGAUGAGAUUUGAAGUCAAUUAGUUAUAUGGCAGGCCUAGAUUUCCGUCAGUUGCUCAGGUAGUGGAAAAUAACAUGCGAACUAAUUCAAUAAUUUCAUGUUUGACACUUUGUCGGUGCCCAAGCGAAGAACUAAUGAGAGAAUCAAAGUAGAGAGAGACUAUGUGUACCUGAAUUGAGUUCAGAGGCAAAAUCCUUGACCCAACCUCGGGUAUCUGAAUCUUAAUGUUGAAGAACCCUUCGGCGCACACGGUUCCUUCUGUGCCUUUAAUCUCUGCAUCAAAGCAAAGCAAAGCAAAAAACAAAAAAAAAAUUUCUUAUUAAAUUAUUAUUUUUUCUCGGAAACCAAACGAUGGGUUAGAAAAAUCUGGAAAGAGGUCAAAUUGGGAAGCUUUGCCCGCGUCGAUGGUGAUGAGGAUGAACCCAAAAAAUUAGCAAAAUUUUUUCUAACCCACAAAAUCAAGUUUUUUUCUGAAGUCUAAUUAUAUCAAAUCACAUAUUUGAACAGAUUUGGACAUAUAAUAGGUGUAGAAAGUACCUGUGGUGAUGAGGAAUAGAUGAUGAUGAUGUGGGUUUUUUCAAUUGGAAAGAUUUGGAGCAAAAUUGCUGCUGAAAUUUAGGGAAGAGAGAUCUAGAAGGUUUUCAAUUCGAAUAGAAGUCGAUCAGAAAAGACGAAAUCACGGAGAAAGCAGAGAUGGAAGAGAUCACGAAGCAAAUAUCGAAGAACACGAAGCAGAGAUCGAAGAGGGCGAUGGAAAAUGGAGGAGUUUGGAAGAGGAGACAAAAAACUAAAGCAAAGUAAAAGCAGAGAAAAAAGAGAUGGGUAAAGUGACACGCGUCCCAAUCAACACGUGUCACUAUGCUAAGCUGCCAGGUGACAAAAUCAAAAGAAAGAAGUCUCCCGAACAAUCCAGUUUUUCUGCUCCUUCAAUUUCAGGCGCAACCGAAAUAAAAGAAUCCUGUUGCACGGCAGGGACGAAAAUGCCAUUCUACUGUAGAAUGAACAGUGAUGACAGAAACAAAGAAAGAGCAAAAAAGAAUACAAAAGGAAUGUUCAGGAGAGAAUCCUGAUUCUAACCGGUAAUCCUAGAAGCUCAAGUUCUCAGGCCAUUACCAAUUCAAUUUCGCCACGGCAUCAUAUUCGUCCGCAUAUUCCAAAGCGCUACACCUAUAUAUAUUUCUAACUCGCUCUCUCUCUCACACUACCUUCCCUCGAUCAGCUUUCUUAUCUGCCUCUCUCUCUAGACAAUACUUUCUCUCUCUACAACCAUCAUGGGUAUUGAUCUAUUGAUCUCGAUUCUCAAUUAUUGAUUUCGAUUUCGCCAUUUUUGUUGCAGAUCUUGUGUUUUUUUUUUUUGUUGUUGAUUUUUCUGUAAUUUUUUUGUGUUUUUCUGACCGUUUGUGUGUUGUGCUUGUUUGUAUCGAUCAGCAACAUCUGGCAAGAAGAACAAGAUCGGAAUCAACGGUGAUGAUCAGAUCCAUCGCUCCUUGAGUUUUAAUUUUUGGUAUGUUCUUUUGUGAUUUGAUCUGUGAAUUGAUUGAGAUUUGAAUUGAAAUGGUUUAGGAUUACUUGUGGCUGCCAACGAUCCCUUUGAACUUGUGGCUGCCAACGAUCCCUUUGAACUUGUGGCUGCCAACGAUCCCUUCAUCACCACCGAUCCCAUGGUGAGUUAUUUACUUGAAGUUUUUGUGUUAUUUUGUCGGGUUUUCAGAUUUAGGGUUUUUGGUUUCGGAUUUGAUUGGUGAUUUGUGUGAUUGUUUUUGUGUUUAGACCUACAUGUCCAAGUACGACACAGCCCAGCGUCCAUGGAUGCAACAUGAGUUCAAGGUCAACUACUCCAAGACCCUUGUCUUCCCUGAGAAGCCCGUCAAGACCUCCUCCGCGCACCAUGAGCUCAAGGUCAACUACUCCAAGACCCUUGUCUUCCGUGAGAUGCCCGUCAAGACCUCCUCUGCGCCCAUCAAGACCUCGUCCAAGACCAAGGCAAAUGAGACAAAGAGAAGUGGGCCUCUGCGCACCCAAGACAAGAAGAAUUCCCGUGUUUACAAGACCAAGGCAAAUGAGAUAAAGAAGUGAGCCCCCUCGCACCCAAGACAAGAAGAAUUCCCGUGUUUACAAAUUUCCAAAGUGUUGAGUGUCUCUAGGCUUGCUUUUCAAGUGUUAUGGUUUGGAGUUCAGAAUAAGAAGUGUUAUCUUGUUUCCUGUUGGAGUUUUCUAAUUUUUAUGCAAGUUUGAAUAUAAAGGCAAAAUUGAUGGGGUUGUCGUAUGGAAUGUGUUUCUCUUAUUUUGCUUCUACCCUCGAUUCCUUGUUUGUUAUUUUGCUUUCUAUUAUUCUCUUUGGUUAGCUUAAGCAUUGUGAUGUUUGCCAACCCGAAGACAAUUAACAGUGUUUGAUUUCAAGCCCGAUUCUCUUCGGGUAGGCAAAACAUAUAUUGUAGAGAAGCGGCAAGUUUAUUAUGCUGAGUUUAAUAGAUCAUUGCAGCUAUGCCAGCUGAGGUGGUUUAUUCCUUAUCAACUGCAGUCUACACUGUCGAAGUCCCAACCAAUCAUUGCCUUGGUGUCGGUGCCAUUUUUCCUAUUUCUGUUGUGGUGGAGACUUAUAUGAUUUCCUAAUUCUGUUAUGGCAAAAGCAUAAAAAAUCCGAUACAAGAGAAAAUCGGUUAUGAUAGUUUGGACAUGUGAAUUAAAGACUUACAUGAUUCGGUUAAAAUAUACGAUUAUGACACGGAGGUUUGUGACAAAAGUGUAGAAAAAGACUAGGAAGAAUUUGAAGGAGACUAUAAAAAAGGAUAUGGAGUACUUGAAGCUAACGGAAGAGUUAGCGCAAUGACGUUGUAUGAUUAUAUAGUCGACUCCAGGUGAAAUAAGGCUGGAUUAUUGUUGUAGUGGUAAAAUCACAUCAAGAAUUUACACUGAGUGAAAGACCUCAGCUUCUACAUCAUCUCCGGUGAACCGUGAAAUUGCAUUCUGGACACGCCGGCACUACUACAAUAUUAGCUUUAGGUGUCGGACGAUUCUGGCGGUUAAUAAGUCAUUCUGACGGAUAAAAGAUUUCCGACACAUAAUUUAUUUACUGUCGGAUUAAAGUUACUUUCUGUCGAAUAUAUCUGACAUAAAGUCCUGACGGAUUUUUCCUGGCGGAUUUAACCGCCAUAAAAUUAUUAUAACCCUCAGUAUUUUUUAAUUCUCUUUUUUUUAAUAUUUUUAAAUUAUUCUGACGGUUUCUAAGUUAAUUGUGGCGGUUAUAACCGACAUAAAUUGACUAUUUUAUUAUUUUAGAUUCUGGCGGUUAUUAUUUUAGUAUUCUGCCGGUUAUAACCGACAGAAAUUGACUAUUUUAUUAUUUUAAAAUGUUACAUUGAUUAAAAAUAAAUAAACAAAUGGUGUGAAUAUUUUUUUUUUCACUCACGGUCCCAUUACCUAAUCUCUGAAUGUUUUUUUUUUUUGGCGAUUUUUUACACAUGCUAUCUCAGAGUAUAGACAAACAUAUUUGACGGUUGAAUCGUUGAAACUAGUUUCGUAGAAUGCAUAUCCUAUCAAAUUGAUAGAUUUAACAAACACUUAAGAGUUAAUGUUAUAGUUCCAUUAAGUAUAAAAAAUUAUCCACUAGUGCAAAUAUUUUAAAUUGAAGAUCGAGAAGUGUAGCUAUAAAAAAUCAUCAAAAUCGAAGCUAAAAUAAUCGUUAAAUUGUGAUUUUUUGUUUAUAAUCAUCGAAAUUUUUUGUUUCGUUACCUAAUCUCUGAAUGUUUGUUUUUUACAACUUUUUACGUAUGCAAUCUUGGAGUGUGUAAAAAUAAGUUUGACGGUUGGAUCGUUGAAAAAAGUUUCAUAGAAUGCAUAUUGCAUCAAAACUGUAGAUUAAACAAACACUAGUUAAUAUUAUACUUCUAUUAAGUAUAAAAUAAGAUUUUGUGGUAUCUACUAGUGUAGAUAUUUUAAAUUGAAGAUCAAAUUUAUUCAUUACAUUCUUAUAGGGUUCUGGAGUGUAGCUGUAAAAAAUCAUCAAAAUCGGAGCUAAAAUAACCAUUAAAUUGUGAUGUUUCUUUUAUAACCGUCGAAAAAAUUUGUUCCGUUACGUAAUCUUUGAAUGUUUGUUUUUUACGAUUUUUGACGUAUGCAAUCUUGGAGUGUGUACAAAUAAGUUUGAUGGUUGGAUCGUUGAAAAAAGUUUUGUAGAAUGCAUAUUGCGUCAAAACGGUAGAUUAAACAAACACUUAGUUAAUAUUAUACUUCUGUUAAGUAUAAAGUAAGAUUUUGUGGUAUCCAGUAGUGUAAAUAUUUUAAAUUAAAGAUCAAAUUUAUUCAUUACAUUCUUAUAGGGUCGAGGAGUGUAGCUGUAAAAAAUCAUCAAAAUCGGAGCUAAAAUAACCGUUAAAUUGUGAUUUUUUGUUUGUAACCGUCGAAAACUUUUGUUCCGUUACGUAAUAUUUGAAUGUUUGUUUUUUACGAUUUUUUACGUAUGCAAUCUCGGAGUGUGUACAAAUAAUUUUGACGGUUGGAUCGUUGAAAAAAGCUUCUUAGAAUGCGUAUCACAUCAAAACAGUAGAUUAAACAAACACUUAGAGUUAAUGUUAUACUUCCAUUAAGAAUAAAAUAAGAUUUUGUGGUAUCCACUAGUGUAAAUAUUUUAAAUUAAAGAUCAAAUUUAUUCAUUACAUUCUUAUAGGGUCGAGGAGUGUAGCUGUAAAAAAUCAUCAAAUUCGGAGCUAAAAUAACCAUUAAAUUGUGAUUUUUUGUUUGUAACCGUCGAAAACUUUUGUUCCGUUACGUAAUCUCUGAAUGUUUGUUUUUUACGAUUUUUUACGUAUGCAAUCUCGGAGUGUGUACAAAUAAUUUUGACGGUUGGAUCGUUGAAAAAAGCUUCUUAGAAUGCGUAUCACAUCAAAACAGUAGAUUAAACAAACACUUAGAGUUAAUGUUAUACUUCCAUUAAGAAUAAAAUAAGAUUUUGUGGUAUCCACUAGUGUAAAUAUUUUAAAUUGAAGAUCAAAUUCAUUCAUUACAUUCUUAUAGGAUCGAAGAGUGUAGUUGUAAAAAAUCAUUAAAAUCGAAGCUAAAAUAACCGUUAAAUUGUGAAUUUUCGUUUAUAACCGUCGAAAACUUUUGUUCCGUUACGUAAUCUUUGAAUGUUUGUUUUUUACGAUUUUUUACAUAUGCGAUCUUGUAGUAUCUACAAACAAGUUUGACGGUUAGAUCAUGGAAACUAAUUUCGUAGAAUGCAUAAAUUUGCCAAAAUUUUGUGCUAAAUUUGUGCUAAAUUGAAGUGGGAAAAGUAAUAUGUGCUAAAUUUUUAUUUAUGUUUUUCAAGUAUUGAUUAGACAAUAUUUAGUUCGUGUGAAGACAUUUUCAUUGUACAAUUCUCUUUUUGUUUAUUUAUCGCAUAUUUUACAUGGAUUAUUAUCUAUUAAACCAAAAAUGUAAAAAUUAUCUAUUAAACCAAAGAAUUAUUUAUUUAAUUUUUAAAAACAUAUUCUAUUUAAAUACAUAUUAUUUAUUUAUUUAUUAAACCAAACAAUUAUUAUUUUAUUUUUUUAAAUUGUAACAAAAUUUGGGGGGGGGGAAUUUAAAAUUUCGGGGAAAGUUUAAAAUUUUAAAAUUUGGGGGAAAGUUUAAAAUUUUUGCCGCCAUUUUGUUUCUGUCGGUUAUAGCCGACAUUAAUGAAAGUUUCUGUCGGUUUUUAUUAAAAAAAUUUUGUCGGUUUUUAUUAAAAAGAUUUCUGUCGGUUUUAACCGACAGUAAUGAAGCAUUUCCACAUUAUAACCCCCCCUCCAUCUCUCCCUGCCGUCGGUGCUUCUCCCUUCCCUAUUUUCUCCUCUCCGCAUUUCCUUCUUCUUCUCUUCUCUCCUCUCCUCAUUUACUUCUAGUUCGAACCCUAGCUUUAGCUAUCUCUCUCUCUCUCUCUCUCUCUGUGUCUUUCAUAUUACUCAGGUUCACAGGCACAAUAGUUGAGGUUGGGGAUUUAUGUCCUCAGUGGACUGAAUCUAAAUGGUGAUCGUUGAAGGUUAAGAUGCUAACAAGUUACAGAUCAAAUGCUGUUUUAUUUCUUCCUGUUCAUCUACUUAUCUUUAGUUGUAUUUCUUGCAGGUUCAAUGGGAUGAGCAUGCUGCAGUUCAAAGGCCUCGACAUAUUAUUUUUGAGUUCGAGCUCGAGCAUGCUGCAGUUCUCCUUGGGAUAUAGAACCUUUUGUAGCUUCGGCUCCAUCCAAUCUUGCUCAACCAGUGGUAGAGAGCAAAAGGCCACGACAUAUUAUUUUCGAGUUCGAGCUCGAGCUCGAGCUCCAUGAAAUCUACUACUCUCUCUCAGCUUUUGUGUGUGUUUUCUUGGGUUUUUGGCUGUUUGUUCAAGUUGUUGAGGGAUCUGAUGUUUUCGAGUUCGAGUUCGAGCUCGAGCUCCGACGAGGUUUUGGAUGGUGAACGCAGAUUUUUUUUUAUUAAUAUACUUUCUGUCGGUUUUAUCCGACAAGAAUGAUUUUAUAUAUUUUAUAAUAAAUUCUCUGUCGGUUAUAUCCGACAGAAUUCCUGGCGGUUUUAGUAUUUUCUGUCGGUUUUAUGCGACAUAAAUUAUAAUAAAUAAAUAUAUAUCCUGUCGGUUUUAUAGUAUUUUCUGUCAGAAAAUUUAUUUCCUGACGCGAGCAAUGCUGUCACUUAUGAUAUCCGCCACUGCAACCAUUUUCUGUCGGAUUUUGCUUAAAAUCCCUCAGUAAUAACCUUUUCUUGUCGUUUUUAUUUGUGCCAGUAAUGGGUAGUUUUGUAGUAGUGCGGCUUUGUGUGCGAUUGGGGGAGAGUGCUACAGACGCCGCAUUUAGGUCGUUAAUGAUAGGCUUAACUUGGACAACUCACUAAAUUCAUUCAAAUUUUAGACAUCGAAAUGAGCCCUUAGCCUAAAACACCCCAAGAAUUAAAAGUUAAGAGAAAUGGUCUUUUUUCCGAGCUCCUCUGUUCUGAUGUCCUUGGAGCCCUAGAUGAUUGGAUAGAUGGGGUUAUCCGUUUCUUGGUUUGCAUUUGUCGUUGUUAUCCUGGACGAAUCUUUUGACUGUUUGUUAGAAGGUGAUGCUACAUUUCGGGAUAUUGUUGGAUCACGUGGACCCUAACUCAUGUUUCCAUCUCUCUAUCAAAUAAACAAAUAAAGAUUAUAUGAAUUUCAGUUAAUUAAACUUGUCUCGUGAUCCAAUAAUAUGUUAAAAAAUGAUUGUUAAUUUUUUUUUUUUGAACAAACAAUAAAAUGAACGUGAAUUAAGUUGCAUUGGAGCACCACACUUAGGAGGCUCCACACCCUCCAAUUAGUACAUGUUACCCUCCAACUAUUCUAUUGGUACUAACUUACUUUGAAACUCUUCUUAACUUUUUUUUUCUUUCUAACAACUAAGGAUAUUGUCCGUAUUCAUAAAUAAAUAAAAGUUCUUAUGACUCUUUCUUUCUGACCACCCACCAAGCGACAUAGCCACUCUUUUAACUAGAAUUUCUCAAAAUUUGAACUCAUUUAACAAUAAUAAGUAGGUUAAUGAGCAUUACCACUACUUGAGGAUAGUGAGCAAAAACGUACCCUUAGACUAUAACUUAGUGCGAAUUUCGAUUUAGUUCUCCUCGUUAGUGAAAAAGAAGUUAGUCCACUCCAUCCAGGCUUACAAAGGAAACAAAAGUUAUAGCCGUCCCUUACGAAAUUUUCUGACUCCACCCUUGCCACCCACUUUUGAUGGGAUUCGGCUUUUCUGCCCUCCCACUUCCCAUACACUCACAUCCCCUCCUAUUUUGUGCGGUCACAGUUAAGCCACAAAUUCAUUGCAAACUUGAAUUGAAAGAGGUUGAAUUGAAAUAGAUUGAAUUCAAAGGUGUGUGAAUUAUAGCCGAAUAUCCACCCUAUUUAUAGCCCAAAAGAAUUCAAAUCCAACGACUAGUUGACGUCAUCGUGCAACUUCUAGCUGACGUCAUGCUUACGUCACUUAGUUGUUGGAUUUGAAUUUAAGUUGUAGUUUUUUAAUAAUAAAUUGUGUUUAGCCCUAUGACCCUUUAGCCCUUGGUUGGAGAUGAUUUUUUUGUGACAGGGCUAAAACUAGCCCUAUGGCCCUCAGUUGGAGAUGGUAAGAAAUAUGGCCAUGCACUAUUCAUUAAAAUAUUAAUUUCUUGGAGGACCAGAGAGCUAAAACGAGCCAUCUGGUCAGCCUUCAGUUGGAGAUGGCCUAAGUAGUCAUGGAUAGUUGCACGUACGGUGAUCUUGCACGACAACCAUUACUUGAGAAGCUUACCCCAAGUCAGUGACAGUACACAUCACACUGAAGCUUGAAUUUGGAGCAAGUUAACAUUUAGAUGGAUGAAUCCGCUUUUCAAAAGGGGAAAUCAAAUCCUCAAACUGAAAUGACAAUAUAUACCGUCGGCUCCUCCCUCGGAAAGAGCAGAAAGUGCUUCCUAUGCGCCUCAAGAAUCACUGAACAUGUUCGUGGCGGGAAUUUCCGUGGGGGAUGCUUCCUGUCCGACCAGCACACAGCUCCCCGAGAGGUUGGCGCCGGUUGAUGCUUUCUAUCGGGCUUCUGCUUUUCUGACGGGCUUGUCGGGCAAGGCUGAAAGAGAAUGACAGAGUUAACUUUGAAAGGUGCCUUUGUGAGGCCUUAGGUGUAGGCCUUGAGGCUCACAAUUAAGAUUAACCUUUAAGUGCUCAAGUGUGCCACUGCCAUUUUCAGCAUGGCAGAUGUAGAACGGAUGUUUGAGUUUAAUUAUAUAUAUUCGCGAAACUAUGUUAGUUAUUGACAGGUGCCUUUGUGGGGCCUUAGGUGUAAGCCUUGAGGUUUCCCAUAAAUAACUAACUUAGUACUCGAACACAUAAGGUUCCUUUUGUUGGUUAUAUGGGUCUUAUAACCAUCAUACUUCUGAUUACCUGAGCUCAAAGAGCAGAAUGAAUCCAAAUAGGUGCCUUUGUGGGGCCUUGAAUAAGCCUUGAGGCUUCCCAUCAGAACCCAUUAUAUACUCAAUGUUCUUGCCCGAGAAAUAGGAUGAAUCCAAAUAGGUGCCUUUGUGGGGCCUUGAAUAGGCCUUGAGGCUUCCCAUCAGAACUCAUCCCGUACUCGAACGCUAUAUGGUAAUCAUAAUAUAACAGCAAUAAAACUAAGUGACAGGUCGAUUACUUGCGCCCCAAGUAACUUCGGAUUUCUUGUUAUCAAAGCUUGUAGUGGAUGGGUUAAGUCCAUAUCAGGUUCUUUUUUAUGCCUUGAGGCCAAGGACUUUUUAGAAUGAUCAAAUCUUAUAUGCCCGAAAGCUUAGAACUUAGAUCUGGCUUGAACUGUGAAGACAUAUUCAAAUCGGAUUCAAGUGCUAAAAGAGUCGUUUAACAGCCAUAUUACUAGAAAUAACUUGGAUACAACUUGUAGUGUACAACAUAUUGCUAGCCUAAUGAAUGAAAAGACAAAAACAAAUAGGGUCGGGCAAGGCUGAUCGUCUUGCAACUUCUUAUCUUUGUGGUUUAUCAGAAGGUUUGAAAGAUUAGAAAAAGGUUUGGGAAGUGAGUUUACAGAAAAGAGAUCGAUACUACAGCAAGAGUUGAACAGGGUAGCAGAGCUAUUACAAAGGGUUUAUCCCGAAGGGGAUGAAGGCUUGGGCUGACUACAGCUUCGUUUUGAAGGCAAAUCUGGCUUUGAGCAGAGUUUGUGCUUGUAUUUGUUUGUUUGAGUGUCUUUGAUUCUGACUUCUCUUUCUCCUUUUAUAGACACCUUGGCUUGGCCUCCUGUAGCAAUAAUCCUGCCCAAAUGCAGUUUGAAGGAUAGUGACUCAUUGGCUAUUUACUUGUAUUGCCCUUAUAAAGUACUUUUGGGCUGAUUAGCUACCACUUGGCCCUUGGGUAGGUGAGCAAGUGGUGCAAAUGAUCUACAUCUAGUCAGGAAAGGUCUUCUCUGCUUUCUGGGUUUGGGCUGAGCUUCGGGCUUUUCCUUCUCUAUUUGGGCCAACUCCCUUCUAAGCCCAAAGUUUAAGUUUUAACUCAAACAGUGCCCCCUUCAAUCAAUAUUCAGACUGGAAUUCCAGGCGCCAAUAUUGAUUGAAUAGGUCUCUGUUAAUACCCACGCCUUUCGUUCUCGGGAUUUGCACACUUUUCAAAAGCAACCAUCGCCUUUCUUCGGUUAAUCCCAUCACUCCCGAAUCUCCUGCAUUCUUCUUAUUUCCGUAAUCAAAAACUUCCUAACCCUCCAGUCGCUCAUUCCUUGUCAUUCUAUUUCCAAACUUCAUCAAAUGGCUUCAGGAUCCAGCCAAAUCCAUCUAUCAUAUGAGUCUGGCGAAGGUAUCGCCACUUUGCGCCGUUUACUCAAUGGCCUGCAUCGCCCUCAAGCAGGUUUGUAUUCUGAGCUUUUCUUUGAAGUACAUGGAGUACAAUCGUUGGGUCCUGCAUGGAUUUCUCGGGUCCCUGCAGUGAUAGAAGAUAAUAUGCCCAAGGAUAACUGGUUUUCUCCAAAUCCCUAUUUGGCUAAGUCGGGCAUUUCCUCAUCUAAAUGGUCGUCAUAUCGCCGAGGCUUUCCAUUGAUGAAUGAUCCGGCUUGGGUCCAAUGGAUUGAUGAACUAGAGCCAAUCUUUAAGAAAAAAUGGAUGAAUAAUGGCAUUUAUGAGUUGAUAAUGCUCUCAAAAACCACCAUUAUUCCUAAGCCCGAACUGCUUGCUUCCUCUCUUCUUUUCUGGAACUCGGGCACAAACACUUUUGACUUUCGCAUAGGUCCCAUGUCUCCGACUAUUCUAGAUAUGGCUCAAGUCUUCGGGUUAAGGCCAUCGGGCAGGAUAAUAGACAUUACUCAAGACUGGGCUCUCCCCUCGAUUGCUGAAAGCUCAAGUUCAUCCACAUCCUUCCUCUUCUUGGAAUAUAACUUUGCAACCUUCAAGAGUUACGAGACAUCAUUCAAGGGAUUCAUCCCUUUUGUAAAAGAAAAUUUUGGAGCAGGUUCUUCCCGUGCUGAUAGAGAUCAAGAACACAUGUAUUUCCUUUUAUAUUGGCUCAACAAACAUAUUUUCCCCAACAAAUCUAAAUGGGUGAAGGUUGAAUGGAUCCCCUUGGUGGAAGCUCUUCAUAACUUCGACGAUGUGGCAACAGGUCAAUUCCUUCUUUCUCAUCUUUACCAUCUUCUAUUCGAAAUGACUAAAGGCGAGCCAUUUGAGACUAACCUGAAUGGACCCAUAUGGAUGAUACAAACAUGGCUCCAAUGGUACUUUCCAGAGUUUCGGGCUGCCAACUUAGAGUUCCCAGAAGGUGUAGCCCCUACUCGAAUCCUAACCGAAGCUGCUCUUACUGAUCACUCCACCUUCGCCUGUUUUUAUUUCUUCAAGGUUUGUAGGACUCGAUCAGACCUGGAAUGGGGUGCAUCAGUUUUGAGAAGAUAUCCUUGGUUUUCUGACAAGGCCUUUCACGAUGCUCCUAGGGAAGAUGCCACCUCCUCUUGUAGGGACAAAUUUAUUAGUUGCAUCCAAUCGAGAGAUAUGGCCUGGGGAGUUCGGGGCAAUCGGUACGAUCGAGGGUUGGAGGUGUAUCACCCCAACUUUUGCAGCAGGCAAUUAGGUUUUAGGCAAACCAUCCCCAUCCCAUUCUUUGACUCUGUUCAUUGUGGCACUUCUUUUCGUUUAGUAUCUCCUUCUGAGGCGACCUUUAGAGCUGCCUGACGCAGUCUUGAAGUCAUGAGUCAGGCUGCCCGAAAGUUCAUCAUCCUCAAUUUUGAAUGCACUUCACUCUUCUCUUCUUGGUGGGAAGACAAAUGGACCAAGAAAUAUGGAGGAGACUUGAGAGAGACUUAUGAUCGCCUGUUCGGUCAACUUUCUCUCAAAUCAAACCCUAGUUCGGGCGAACUUGAAAAUUGGAAGGAGAUGAUUCAAGAAAAGAAUCGAGUUCUUCUGAUAGGUAUCCUUUCUUCUUAUCUUGAUUCCAUAAUUUUUCCCUUAAACCCUUUUAACUUUUUCCCUUCUUAACCCUGCAGCCCAAGUGGAUGUUGAAUUAGUACCUACUGAGUCCGAGGAUGACUCAGCUGAUGCAGCAGUUCUUCAUGGAGCUGCGGCAGAGGCUGAGAGGCGAGAAGCUGGAGAAUGUGGGGAUGUUUUAGAAGAUUCAGGAGCUGAAAAAGAAGCGCCUGAAGCUACCAUCCAAGUGUCUAAGCGAAGGAAAACAGUCGUGAUUGAGAACUCAGAUUCUAAUCCUGCAUCCCCCCAAGACUAAACGACGAAUUCCUACUCCUACUAGAAAGAGUAAGAGAACCAGAACCGUCCAAACUAUCAAGUCUUCAUACCCACAUGCUCCAGUUAUUGAGGCGGGUAGAAAGAAGCAAAAAUCUUCAAGUGAGUUAUGUUCCCUUUUGUUACGCUGCCACAUUUCUUCUUUAUCCAGUUACCUAUGUUUUUCUUGAACACAUGACCUCAAGCAUCAAAGAAACCAACCAUCGCCUCCAAGGAUGAACCCUUAGGAGCUGCAAUGUAUAAAAAGGCUGAAGAGUUGAGAAACCUCACCCUUAAAGAACUUGAGGUAUAGUCUACUUUUAUAUCUGCAUAAUCUUUCCUGCUUUCACAAAAACCCUGAGCAUGGUUACUUGAGUCAGGCUGCAAGAAACGAAAAGCUUCAUCCGCCCAAGGCCUCUUCACCACUUGCUCAAGAAACAAACCUCUCCCCCCCCCCAGGGUUGAUCUUUCAGAGGUAUACUUCAUUUCUUAAACCUUAGGUAACUUCAUGAUUUUUGGGGGUAAUGCUCGAUCUUUUUCUUUCUUCUGACUUCAUCUAAGUCGGGGUAUCUGCUCCCUUGCCUAGUCAAAGUUCUCCUUUGAUUUCUCCUUCUGUCCUGGAGGCAACUCCAUCUUCUCAAUUUGAUCCAUCCACAAGAGUAAUGUUGCACUUCGUGGAUGAGGACAGUAAUUUGGUGAGUAACCAUCCUUACAGUGAAUCCCCUUUUAUUGUUUCGGUAUUAACUUCUAUUUACCUCUUCCUCAGCCUCAUUCAAUACAAAAUCCAUUAGUGGCAACAAGAACAAGUGACGAACCCAUAGUCCCUAAGAUUCCUGUAACUUCAGAAGCAACUACUCUGCAGAUGUUUGCCUGCCCGACAGUUACCCUUGAUAGACCUUAUUCAUCCCUUCAGGGUCGAACUCUGGUAAGGAGAUAUUUCUUUCCCGUUCUUCUCUUACCAUCUGCUUACUAACCAUUAUUGCCCUUCCUGUGUGCUUUCAGGGUAUUGGUGAAGGUUUAGGUGCAGCUUCUUCUUCCUCCGUAAGUGGUAGGGAGUCUUCCCCUCAACCAGGAAUCAGUAUUCUUCCUUGUGAGACUCUAAGGCUUAGUCAGGUAUAUUUCUUCAUCCCCAAACUUUCCUUCAUUUCAAAUUGUCUAUUUAACAAUCUGAUCUUCUUUUGGUCUUUGUAGCAAGUUCCUGAAGAAACUUCUCCUCCUCAUUUGGUUCGUAAACCAAAGUUUCCCCGACCUCAUUUAACUAUUAGGAGUGCUAGGAUUGCUCAUCCUGGAAUGGAGAAGGCUGGAGAGCUAAAAACUGCCCCAUCAGUAAGCGCUACUUCAUUAGAGGAAACUGGAGUGCGAAGUCCCCCUCCUGCUUCUUUAGCUUUAAAAACUGCUAAGUUGCCCGAACUGUUUGAAAAAUUCGGGCAGCUCGAGACAAGGCUAAAAUCCUCGAAGCAUUCUUCACCUUUAGGUUUUCCAGAGCAGAAGCGAGUUUUCCAAGAAUGGGCAAGGAAGGAUUUCUCCGCUUCAUUUAGCCUUAAGGCCCUUCAUGAUCUGGAAAAGGUUACAAGUGAGCUUUUCAAAGCUGACCAACUGUCCAAAACCCAACAUGAUUCCUUCUUCUCCUUCUUUGAAAAUCUGAGGGCUAUUCGGGAUCAACAUAAGAGGGCAGAAAGACAAGCCAAUCGUGUAAGAUGUUUCCAGGAGAAGGAAUCAAGCACUUCUGCUCAGGUAGACAAGUUGAUGAAUGAUGGUUCAUUAACGAAAGAAAGAAUUGGAGUGGUGACUGUUGAAAUCCAAAAACUAGAAGAACAACUGGUUGUUCUCAAGGCUGAGCAAGCAACUCUUCUGGACACCCUCGAAAAUCAAAUUGAAGAAGUGAAGAAGACAAACUCGGAGUUGGAGCAUUCUAGAUCUCAGCUUGCAAAUAGUCAUACCGUCCUGGCCGAACCUAGUAGGAUUUUUACAAUUAUGCAGACAUAUCACUCCCGAAUAAUCACCCUGAGUGAAAAUGUAAAAUUAUUAGACUAGGAUCACUUGUAACCCCUCUCUCAGUGGAAUGAACAUGUAUUUGUCUUUUGCUUGCUUUGCUUCUGGCCCCUAUCCAAACUUCUUUCGGGCAAUUCUUUGCCCCCUUGUUUACUUUCUUCUUUAUUUGAGCAAUGGUGUUGUGACGACCCGAGAUCCAUCUUCCCCUUUGUCGUACCAGUCGAUGACAUUGGCUUCUCCAUCUAAACCAGAUGGAUCGCGUUGAUAGGAGCUUCCGGGAAAGGAUUGGUAUCAACCAUCAUGCUAGCUUGUGGCUUGUCAAGUAACAACUUUCCCUUCACUAUAAGGUCUUGCACCCAGUCUCUGAACUGGACACAAUUAGUUAUAGAAUGGUUGAAGGUAUAGUGUAACUUGCAAUACUUCUUUCCCCUCAGCUCUUCUGGUUUGGGCAUCUUUUUUGUACUGUCGGGCACAAUCACUCUUACCCACACCAGCUCUUCAUAAAUCUCAGGUGUUUUGGCCAGAUCGAACGAAUAGCUCUGAUAUUUGGGAGGUUUCAUGGGGACAAAGUCUCCAUCAUUCAUCACGAUCUUCUGGUUCUUGAUGGGCUGAACUAAUCAUUUCACCGUCAAGGGUUUGAAAGGCGUAGUCAUUUCAGUAGCACACACCUCGAUCUCCUCUCUAUCAUGAUCGUCCUCCUGCUCUGGCCCAAUUUCUCCUACCUCCACAUGAUGAAUUGUAGCUUUGUUUUUGUAGAAUGGAGGAGUUUUGGACGUAUGCUUCACUUGCUAUUCUUCUAGUAAUAGUUUUUCAUAUCUUAUGGCAGCAAUGACUAACUCAUGUAGCUCAUUAAAUUGUGUAUCAUAAAAUCUCUUCCUCAAAGGUAAUUUCAGAGCCCUUUGAGCAAUUGAUAUGAGCUGAGCUUGGUUAACAGGGAAUUGGCACCUCAUCCUUGUCUUCCUGAACCUCAUCAUGAAGUCCUCUGUGGACUCAUGCUCGUAUUGUUUGACUUCAACCAGAUCAUUAAUAGUCAUCUCUGGUUCUAUUCUGUAAAAUUGUUCAUGGAAAGCCAUCUCAAUUUGCCCCCAGUUGGCAAUAGAGUUAGGGGGUAAUAGAGAAUACCACUGGGAUGCAAGUCCUGCCAACGAAUUCCCAAACAACCUUAACUUGUAGUUUGGGUUGUCUUCAUACGCCACACAAUGAUUAGAGAACUUGAAAAUGUGAUCUCUGGAGGACACACCGCUGUCUUCACCCGUGAAUGUUGGGAAUGCGGGCAUCUUGAAGUUGGGAGGAAAUGGAUUCUGUUCGUCAAUGUAUUCAGGAUAAGGCUUUUGAUAAGUAAUCCUGAACACUGGGCGAGCUCGUGGUUGAGCGUUUUGAACUACUGCCCUCCUCAAUUCAGCCAACUCAUCCCUUAGCUGUUGAGUAGCUGUAUUAUUCUGGAAAAUAAAGGCGGACUCGUCCUUCGGGCUUCGGUCAUUGCCUAUGAAUGCUUAUUUCUUUGUUUCAGGCUUUAUCCAGUUGGUUCCCCAUCCCUUAUGAGCCAAAGGGGGUGGCCUAUAAGGAAGAGGUUUGUCCGGGGCUGCAAAGCUUUCUUUUUUGCUGGACUCUCUUGUUGUUAUGGGCAUCCCAUACUUUGUCCUCUCCUGCUCACUUUGCUUCCUGUUAUUAAAUGUUAACAACAGGAAGCUAGGAAACUCCUUCCCCAAGACCGGCUCUACCAUGGGUUGACUUCCUUCAAGAACUGCUUUCUUCUUUCCCCUAUCCGUUUCUUCUUCUAGUAGUGGAAAUAGGGGAAUAACUGGCUCACUUCUGAUGGUAACCUGGCUCAUCCCACUUCCUUGAGCGCCUUUUGGAGUGGAAAACUCCAGAUCGAGCCUUCUUUGUAGAUUUCCUGUUAAGGUACACAGUCUACUGACCUCCCCCUUGGUCUCCAACGAGAUUUUUUCCAUGCUUCUCAAUACUUGUAUCAUAGUAGCCUGCAAUUCCUCAUUAGUUUCUUUUCCUUCCGACUUCCCGGAUGAAGAUGGGCUUUCUAGGACCACAUGUCCCGAUGGGGAAGAAGGAUUUCCUUAUUGAUCUGUCAUUGGUAGUAAAAGUUGAGAAAAAUCACUCUUCGUUUUCUUUCUACAAAGUGUAUGGCUUUUCUUUUUGGACAUGCAAGAUCUACACAAAUGAUAUCCCACCGAGCGUGCCAAAACUAUGUUUGUGGCAAGAAUUUUCGUGGGGGAUGCUUCAUGUCCGAUGAGCACACAGCUCCCCAAGAGGUUGCCGCCGGUUGAUGCUUUCUGUCGGGCUCCUGCUUUACUGGCGGUCUUGUCAGGCAAGGCUGAAGGAGAAGGACAGAGUUAACUUUGAAAUGUGUCUUUGUGAGGCCUUAGGUGUAGGCCUUGAGGCUCACAAUCAAGAUUAACCUUUAAGUGCUCAAGUGUGCCACUGCCAUCUUCAGCAUGGCAGAUGUAGAACGGAUGUUUGAGUUUAAUUAUAUAUAUUCGCGAAACUAUGUUAGUUAUUGACAGGUGCCUUUGUGGGGCCUUAGGUGUAGGCCUUGAGGCUUCCCAUAAAUAACUAACUUAGUACUCGAACACAUAAGGUUCCUUUUGUUGGUUAUAUGGGUCUUAUAACCAUCAUACUUCUGAUUACCUGAGCUCAAAGAGCAGAAUGAAUCCAAAUAGGUGCCUUUGUGGGGCCUUGAAUAGGCCUUGAGGCUUCCCAUCAGAACCCCUUCUAUACUCAAUGUUCUUGCCUAUGAAAUAGGAUGAAUCCAAAUAGGUGCCUUUGUGGGGCCUUGAAUAGGCCUUGAGGCUUCCCAUCAGAACUCACCCCAUACUCGAACGCUAUAUGGUAAUCAUAAUAUAACAGCAAUAAAACUAAGUGACAGGUCGAUUACUUGCGCCCCAAGUAACUUCGGACUUCUUGUUAUCAAAGUUUGUAGUGGAUGGGUUAAGUCCACAUCAGGUUCUUUUUUAUGCCUUGAGGCCAAGGACUUUUUAGAAUGAUCAAAUCUUAUAUGCUCGAAGGCUUAGAACUUAGAUCUGACUUGAACUGUGAAGACAUAUUCAAAUCGGAUUCAAGUGCUGAAAGAGUAUUUUAAUAGCCAUAUUACUAGAAAUAACUUGGAUACAACUUGUAGUAUACAACAUAUUGCUAGGCUAAUGAAUGAAAAGACAAAAACAAAGAGGGUCGGGCAAGGCUGAUCGUCUUGCAACUUCCUAUCUUUGUGGUUUAUCAGAAGGUUUGAAAGCUUAGAAAAAGGUUUAGGAGGUGAGUUUACAGAAAAGAGAUCGAUACUACAGCAAGAGUUGAACAAGAUAGCAGAGCUAUUACAAAGGGUUUAUCCCGAAGGGGAUGAAGGCUUGGGCUGACUACAGCUUCGUUUUGAAGGCAAAUCUGGCUUUGAGCAAAGUUUGUGCUUGUAUUUGUUUGUUUGAGUGUCUUUGAUUCUGACUUCUUUUUCUCCUUUUAUAGACACCUUGGCUUGGCCUCCUGUAGAAAUAAUCCUGCCCGAAUGCAGUUUGAAGGAUAGUGACUCAUCAGCUAUUUACUUGUAUUGCCCUUAUAAAGUACUUUUGGGCUGAUUUGCUACCACUUGGCCCUUGGGUAGGUGAGCAAGUGGUGCAAAUGAUCUGCAUCUAGUGGGGAAAGGCCUUCUCUGCUUUCUGGGUUUGGGCUGAGCUUCGGGCUUUUCCUUCUCUAUUUGGGCCAACUCCCUUCUAAGCCCAAAGUUUAAGUUUUAACCCAAACAUAACAACUUCAAGACUCUUCCUCGCUUACCAAAGCAAUUUUUCAGGCUACAUGAGUGUCAUUGGCCCUAAAUGUUGUCUUUACAGGUAACUACUCUGAAUUUGCUCUUGAAAUAUCGCCUUUGGUCUUACUUUUAUGAAUAACUUGUUAAUUGUUACUCUUAAUUUGAUGUUGGAGUUAAUGCUUUCGCAUCCUAAACGGUCCGUUUCCAAUCACAAACUUUGUGAACUAUAUGCUCAAAAACCUUGAUGGUUCAAGCUACCAUUACGGAAUACCUCUUGCCAUGAUGUUCUUUUUCACACUGACGUUGGAAUCGGUUACUCAAAGACAGUUGUGCUUUGCUGCUCGACGAAUUGGUCUACGAGUAAGAGCAGCUCUCAUUGCCUUAAUCUACAAGAAGUCCAUCUCAAUCUCUCUCAAAUCUGGCUGCCCAAGCAAUGGAAAAUUUAAUCAGCGUGGACGUAGAAGCAAUCGGGGAGUUCUUCUCAUCCAUUCACGGAGUUUGGCUUAUUCUGCUUCAAGUGUUUACGGUGCUGUUGGUUCUAGCAGUUCCUUGAAAUAAGGUUCAAUCUUGUGGGAUUAUGCCCAAACUUGACCUUAAGUCUUGCAACCCAAUUUUUGAAAUGCCUAAUCCGUCAAUGAGAAUCCUCCCUCCUGAGGGUUCUACUACUCGGAACAGUGCUUGAAUCAAUGUAGACUUUCCACUUCCUGUCCUUCCCACAACACUGGUUUUCCUCUUUUCCGAGAAGGUGCAUGUGACCCCUUUGAUCACCAUUGGGAGAGCUGGGUGAUACUGAACUUGCAGGUUCUGAAGUUCGACUUUUCCUUCAGUUGGCCAAUCAACGUUUGGCCUAGAACCUUCGAUCACAAGCGGUGCCUCACUUGGUGAAGUCUCUCAAUUGAUAUCAUUGAGUUGUCGACAUUGCAUAGAUUCCAAAUAACCCAAGCCUGCAGGACCAUGAGGUUAAAGCCAAAAGUGCCGUUGAUGCCCAUACCCGAACACACUUGUCCAAGGCAGGCAAAAUUCUAGUUCAUUGUUUUCGAGUGUAUUUACUUAAUGUAUAUGCAGUAGUAAUUGAUCAGGAAUUGGUUCAGGAAUGUCUCUUGCAACUCGUCCGAAAAGACGGUCGUCUAUGUCACUCAUCAACUAGAAUUUUUAGAAGCAGCAGACUUUGUUUUGGUAAGUUAAUUAUUGAUUACAUGGACAUUUUUUUUUUCAAAUACUCACUUAUCUAACUCAUGAUUAUAAUUCAAUUAUUUAUAUUUAGGUUCUUAACCAAGAAGAUCAGACUUGCAGAAAGAAAAAGAAAGAAACAAUACAGAGAAUAUAGAAGAAAACUUAGAAAGAAUAUGAAAGGUUUUGUAUUGAUAGAAUGAUAUUUUUCUUACAAACAAUAAGCUGCAAUCAGCUUUUUAUAUCCCUAUAGUAGCCUAACUACCUUGCUUACUGUGUAAGCUACACAGCACCAUCCUAACUAACUUUCAACAGAAAUAUGAAUGACAUGGAAGAUGAUGUGGCAUUCACUUGAGUCAAUUAUUAUCAGUCAACAUCCCCCCUCAAUCUCAACGAGGGAAACCAAGUUUGAGAUUGAAACAAUGACGAGUGAAUGGCGGACUAUGUAAUCCUUUAGUAAGAAUAUCAGCGGUCUGUUCAUCAGUAGGGAGAUACUCAACCAACAGAUCACCAUUAUGCACCCUUUCACGGACAAAAUGAUAAUCCGUAUCAAGGUGUUUGAUUCUCGAAUGAUACACCGGAUUAGCACUGAGUGCUAUUGCGGAUUUAUUAUCACAGAAUAUAGUGGGUUGAACAGGUAAUGCAACUCCCAAAUCUUUCAAAAUGAGCCGAAUCCAUGCCACAUCUGCUGCAGUAUGAGCAAGUGCCUUGUAUUCCGCCUUUGUAGAACUGCGAGAGACAGAGGAUUGCUUCUUUGACUGCCAAGAGAUUGGAUUCCCACCAAGAUAAACCACAUAACCAGUCACAGAUCGUCUUGUGUUCAAAUCAGCAGCCCAAUCAGCAUCAGAAAACGCUGUCAAAUGUAUGUCAGUAUCAGCUGCAUAUGUAAGACCACAUUCGACAGUGCCUUGAAGAUAUCGAAUAAUUCGUUUGACAGAAGUAAGAUGUAUAUCUGUCGGAGCAGUCAUAAAUUGACACACGGAAUUCACAGCAUAAGCUAUAUCUGGACGUGUAAAAGUGAGAUAUUGCAGGGAACCAACCAAACUUCGGUACAAUGUGGAGUCCUGCAAUGGUAUGCCCUCAUUCAAUAGCAUCUGAUUGUGAGGUUUGCAUGGUGUAUUCGCAGGUUUACAAGACUCCAUUCCAGCUUUAUGAAUAAGAUCUUUAACAUACUUGGAUUGAUUCACAAAUAUCUCUCCAUUCUCCUUGUAUUGAAUCUGAAGUCCCAGGAAGUAAGUAAGUCUGCCCAUAUCCUUUAAGUCAAAAACACCUGCCAAAUCAUCGAUAACUUGCUGAACUUUGCUAGCAUUUGAUCCUGUCAAAAUGAUGUCAUCGACAUAUAGUAAAAGAACCACCACAUCCUUGUCAUCAUUCUUCACAAACAAACUGGUAUCCGAUGAAGAGGGUAUAAAUCCCAAAGCUGGUAAAUAGGUUGUGAACUUUGAAUUUCAUGCCCGAGGGGCUUGCUUCAACCCAUACAACGAUUUAAUCAACUUGCAGACAUAAUGGGGUUUAGUUUGAUCAACAAACCCUUGAGGCUGUUUCAUAUACACCUCUUCUUGUAAGUCACCAUGCAGAAAUGCAUUUUUGAUAUCUAACUGCCUCAAUUCCCAUUUAUUUAUAGCUGCUAAGGAUAAAAUGAGUCGUACAGUAGUGUGGCGUCUACUGGACUAAAAGUUUCUGAGUAGUCAAUGCCUUGUUCUUGGGAAAAACCUUGAGCCACAAGUCUGGCUUUAUACCUCGAUACACUUCCAUCAGGAUUCUUCUUAACUUUAUAUACCCACUUACUGCCAAUAAUGGUUCUGUUUGGUGGAGAAGGAACCAACUGCCAAGUUCCUUGAGUUUUGAGGGCAUUAAACUCCUCUUGCAUUGCAGUUUGCCAGAUUUGAAUGUCAGAUUAUAACCUCAGCAUUAAACUCCUCUUGCAUUAAACUCCUCUUCAAAACAGGUCCUAUAGUUGAAUGUCAGAUUUGUUCUCGCAGAGGUCAUACUGCUGCAAACUGUUCGAAUAGGAGUGAUGGUUAUCAGAUUAUAAUCUGUCAAAUUUGUGGAAAGAAAGGUCAUAAUGCUCUGGAAUGUAGACAUCGGAAUAACUAUUCCUAUCAGGGGGCACCUCCACCUCCUUCUCUUACUACAUUUUCUGCUCAAGCUCCGUCUCACAUGACUAUACAACAACAACAACAAAGCAUUUUCCCACUAAGUGGGGUCGGCUAUAUGAAUCCUAGAACGCCAUUGCGCUCGGUUUUGUGUCAUGUCCUCCGUUAGAUCCAAGUAAUCAAGUCUUUUCUUAGGGUCUCUUCCAAAGUUUUCCUAGGUCUUCCUCUACCCCUUCGGCCCUGAACUUCUGUCCCGUAGUCACAUUUUCGAACCGGAGCGUCAGUAGGCCUUCUUUGCACAUGUCCAAACCACCGGAACCGAUUUUCUCUCAUAUUUCCUUCAAUUUUGGCUAUUCCUACUUUACCUUGGAUAUCCUCAUUCCCAAUCUUAUCCUUUCUCGUGUGCCCAUACAUCCCACGAAGCAUCCUCAUCUCCGCUACACCCAUUUUGUGUACAUGUUGAUGCUUCACCGCCCCAACAUUCUGUGCCAUACAACAUCGUUGGCCUUAUUGCCGUCCUAUAAAAAUUUUCCCUUGAGCUUCAGUGGCCUACGACGAUCACACAACACGCCGGAUACACUCUUACACUUCAUCCAUCCAGCUUGUAUUCUAUGGUUGAGAUCUCCAUCUAAUUCUCCGUUCUCUUGCAAGAUAGAUCCUAGGUAGCGAAAACGGUCACUUUUUGUGAUCUUCGCUAGAUUGCUCCGGUCAUUAGUGUGGAUAAGUAUAUAAAUGGAUAGAGAUAGGAAAGCAAACACAAGAUGUACGUGAUUCACCCAGAUUGGCUACGUCCACGGAAUAGAGGAGUUCUCAUUAAUUGUGAAGGGUUUACACAAGUACAUAGGUUCAAGCUCUCCUUUAGGGAGUACAAGUGAAUGAUUUAGUACAAAUGACAUUAGGAAAUAUUGUGGGAGAAUGAUCUCGUAACCACGAACUUCUAAGUCCCGGAGUGUGGUAUCGGCUUGACUUUCCUUAUCUAUCUCAUAGGUAGAUGUGGAAUCUUCUCUGGAAGUACUCUUCCUCCAUCCAGGGGUGGUAUCUGUAACUGGUGGAGAUGCACAAGGUAAUGUAUCAAUGUCACUUGAAGCUUACUUGUAGUUUCAGGCUUGGUCAAGCGCGAUACAAACCAUGUAGUAGGAGUCCUCCAAGUCGCCGAGCUAGGGGAUCUGCUGAAAGAGGUAACAGACAAGGUAAGCAAUCAGAGCUCCGGCUGAUUGUUCACAUUCUCCCUAUCUUGCAGGCAGCAUGAAGGAUAAAGAGAAGAAAAAUGAGAAGAGAUGAUAUGGGAUACUUUUGCUUUUGAAGAAGUAACUUUCCACAGGCUUAUUCUUGAACUGGGCUGGAGGGUUUUCUGGUUUCCUCCAAAGUAUAAGGCCGACUGAAGAAUUUGAGGGUCAAAAACAAGUCCAUCAAAUCUAGAGUACGUUCGACCCUGCUGAUAUGGGAUACUUUUGCUUUUGACAGAGUAGUGGAUGUAUCGGCACGUGUGCUGUUACGCUUGUCUCCACAUGCUUCCUUGUAUCCUUCUCACUUGCCCUAUCCUCAGGCAGAUGCGGUAUCUUCCUUGGAAGCAUAAGAUGUUGAAGAUGAGUACUCGAGAGCAAUGCCAGGGUAAGGGGGUUCCAGGCAGUCAGUUCCUGGCUGGAAGCUUGAUUCCAAGUGCUGACUGAUUGCUCUCUUUCUCCUUGUCUUGCAGGUAAGAACAAGGCCAAAGGAAAAGACAGGGAAAAAGCAUGAUAUGGGAUACUCUUGCUUUUAACCCUGAUGAUAUGAGAUAUUCUUGCUCUAGUAUAGCUUGUUUACAGAGGUAUUAUCGGGGGGAAAGAAAGCUGAAUAUUUCGAAAGGCUUCGUUGGGAGUGCCCUCUCAGAUAAGAGGAAGGGUUGAGCAUUUUUGCAGGUCUGCCUGUCCGUUGGGGAUGGAGGUCGACAUAUAUAGGAGUCUCCCUAACAUCAAGUAAUAAUGUUAUUCCUUUACCCUGCUUGGUCAUAGCACGGUAGUGGGAGCUGCCAGCUUCACAAGUUUUAACUCUGUCAGAGCACUUUGAAAAAGUGGUCUGUGGUAUCUGGAAAGCUGAUGUUGCGUGUGAAGAUUACAGACAAGCUUUAUCCAAGGAGAUCCGGCUCUUGAAGUUGGGAAAGUGGUGCCUCUUCGGUUUUCGAACAAGCAAUCCUGUCGGGAUCUGGCUCUCGAGAUUCGGAGAACGAUGCCUCUUCGAUUUUUGAGAAAGCAAUCAUGCUGGGGGUUUGGCUCUCGAGAUUCGGAGAGCGGUGUCUUCGAUUUUUGAGAAAAAGUAAUCAUGUUGGGAGUUGGGAGUGUUUUCUCGAAAUAUGAGUAAAGGUUGGGCAUGUUUGCUAGUCUACCUUGCCACGAAGCACAGAGGUUGACACACAGGGACUUUUCCAAUUAUCCAGCAGUGGUACUGUUCCUUUACCCUCUCUUCGAUUUUUGAGAAAGUAAUCAUGUUAGGAGUCUGGCUCUCGAGAUUCGGAGGGCGGUGCCUCUUCGAUUUUGGAGCAAGCAAUCUUGUUGGGGGUGUUUUCUCGAAUGUGAGUAAAGGUUGGGCAUGUUUGCUAGUCUACCUUGCCACGAAGCACAGAGGAUGACACACAGGGACUUUCAAAUUAUCCAGCAGUGGUACUGUUCCUUUACCCUCUAUUCGAUUUUUGAGAAAGUAAUCAUGUUGGGAGUCUGGCUCUCGAGAUUCGGAGGGCGAUGCCUCUUCGAUUUUGGGGCAAGCAAUCUUGUUGGGAGUGUUUUUCUCGAAUGUGAGUAAAGGUUGGGCAUGUUUGCUAGUCUACCUUGUCAUGAAGCACAGAGGUUGACACACCGGGACUUUCCAAUUAUCCAGCAGUGGUACUGUUCCUUUACCCUUGUAGGUAAUAAUAUGGUAGCUAGGCCGUCAAAAUUUAUGUGUCUAAACUUUGUUAGUGUUGUUUCUUUGCUAUUCUUUUACCCUUCUUGGUCAGAGCGAUGUAGUGAGAGUUGCAAGCUUCACGUGUCUCGACUUUGUCAGAGAACUUUGGCAAAGUUAUAUGUGGUACCCAUGAGCUACUGUUGCGUGUGGGAAGUGGGUGAUUGAACAGUACGAUUCAUGUGCUUUCUACUUCGCCAGAAAUCUUCGACAGAAUGCCCAUAAUUUCCGCAAAGCUGAGUGUGCGUGUGACAGGUGCUGACAAGGCUGGAAAAGUAGGUGCCUCUUCGAUUUCUGAGAUCGACCCUCGUGGUCUCUGAGCAGCCCAGCUUUUGAGAAAGCAAACCUCUUCGAUUUCUGAGAUCGGCCCUCGUGGUCUCUGAGCAGCCCAGCUUUUGAGAAAGCAAACCUCUUCGAUUUCUGAGAUCGACCCUCGUGGUCUCUGAGCAGCCCAGCUUUUGAGAAAGCAAACCUCUUCGAUUUCUGAGAUCGGCCUUCGUGGUCUUUGAGCAGCCCAGCUUUUGAGAAAGCAAACGCCUCUUCGAUUUCUGAGAUCGACCCUCGUGGUCUCUGAGCAGCCCAGCUUUUGAGAAAGCAAACGCCUCUUCGAUUUCUGAAGCUUCGUCGAGUGCAGAUUUUUAUAGAGGCUAACAUUAAGUUCCAAAGCACACUUGAAUAUCCACCUGUAGAAGCUCCAUUCUUGCACUUCUAAGAUCUUGAUUUGUCCGACCUCUUCUCUCUUCUACACCUUUGAAAAUGUCUGGCCCCUCCGACCGUCGUUUUGACUUGAACCUUGUUGAAGAGGCAGCCCCGCCUUCUCCAGACAACAUAUGGCGCCCAUCCUUCGUCUCCCCUACUGGUCCUCUUACUGUUGGGGAUUCCGUGAUGAAGAAUGAUAUGACCGCUGCGGUAGUGGCCAGGAACCUUCUCACUCCCAAAGAUAACAGACUACUUUCCAAACGGUCUGAUGAGUUGGCUGUUAAGGAUUCUCUGGCUCUUAGUGUUCAGUGUGCAGGUUCUAUGUCUAAUAUGGCACAACGCCUAUUUGCUCGAACCCGCCAAGUUGAAUCAUUGGCGGCUGAAGUGAUGAGUCUCAAACAGGAGAUUAGAGGGCUCAAGCAUGAGAAUAAACAGUUGCACCGGCUCGCACAUGACUAUGCUACAAACAUGAAGAGGAAGCUUGACCAGAUGAAGGAAUCUGAUGGUCAGGUUUUACUUGAUCAUCAGAGAUUUGUGGGUUUGUUCCAAAGGCAUUUAUUGCCUUCGUCUUCUGGGGCUGUACCGCGUAAUGAAGCUCCAAAUGAUCAACCUCUGAUGCCUCCUCCUUCUAGGGUUUCUGUCCAGUACUGAGGCUCCGAAUGAUCCCCCUCCGGUGCCUUCUCUUUCUGGGGCUCUACCGACUGCCGAGACUUCUCCUAAGCAACCUUUGUGAAGGCUCCCUCUUGUUUGUUUAUUUUGACUCAAGUAUAUGUACAUAUUUGUAAUUUAUCAAGAUAUCAAUAAAUAAGCUUUCCUUCAUUUCAACGUAUUGUGUUAAAUCACCAAAGCCUUCUUCGCUAAGUUCUUUGAAUUUUCUUUUGUUGAAGCUUGUAUGUUGGAGCUUUGUGAGUGGAGCAUGUAGGUUGAGGUAGUGUUCCCUUAAUUUCCCGAACGAGGACAACUUCUCGGUUGGAGACUUGGAAAAUCCAAGUCACUGAGUGGGAUCGGCUAUAUGAAUCUUAGAACGCCAUUGUGUUCUGUCCUGUGUCAUGUCCUCCGUUAGAUCCAAGUACUCUAAGUCUUUUCUUAGGGUCUCUCUCAAAGUUUUCCUGGGUCUUCCUCUACCCCUUAGGGUCUCACAUGACUAUGUUGACUGAUAAUAAUUGACUCAAGUGAAUGCCACAUCAUCUGCCAUGUCAUUCAUAUUUCUGUUGAAAGUUAGUUAGGAUGGUGCUGUGUAGCUUACACAGUAAGCAAGGUAGUUAGGCUACUAUAGGGAUAUAAAAAGCUGAUUGCAGCUUAUUGUUUGUAAGAAAAAUAUCAUUCUAUCAAUACAAAACCUUUCAUAUUCUUUCUAAGUUUUCUUCUAUAUUCUCUGUAUUGUUUCUUUCUUUUUCUUUCUGCAAGUCUGAUCUUCUUGGUUAAGAUAGGUAAUUAAAGACAGUCAUAUUGGUCUGUCCGGCACGUCCAAGGAGCUGAUUGCAGAUCGUAAUGGUGAACUCGUGAGGCAAAUACAAAAUCUCUACGGCAAGUUCGGACUUGUCAGCAAGAUUCCUCAGAACACACUACUUAUUGCCGUAAUACAAAACGAACUGCUAAAAUAUUACACGUAGAAAUAGUGGAAGAAGCUUCCAUUAACAACAAUGUUGUUAAUAAGAAAAGCCGAGAAGAGGAAGAAGAAGCACACACAGGACGAGUAAGUGGAGUGUGUAUUCGACAUUUGUGACUCGUGCAUAUGGAGGCACACUUGUUCCUGUUAUCUUGCUCUGUCAAGUUCUCUUCCAGGGGCUUGAAAUGGCAAGAAACUACUGGAUUGUUUGGGCGUCAAAGAAGGAAAAUGGAAUUACCAUAGAAGAGAUGAACUGGAUUUUCGCUUUGUAAUCGGGAGGGAGGGAGCUGUGUCUUCAUCUUGGUAAGGGCUGUUAUAACCUCAGCCGUCACCAUUGAAACUUCCCAGCGUCUCUUGCAUGGGUGAUGAGUUCAGUUUUCUGAGCACCUAUGGCGUUUUUUUUAUUCCACUCCUUCUAGUCGAAUCCUCAAUAGGGUAAGUAAGAUAUUCUCUAGUUCACAAGUUCAACGUUAGAUUUUGUUAAACUGUUUCAUUGAAUUAUAAAUCAAAUUCUAAGAGUACUACAAAACAUGGCUUUUCUCGUUGCUUACAUAAACUUAUGAAUAUUACAGUCUUCGACUGAUCAAAGCACAGUGGACAUGGAUAUUCCAUUCAGAUUAGCUGGAUUAGUAUUUGCACUCAUCCAGCUAAUAGGUUCCGUCAUCCUUAUGUCUGUAGUGGCCUGGCAAGUCUUCCUCCUUUUCCUUGUCGUCUUUGCGCUCUCCACGUGGUACAUGGUAAACAAGAAGAGAACCUUAGUUCGUUCCACACUUAAAAUUGCAAUGCAUAAUCUUGUUUCUUGAUAAAAAUUAAACGCAUAAGUACUGUGCUUUGCUUUUCCCCAGGUGUAUUGCAUUAGCACUGCCAGAGAAUUAUCCAGGAUGGUUACAAUUCAAAAGGCUCCAAUACUGCAUCAAUUUUCCGAAUCAAUCACGGGGGCUGCAACUAUUCGUUGUUUCAAUCAAGAACAAGAUCGCUUCAUGAAGAAAGUAAGAAGCGAUUUUUCAGGAGUAGCCUUUCACAAUUAUGUAACCACGAAAUGGUGCGAAUGAACUUUCUCUUCAACUUAGCCUUCUUCAUAGUCCUCAUCGUCUUGGUGACCUUGCCUGCAUCCGCCAUUUAUCCCAGUAAGCCCCCUUGUGUCCCCUAUGUUUUACUAAACCAAGAUUUAAGAGGAAAUGUUAUUAAUUCAUUCAAUCUGAUUGGGAUUAAUGCUUUUGAAUCUCAGGUUUGGCAAGAUUGGCUGCAUCUUAUUGGUUUAACCUCAUGGUCCUUCAGGCUUGGUUAUCUGGAAUCCAUGCAAUGUCGAAAACUCAAUGAUAUCAGUUGAGAGAAUUCUUGAAUUCAAAAGAAUACCAAGUGAGGCACCGCUUGUGAUUCAAGGUUCUAGGCCAAACACUGGUUGGCCAACUGAAGGAAAAGUCAAACUUCAGAACCUGCAAGUUCAGUAUCACCCAGCUCUCCAUAUGGUGAUCAAAGGGGUCACCUGCACCUUCCCGGGAAAUAUGAAAGUCGGUGUUGCGGGAAGGACAGGAAGUGGAAUGUCUACUUUGAUUCAAGCACUGUCCCGAAUAGUAGAACCCUCAGGAGGGAAGAUUCUCAUUGACAGAUUAGACAUUUCAAAAUUGGGUUGCAAGACUUAAGGUCAAGUUUGGGCAUAAUCCCGCAAGAUUCAACCUUAUUUCAAGGAACUGUGAGGACUAAUCUGGAUUCCCUGGAGCAGCAUUCGUGUCACAAAAUAAUUGGAAUCUCGCCGAGUAUGCUACAUAGCAAGCUUGACUUGCUAGAACCAACAGCACCGCAAACACUUGAAGUGGAAUAAGCCAAAAACUCCAUGAAUGGAAGUGAAGAGCUCCCCGAUUGCUUCUACGUCCAUGCUGAUUAAAUUUAUGAUAUUUCCAUUGCUUGGGCAGGCUAGAACUAAGAACCAAAACUAGUUCAUCAACUGUGUGGUCUUUUCAUUAACUUUUGCUCCUGAAUUUUGCCUAUUGGGAAGCGAUUGUUGUAAAAACUCGAGUUCAGAGUUAAGAUCAUAUUACGGCCUUUUAUCUAAUGUCGAUUAGUUGGGUAUCCCAAUCCAACUCUACUAUUAGUCUUAACUUCAUUGAUUUGUAUGUAAGUUCAGUGCAUAUUACUGCUAUGGUUUUGUUUCUUAGCCCACAAGCAAAGUAGGAAAUUAAUUUUAGACCUGAGUUGAAUAAUAUGAACUUUAUUGAGAAACAAAAUCAUACACACACCAACAACUUGGCAGCUCUCAGUACAUAGAAUUCGUCUCAUAAACCCUUUUACCAAACAAAUUUUGUGUCCUACGUUCUCCAAUCCCUGCAAGGUCUAUGAAUCGCAUCAUUCGAUUCACUUUGGAAUCUUUGGAUCUGAGAAGUAUUUGUUGAUAGAUGGCAUGAUCUGGGGGGCUCUGCUUCGGACAUAUUUCCGGAGUCCAUGUUCUGCGUAUCUCUCACCCUCUGCAUGGUUCUCUAGCACCCCUGCAAUUCUGUUCUGCUUGGUAACCCUGAAACAUACAUAACACAAGAUUAAUCAACACCAUCGAAUAAUUAUUUGUAAUCGUUUCUAUUUGUAUCAUGUAAUCGUUUCUAUUUGUGCAUACGGGCAAAUGGGUCUACGUACCUGACUUCAGGGUUGGUGGUGAUGUUCCUAACAAGCUGCAUGCCGCAAAUGCCAACAGCUAUACCAACUGCAGCAAAUAGGGGGAACACCUAUGCAUCCAGGCCAACAAAAAAUACAUUUCACAUAUAUGAGUGCCACAUUAAUUAGUUAGGGUUCUAAGAAACCAAUAUUCUGACCUUUAAGAAACAUAUAAGAAGUCGAGAAUGGAAAUAAUUCCAGUACCUCGGGCCUUAUCCAUCUGGAGGAGGAAGCCAUCGUAAAGCUGUUGAGAGAAACGAAGAAGAAGAGAAGAGAAGAUGAUUGAACAACUGUUCCCUUCUCUUUCUUGGAGGUGGCGUGAGAGACAAGGCAGAACUACCUGAGUUUUUUUUCACAACUAUGAGCUCUUUAUUUAUAGCACCCACUAAUUACCCAUUUUUAGUUUCCAAAGAAAAAGCACAGCCUUGACCUAUUUUUAUCCAAAUUCCGAUUAAUUCUAAUUUUUCGGUUCAAAGUUUGUGGCCUUCCCUGUUGAGGAACUAUUUGACUAAGUUUCUGUUUUGGUCCUCACACAAGUUAAUUGAGUCCCCCAUUUUGGCCCAAUGGGCCUAUGGAAGUUCUUUCGUACAUGUCUAUUCAAUAAAAAAAAAAAUUCGCAUGAGCUCGUUUUGAAGUAUUUUUAAAAUGACUGAUAGCAGUUUAACAGAAAAUAUUUUUGGGUUUUAAAAAGAGGUUGAAGUGCUUCUUACAAUAAGCAUCAGUUAUGUGCUUCUUGCAAGAAACACUUUAAGUGUUUUCCAUGAUUAACUUGCAAUGUAAGUAAGAAUUGAUUUUAAAAACAUUUUUAUGAAAGGUGCUUUCUGCCAUUUUGACCAGUUAUGUACUUCUUGCGGAUCGAUAAUGAUGAGAAUGAACUCUUGAGUAACAUUAUACGAUAGAAGUCUAACAAUUUGAUUCCUCGUUUUCUAUAUUACAUGAGCUAUUCAUACGUAUAAAAGAACUACAUCCGUUCUAACUAAUGAGACUAUACCCCAAGUGUGCCAUAAUAUUGUCAUAUUAUUGUCAGAACAAUGCUCAAGUACAAGUAGCACCGUAAUCCGGCCCAAAAUCGGAUUGUAUCCCCUUUCUAAAUUUUGGACUGGGUCGGAGCCCAAAACAACUAAAAAGACUACCUAGCCGAAGGUAUGAUGCAUCCAACAAAGAAGUCACUCGUCAUCACAUUAUCCGUCUUGACUGUUGGAAAUUUUGAAUAAAAAUUUCAUUGUCCCACAUUGGUAAUUUCCAAAAAUUUUCCUCACUUUAUAAGGUUUUGUCCUUUAUAGACAGUGAUUGGAGUGAUAAGUCUUGGAGACUAAAAUUGGGUUCACCCUUAAGGUUGGGCUUUGGGAUGUACUAAUUAAUUGAUAAUUAAUAAUUAAUAUAUAUAUAUAAUUAAUUUUUAAAAGAUGGGCCUUGAGCCUUGGGGUUCUGAAAAUUAAAUUCUUUAAUUAAUUAUUUUUAAUUAAUUUCAAAUUUAAUUAAAUUAGUAUUUAUUUGAACAGACUCAUUUUUUCAGAUGAAGUCUGAAAUAAAAAAAAACGUAGAGAGCACAACACCCCUCUGAAGAGAUGUCUUCCAACAAUCACAUCUCAUUCUCAUACAUGUUGUGAACAUGCAUAAUCACACUAUAUAUACAUCCAUCUGCAUGGUAUAUAGAACACCGAAAAUAUCAAAUUCUUCUUCUACAUGCCUAAACCUUCUUACUGAGAGAGACACAUAGAAAUUCGCUAGAAGUUGAGUUUUCCGGUGCUGGAAUUCUAACUUGAUCGUUGAAUCCUAGUGAAGCAGACGUCCGUAGAACUACAAGCACUGAGUAGGGACGAAAUUUCUGCUUCAAGGACAUUGCAGUAUAGAAGCCUCGAUCUUCAAGUUGUAUGUUUUAUAUUUUUGUUUUGUUCAUACUCUGUUAAUUUUUCUAUCCGCAUUUAUUGUUUAUUAACAUAUAUAAUUAUAUCACAUAUUGUUGACUUAUAUCCAAUAUUGACCACAAAUCGAGACCCACCUUCAUGUUCAUUGUUGUCAUUUCUUUAUCUUGGACUACGUCUUUCGGUUUCAUUGAGUUUCCAGCUCUCGUAUGCUAUUGAGUCCCUUUAUUAUAUAGAACAACACUCGUGCCAUAGAUUCAUAAUCCAAGUCGUUGAGAAUUUUGCUAUCAAAUUAGGGUUUAUCUAUCCCUCAAUCCGUUCAAACAUCAUGAGCUGGGCAACUGGAGGUAACUAUAAGCACGAUGUGGUCAAUUAAGAACAAAGCAGACUAAAUUUAUAUAACUUGAGAAAAGUACAAAGCAAACUAUCAAGGUCCAACAUUUCCAGCCAACUCUGUGUUAUAUUCCUAUUGUUUUUCUCGCUUUCUCUCUUGCUCCGUCGGCUGCAAAUUUUAAUACAAAUUCUGGCAUCUGCCUUUGACUUUAUUCAAUUGUUCCCUUCCCAGCUUCCUUCAAAUAGUUCAUCGAUCAUUGGGCAAUACAUAAUAUUCUUAGUUUUUUUAUUUUUCUGGCAUAGAACUUAGCAGAUCUCAACAAGGUUUUAAACAAAGCCACUGACAAGAUUGGAUCACUGUCUUGUCCCUGUUCUAUGUCAUGCACGUCUGAUAUAAUUUGUAACAAAUUGAUUGAUUAUUUUUUAGCAUGAUUAAGUUUUGGAUCGCUUGUAUAGGGGCUAAGAGUGUUUUUCGACAAUCAAAAGUGUUUUUAACUAAAAUAAAUAUUAUUUAGAGAAGCCAUAUUAUGUUUAUCUUUACUAAUUAAUGAAACUAUCUUUGUCAACAUAAAGAGGAUGAAAAAACAACUUAGUAUUCUAUCACAUAAAAAUAUGAUGGGCAAUAAUGUAAUUUCACAAGUCCAAAUUUUACUAUUUUUUAUUAAAGUCUCAUUUACAUGUGAUGUUAAACUACCCCAAUAUUAAAAAAUAAAAAAAAUUUAAAAUUUAAAAAACCAAAAACAAAAACCUCCCACUCCCUUUCUCUCCUCAUUUUCUAAAAAAAUGUGUUCAUACACACAAAGUGUGUAGGCAAAUGCCAGUAUUUAUGAAGAACUUUCAAAUGUUUUUCUAGAAGUACUUGCAUUUAAAAAAAAAAUUAACUUUUAACAAAAGGAGUUAUGAACAUAUUAGGAUUGCAAAAAUAGUCACAAACGAGCUCUGAGUGUGUUCAAUUUUGUAACAAAUUCAUUGAGUUUUUUUUUUAGCAUGAUUAAGUUUUGGAUUGCUUGUAUAAGAGUAUUUUUUGACAAUCAAAAGUAAUUUUAACUAUAAUAAGGAAGAACAAUCUUAAAACUGACUUCUACGUUGGAUAAGUAUUCUUUGGAGAAGUCACAUUACAUCUAUGCUUAUGAAGAACUUCCAAAUGCUUUUUCAGAAACACUCGAUUUUUUUUAUUCAACUUUUUAGCAAAACACAAUUAUUAGCAUAUUGAGUUUGCAAAAAUAGUCACAAUCGAGCUCUAAGUGUGUGUUGAGUUAGAGUAGGGUAAUGUUUUUAUGUUAAUUAAUGUUUAAAAUAGAUUUAUUUUUUUAUUUUUUAUUUUUACAAUUGAUAAGGUAAUCUACACCAGGUCUAGAAAUUCUUAAUAGAGUCUCGAAUACAAAAACAAAUAUGCUUAACAAACUAAACUACAAGUUACUUACUGAUUAAUUACUUAGCCUUUACUCUUGAGUCUCUCAUUUCAUUUCAUGGUUGACUUUUGUUAUUGAAAAUGCUUACCUAACAAUCGGUCGUCAAUCGACGCCUCUACCUGGUUGUUGGUGAUGUUGCAUGCACGCCUAGCUAUAUAUUUAGGUAUUUUAUUUUCUCUGUUGGAAGACAUUGAAUUUGAGACUUAUUAUUAUUUUUAGCAAGAAUAAUUUGAUAGCACGAUUGUGGCAAAGCAUUGCCCAUGCAGGAGGAAUGAUGUCAAACUUUUACCCACCAAAUUUUUUAAAAUUUAUAAAAGUCCGAAUAUAUGGGUUGAAGUCCAAAUCCACUUCAUAUAAACGUACUAUAAUCACCAGAGUAAUCCAUCACUUGCUCGUAAAUUUUUUAUUACCUUUUUUUUCUUUCCAAUUUAUCAUUUAGAAUAAUACUUAUUUUCUAGUGGAUAGAGUAUUUCGUUUCCCCUCAUCCAUCCCGAGUUUAGAAUUCUUUUCUUCCCUUAAUUAUUGUAAUAGUAAAUUAAAAUUAAGAUAUGUUUAGUCAACCUGAAGUAUAAAAUAAAUCAACGAUUAUGAUAAAAAUUAACACUAUCAUGAUGAUUCAAUUAUUGAGUCAUCAUCAUUUUUCUGAUAGAGACGAACAUUAAAAUUGAGUCGUGAGUAAGAAAAUAAACAAUUAUGGUUAUGAUAUUGGGACAAUCAAAAUACGUAUUGUCUCGUAUAUAAAUUAUUCCAACUUUGGAAUGGAUGUUUGCGCAUACCGUAUAUAAGACCAGUAGUUAUUUGAUAAAGUUUAAAGGUCAAUUCGCAAUGGUUGUGGCUUUUUAAGAAUUAAUGUGUGGGCAGAGUGAGUUGAUGCAUCAUCAUCCAUGGGUAAGGCAUGACAACAACAAUCUUUCAAAAUUCUCUUGUGGUGUUUGCUUUGCAGCAGAAUUGUGCCUUUUAGAGUGUGUUCCAAGUUCCAACUUCGACAUCAACUUCGAUAAAGCUACCAUGGGUGGUUCAGUGGUUGAGACGAAUUUCAUAUUUAUAUUCCACAUAACACAUCAUGAGUUCAAUUCUUGGUGCUCGUGGAUUACACGAUGAUGGUCAUGAAAAGACUAAACUGCUUAUGCAAGUCUUCUUAACCUUCGAAAAAGUAGACUAUUGUAGCGAAUCCUCCCGCUAGUAGCUUUUCUUAAAAAAAAAACAAAAAAAAAACCAUCAACUUUGAUAGCAUUGUUAAAUCAAUUUCAAAAGGUGUUAUAUUCGUUAUUAUUUAAUUGGUUACUUGCUUUAUUUGAUUUGUUAAUUGCUCGAGGAAAAUUUGUUUUUGCUACAUCUAAUCAAAUAGUUUAAUAUUUGCCAAGUUGUCAUAAAAAAACAUUAUUGUUUGGGUAGUGUUAUCAAUAGACACAUUUUACUUCUUACAUACCUUAUUAAUUUUAGACCGUUAAAUCGAAUAAACAGAAAAAGAUGCCACAUCAAAGGUGAUCUAUACAAUUCCGAUCGCGCUCCAAUUGACAACGGGCUGGUUUGGUAUUACUGUACUUUGAAAAAAAAUUGAUUCUGAUGUGCUGUGAGAAUAAACUCAUUUUGCUGCUUCGCGUUUUUUAGUUUUUUUUCAUUCAAAAUUAUGAAAAUAAGCUGUUUUUAAGUAUUUACCAAACAUAUUUUUGAACUCAACUUUUUUUUAUACCUAUUUUUUAUAAAAGCACCUCAGUACCUCAGUACCAAACCAGUACUAUACACAAGAAAGAAACAACUUCAAUGCUUAGGUUUGAAGCCCUUCUGAAAUAUGCAAAUAGUAGUUGAACCACCACAAAUUUAGUGGGCUCCAUUGCAAACUUGUAGACAAAUAAAAGUUUGGUGUCCAUUGUUACGAAAUUAGCCCACUUAACAACUACUAAAGAAAAACCACACAAAUUCAAUCACUCCACGUAUAAUAAGGUUCAAAAGUACUUUUAAAAUAAAUGAAAAUAUUUUUUGUAAAAGAGAUUUUGAAAUCAAUUUUUAGUAAAAAUUUAAGUGGUUUUUGGAAAAAUAUUUAAAAUACUUUAUGCAAGAAACACAAUAUAGUGCUUCUUCCAAAAACACUUGAAGUUUUUUUGGAACCCAAAAAUAAUUUCACUAAAAACAUUUUGAAUCAUUUUAAAUAUAUUUUCAAAUAAGCUCAUAGACAAGCGUUUGUUCGAGAUGCGAACAAAAUGCAUUAGAAGGUUGAGAUUAAGUAAAUUUAAAGGCAAUUACUUAAAGUGACAUGUGAACAUCAUCUUCCUCGCAAUAAAACCGUAAAAAAAAAGUUGGAAAAACCAUAGAACUAUCUAGAAGCUCAAGCUCACAUGAGCUCAUUCUCACGCCACUCUUUCCAAUUCGACUUUUCACUUAUCAAGCCCAAUUCAAUUUCGCCACGUCAUCUUCCACACCGCAUCUUCGUCCGCAUAUUCCAAAAAAAAAAACAAAAGCGCCGACCCCACUCUCACGCGCGCAACGUGCACCCGGACCACCUUGCUCACCACGCACUUCCCAUGAAUGCGAAAUCUCGAAAGCGGAUUCUGCGCGUGACCCAACGGCGGGAGAGCGGAAAUCCAGCGGCUAAUAGUAAAUCAGCGGCUAAUACAAAGCCCUAAACGUAAUCAACGGCUGCAAAGCGACUUUCUUUUUGUCAAAUAAAAACCGCUGCACGAGAUCAGGACUACCCACCGGUUAUACGAGAAAUUUUUAGUUGUGACGAGAAUACAGAUAGUACAUUACGUGUUUUUACGUAACUAGUAGAAAAUUUUAAUUUUUAAAUUAUUAACUUUUUAAUAUACAUAACCUAUUAUUUAUAUAAAGACACGUAAGGUAGCAUCUCGUGCAAAUGUGAUAUUGAAAUAUGUCUCCGGAUUUACCCUUCGCCGCUAUAUAUACUCUCUCGUAACUCACUCUCUUUCACACUACCUUCUAAAACCCUCGAUCAGCUUUCUUAUCUGCCUCUCUCUCUAGACUAUACUUUCUCUCUCUACAAUCAUCAUGGGUAUUGAUCUAUUGAUCUCGAUUCUCAAUUAUUGAUUUCGAUUUCGCCAUUUUUGUUUCAGAUCUUGUGUUUUUUUGUUUGUUGAUUUUUCUGUAAUUUUUGUGUGAUUUUCUGACCAUUUGUUUGUUGUCCUUGUUUGUAUCGAUCAGCAACAUCUGGCAAGAAGAUCAAGAUCGGAAUCAACGGUGAUGAUCAGAUCCAUCGCUCCUUGAGUUUUGAUUUUUGGUAUGUUCAUUUGUGAUUUGAUCUGUGAAUUGAUUGAGAUUUGAAUUGAAAUGGUUUAGGAUUCGGAAGAAUCGGACGAUUGGUUGCUAGGGUCGCUCUUCAGAGGGAUGAUGUUGAACUUGUUGCUGUCAACGAUCCCUUCAUCACCACGGACUACAUGGUGAGUUAUUUACUUGAAGUUUUGUGUUAUUUUGUAGGGUUUUCAGAUUUAGGGUUUUGGGUUUUCGAUUUCGGAUUUGAUUAGUGAUUUGUGUGAUUGUUUUUGUGUUUAGACCUACAUGUUCAAGUACGACACAGUCCAUGGUCCAUGGAAGCACCAUGAGCUCAAGGUCAAGGACUCCAAGACCCUUCUCUUCGGUGAGAAGCCCGUCACCGUUUUCGGGAUCAGGUACAAUUUGUUUCUUACUCUCAGUUAUUGAACUUAGCAUAGAACCCACUUUGUUGUUUCUGGUGCUAUGUUUGAUUUGUUUCAUAGAUUUCAAUGCUUAAUUGCUCGAUCUCUUACAG
rnacentral:lncRNA from 1 species